CAGUGGGACCUUGUCCUAGCUCAAACAGAAUUUGCAUACCAUCACAUGAGAAACAGAACAACAGGGAAGUCUCCAUUUGAAAUUGUGUAUACUAAGCUACCUAGACUAACUAUUGAUCUUACUAAUAUACCUCAUAAUGUUGAUCUUAGCUUCGAAGCUGAAAAUAUGGCGAAAAGAAUAGCAAAGCUCCACAAAGACGUAACCACCCAAAUGGAAUAGAUGAACCAAGCAUACAAAAGUCAAGCCGAUAAAUAUCAAAGAUUUAAAGAAUUCAAGGAAGGAGACCUAGUAAUGAUACAUCUUUGAAAAAAGAAGACUGUCGGCUGAAAAAUACAAUAAACUACCGCCAAAGAAGUUAGGACCGUAUCCCAUAAUCAAGAAAUUCGGAGAUAACGCGUACAAGAUUUAUCUUUUCGAUCACAUACACAUCAAUCCUAUCUUCAACAUGGUUGACAUAUUUGAAUAUUUCUCUCUCGAUCAGCUACAUUUCUCAAACUAGAAUUCGAGGACGAGUUUACUCUUCUUAAGAGGGAGGGAUUCUAAUGUGUUGUUAGUAAUUAGUUUGUUCCUGUUGUUAGUUUGUUAUUGUUGUUAGUUUGUUACUGUUAUUUGUUUUAAGUAAUUAGUUUGCUAUGUGCUGUUAGUAAUUAGUUUGUUACUAUUGUUAGUAUGUUACAAUUAUUUUUAGUUGACCAUUGGGUUUAAUAUAAAAACCAUAGUUUGUUAGAUUUUGGAUAAUAAUAAAAAUUUCCAGAAAAAGACUUUAGUCUUCUUGAGUUUCUUAGUCCAAGAAUCUGAACUUACAUCAAAUUUUCUCGGCUGCAACACAUGUGAGAAGAUGAAGAUGAUGACAGCUGUUGCAACAUGUCGAAGAUGCAGAUGAUGACGGAUGCUGCAAUACAUCGAAGAAGAUGGAGAUGAAUCCUCUCAGCUGCAACAAGUCGAAGAAGAUGAAAAUGAAUCCUCUCGAAUGCAACAUAUGUGAGAAUGAAGAUGAAUCCUCUCACCUGCGACACGUGGAGAAGUUUGAGAUGAAUCCUCUUGGUUGCAACACAUGAGAGAAGAAAAUCCUCUCAGACACAACACUUGGGAGAAAAGAUAGAGCUCUCUAAUUUGACUUUGCCCCAUUUCUUUUCUUUUGUAACUGCUUAUGAAUUUCAUUUUCUAUUGAGAUUAAAAAAUCACGAUGAAGCAUAAUUUUUUUUUUGUGCGACUGAACUUAAAGUAAAUUGUAAGUUGCCUAUGUACCCUUUUUAUAACAUAGGGAUCAAAUCAUAACGUAAUUCAAUUGAUUUUUUUUUUUUUUUGUCAUUCAUCUUUUAAGCUCCUAUGGACUAGGAGCAUCAUGCAGUUUAAACUCUUGCGAUAAGGAGCUUUGCACAUUUAACAACUUUUAUUUUUAUUAAAAUUUUGUUCACCUUCUUCAUUUGUAGAAUUGGUCAAUAUAAUAAGUUUAGACUUCACGAUCAAGGGACCUUCUAUGUUUAUGUCAACAAACAUCUUCCUCUUCAUGCGUGAUGGGACAUGAUUGUGAAUCUUCUCGUCAUUGUUUUCUCCAUGAAGUGAUUUUGCCUUCAAAGUUUUCAUCUCUUUUUCAUGUUGAUCGCUUGUCAUCUUUAGUUGAUCAAAAACAGAUGUUGAAGGUUGAUCUUUCUUCGAUAUGGAGAUAUUAGUCUUUCGAAAACUGAAGUGCGAGUGGAAGUACAUGUUGGACAUUGGUUUUCUACUUCUUUCGUGGCCAUACUCAAUCUUUGAAAGACUAAAGAUCGAGUAGUUGAAGGCUUGAUACGAUCAAAGAUCGAAGUCCUUUGCUUAAUUUCAUUUGAGUUGUCGACUUCUUUAGAAGAUGCAUAAUCGUUGUCGAUUUCAUUUAUACUGACAGCAUGACAUUCAGUGACUUCUAAUACUUCCUUGGGAUGAUCAUCAAGAAAACUUCUUGGGAGAUUCUCUCAAAGUUAUCGAUCGUUGAGGUCGGAGGAAGUGCUCGUCUUUUUCUUUGACAGGGUUAAGCUUCCAUGUCUUUUUGUUUCUUUUUCCUUCUUUUUAUGGGAUAUGUUUCCUUUUGCAUGCUUUUGAUGGAAUGUCGACUUCUUUUGAAUGAAAUUUGGUUGUCUUCCUUUUUGACGACUCAUAACUAUCCAUCAUUCGUCACCAUCUUCAAUAGGCUUUUCUUUGUUUUGGGAGUCUGUCGUCACGAUCGUUUGUGGGAAUUGGACAACUAUAGGUUCAAAAGUCCCAAACUGAAUUAAGCUUUUCUUUUGAUCAUAAAGUUGUGUUGAUGGUGGAACACUUGAAGUCAUCUCAACCGCAACAUGAUUCGUCUCAACUAAUUCAUCAAUAUCCAGCUCGAUCUUCUUUUCACGGGCCAACUUUAGACUCAACUCCUUCAACAUGAAAUACUUUCCAACAAGGUGACUAAUGACCCGAUAGUAGUUACAGUAUUUAGGAUAAUCUACUUUUUCCUGUUUGUUCCAGUCGUUUGCAUUCUGGCAACUGAAUAAGUCGCUUCUCUAGUAGCUGCUCUAACAUGUCUGCAACAUCAGAGUCAGGAAAUGGAUAAACUUUUUUCUGUCUUUCUUUAAGAGUUGGGCAUUGCUUUUCCUCACCAUCAUGCUUUCCUUCAAUUUUUGUUUCUUUUCUUUUAAAGAAGGAUUUCAAAGGAGUUGCAUGAACAAGCAUAGACUCAUUUAUGAGACUAUUUGCAAUCUUCUUAGUGUCAUCAAUUUUAUCCUUCUUACUCCUCAUUUUUGGAACCAAUAAAUCUUUUGCUCCUCUGCAUGUGAUACUUAGUUCCAUAUCAUGGACACGACUCGCUAACUCUUCAAACUAUAGAGAAGUUUCCAAAUGCAUGCAUUGGGUGCACAUCUCAACUGCAAACAUUUCUAUGAGCUUGUCUUUGCAAUCCAGGCUUAGAGCUCUCCAUCGAUUUAUGUAGUCGAUGAUUGGUUUCCCCUUUUGUUGUUUGGUGUUUGUCAACUCCAUCAUGCUGACGAUACGUCGAAUGCUGUAGAAGCGAUUGAGAAAGUCCCCCUCAAGCUGCUCCCAACUAUCAAUGGAUUCAUGUUUCAGGUCGAUGUACCAGUCAAAAGCAUUUUCUUUCAGAGUUUGAACGAGUUGUUUUACCAAUAAAUCUCCUCUCGUACUAGCAGUUUCACAUUUUUCAAUGAAGUGAGCAACGUGUUGUCUUGGGUUACCCUUUCCAUCAAACUGUUGGAACUUGGGUGGUUGGUAUCAAUUCGACAUUUUGAGAUUGUCGAUCCUCUUCGUAUAUGGUUUGGAAUACAAAGUGAGAGUUUGAGCAGGUCCACCAUAUUGAGUUUUAAUGGAGUUUGCAAUCAUCUCCUGUAACUGCUGAACAUACAACGAUGCAAUUAAGGUUGAAUUUUGUGGUUGAUUUUCUUGCAUAAUUGUCUUUCCUUUGUCAGUAUUCUUGACAGUAUGUGUAUGACUUGAUUCAGCAGCAUCACGACGAUCGAUGUAAUUCUUGAGAGAUUAAAUCUCAUUAUCCCUUUCUUCAACGACCUUCAUGAGCAUGUUGAUCUUCUUUUCAAGCUCAGUCAUUUUGUCUUCACUUGUAUCCACGUUAGUCAGCAUAACCGACAUUAUAUUUAGAUGAGGCAUCUUCUCAUUUGAGUGUUCAGAGGAUGAAAUUUGUUCCUCAAUCAUAGGAUUUUCUUUGAUUAUAAUUCCACCUUUUGGUGGCUUGGCCAAUUGUUUCCAAAUUUUCUUUACGAUCUCAAAUGAUGGCAUUUCUUCAGAUGAUUGAAUCUCCCUUGAGCGGCUGCAAGUAUUUGGCUGCUUGCCGAUGUCGCUUGGAACUUUGGAAGUGUUGUCUUGAAAUGUCAUGAUUUCUUUAUAGGUUAUUCAAAAGAGAAAGAGAUGAAAGGUAAAGUUUGUCCCACCGGGCACACGAACUUGCAUGUCUUGAGAGCUUGUAGAAGUUUGAAUCUUCAAUUCUUUAGGGCUUCAAUACUUCAGAGCUUCAAUUCUUCCUUCAACCAAAAGAUCCCCAAAAAUGAAUGACAAGGGUCUCUAUUUAUAGAGAAAUUUUAUGGGCUUUAGGUGGACUUAGGCUCAUUUACUUGGUGGGCUUGGACUUGGGUCCAUUUGCUUGUUGGGCUUGGACUUGAGCUCAUUUGCGAGUUGGGCUUGGACUUUGGUUCAUCUGCUUCUUGGACUUGGACUUGAGCCCAUUUGUUUAUUGGAUAUGAAUUGGGUUGGGUUGAGCAAACUUAAUUAUCCAAACUCAAACAAAAGUUUAAUCAUCACCAUAUUUACUGCGGUGAUGUGAUAUAAUUUAAUUGGUCAAAAUUUCUUGCUCAAGAACAAUGAUUAAUAAAUCAUUUAAAAUUAAAUACUAUAACAAUAAAAAAGAAGGAGAGAGAAUAAAAAUAGGUGAAUUGAGGUUUUAAAAAAUUAAAUAAAAAAAGAAUCCAUUAAAUGACAAAAAAAACAACCCCUUUUGCCUAAAUUGUUUUUAAACCAUCCCUUUUUUCCAAUUUAAAUUUAAAACCACCAUACUUUUCUAAAUCAUCCCGAGUCUAACGUAUAACUCAAUUCAGACAUGAGUGUCGUUAAUGGUGAAAGGCUUGGAAGGUUUUAUGGUUCAAAGUUUUUCUAUUUUCUUAUUAAAAAAAUAAAAAUUUAGCCACCAUGAGCUUAACUCAACUGACACAUGUAUGUUCCUGUGGACAAGAGGUCCCGGGUUCAAAUCCUUACCCCAACAUUUAUUACAAUACCUUUGCAAAAAAAAAAAAAUCUAUACAUUUUAUAAAAAAUGAUUUUCUAUUUUGUGUACCCUCCCAAACAUUUGGAGGGCGUUUGGGAAGGGUCAAUGUUAUGAUAGUGUGUAUUUGAGGGAAGGGUCAUGUAGGAAGGGUUAUAGGGUGGGUAUGAUAAUACGUGUUUGGAGAAGAGUUAGGUUGGAAGGAUUAUUGGGUGGUUAUGAUAAGAUGAGUUUGGGAGAAGAGUAUUAUUCUAACUUCAAUACACAAAUUUCGUAUACUUAAUUGACCAAAUCAUCUUAGUUUUUGUAAAACAAUUUGUCUUACUUUCUUUAAAUACGACUUGAAAGUUUUAACAUUUUUUGAAGUAAUUGUUACGGUUGAAUAAAUUACUGUUUUUCCUUUUAAACAUAAAAUAUUAUCAAUCUUCUUCUUACCUAAACAUUCUUUUUUUUUUUUACUUUACUCUUUUUAAACAAAGGAUUGUUAUUUCAUAAGGCAACAAAAAUGAUAAAAAAAAAUGUUAUAAUGAAUUAAUGAAAGAUAUAAAGAUAAGGAAGAAGAAAGAGAAAAAAAAGUACAUUUUAGAAAAGUAUGAGCAUAAUUUGGUAAAACUUUUAGAUUUAAAAUUGAAUUCAAAUAAAUCUUAAAUCAAAUCUAGCUGUUAAAUUGAUUUUUUUAAAGAAUUUUUUAUACAUUUAAAGUUUAAAUACGUUUUAAAAUAUUUAUUCAUUUUUCUAGAUGAUUUAAGGAUUCUAGAAUUAUUCAAUUUAAUAUUAAACCAUCUAAUUUGAUUUUGUUUUGAUUAUUUUAUAAAUUUAAUCAAAUUCAUUUUUUAAGAAAUUCAUUUAACUUAAGUUUAUCAUAAAUAGUGUAGAUAUAGAUAGAAUAGUUUUAAAAUAAAUUAUUUGAAAACAUGUAAAAUAAAAAAUAAAAAAUAAAACAAAUAAAAGACAUGAAAGAAUAUUUUUUAAAAAAAAAUUAAAUAUGAGGCUGAAGGCAUAAACUAAUCACAAUUAAUAUUUAAUUAAAAUUAAUUUUAUAAAUAAAAUAAGUUAAAAACAAUAUUCUUUUUAAGUUUAUUAAUUAAUGUAAAAAAUGACAUUUGAUAAAUAAAUGAGUAAAAUUUAAAAAAUAAAUGAAAUAAGGGGAGUUGAAGAAAUAGGGUUUGGGUAGUUGAAGAGGGAUUGAGAAGGAAGAGAGAGAGGGAAGAGGGGUUAUGAUAGUCCUAAAACAAAAAUUAUGAUAAUCCUUCCCCCAAACAAGGGUUGGGUUCAUAACCAUAACCCCAUAGUAAUAACUCUUGGGCCACACGGCCCCUUAAAGGCCACAAUGAGUGUACGAGACUACAUGGUGAUGAAGUUGGCUUAUGUGUUGAAAGGAGCGUAUAAUGCUUAACAACCUGAGCAACAAGGAUGAAUCAAGAUACUCUUGGAUGCUGAUGAUUCAAUAGUCUAAACGCGAAGUUACGUGACCUAGUGUAGAGAGUGAUUCAUAAUCCUUGACAAAAUGAAAUGAUUUGUUAAGCAUAAAGAAAAGUUUAUGUGAAAUGAAAUGAUUUGUUGAUGUGUUUAAAUGACUUGAUAUUACUUUUGCGAAAUGUUUAUGAAAACGUAUUGCGAAAGGUUUUGAUAAAACCUCACUAAGUCUUUUGACUGACGUUUUUUUUUUAAAAAAUCAUAUCUUACAGGAUCAGACGUUUAGGCCAAUAAGAGAAGAAGGUUGAACAAUUUGCAACGAGAUGACUUCGUGUGUUUUGAAAAUAGUUAAGCAUAAUUUAUUUGGUCAAAGUGUUUUAUUUAUGCAUCAAACACCUGUUAUUAAUAAAAUUAAGUUACGACUUCCCCUGUGUUACAUUAUCUUUAUAACUUAGUAGUUUAAAAGGAGUUGGGAAUAAAAUUAGCAAUAAGACCUAUAGCAAAGUUUAAGCUAAAUCACGUCCUAUCCGCUUUACUUCCUGCAUUUUGGUUGUCUUACAGAUUGGGGUGUGACACAGCACUGGUCGCCAACUGCUCAAGAGAGUAAGUAGCAACAACAUAGUUAAACAUGCGCCGAAGAGAGUUUGGAAGCAAACUUCAUUUUGGUGUUUUGACUCUAGUCAUUUGUGUCUAGAAAGGAGAACAAGUGUGGUGUUUAGGGUUUAAGAGGUUGCUCGAGUUAAAUAUAGAGUCAAAUAUGAUGCUUAUAAGUAAGGAAACCUAGAUGUAUAUCGCUUGGUUUAUCUUUACUAUUCUCUAAAUUAAUUACAAAACACAAUUCCAUAAUCUCACAAGUAUCAGCCCCACACGUAGAUGCGCUAAGUGUGUUUUGUAAUAAUUAGAGUGGCUUGAUACUCGUGAGAUUAUGGAAUUGAGUUUUGUAAUUAAUUUAGAAAAUGUGAUCAUAUUUAGUUGUGAAGUAUACCAAAAUCUACCAUUUUAAUAAUUUUUAAUAGUUUUAGAGUUUCUCAAGGAGAUGUUGGGCAACCUUGUUAGUAGAAAAACUUUGUUACAAGUUCUUAAUAUUUGCUUAAGUGAGAACAAUUCUUUUCAGUUCGCGGUUAUUAGGUUUGAAGAGGAUAUAUGAUCAUUCAUAUAGAUUUCCAGAAGAGAAAAUAGCUUUGAAAUCAACACUCUCUGACACAUUAUAAGGACAACUUCAAAGCAUCUAUUUCUUAACCUUACUUUCAUGUCCUCAUAAUUAUAAUCCCUUUGAUUCAGAUGUGAUAUCGAUUCAUUCAUUUCUUCCUCCUAAACUCAUGGUGUUACACCUUCUAUUGAAUUAUGCCAAGUAUAAAUCUAUUGUUAUCAUUCUUUAUUCUCUUUAUUAUCUUGUUUCCUAAUUCUGCUGGCACUUAUGUAUAAAUUGGGGAUUCUAACACUUGAAUAAGUUAUCUAGAAAUUAUGGAUUUACACUUGGCAUAAUUCAAUAGAAGAUGUAACACCAUGAGUUUGAAUAAGCUAACAAAAAAAAUUAGCUUAAAUGGUCUAUAGUACAAAGAUAAGGUUGGGUACCUUAUCCUAAUAACACUAUGGAUACGACUCACUUUGUAUUUGAAACAAACGCAAUGAUCGAACGCAUUCUUGUAAGUGACAUGCGAGUGAAGUUAUCUUAUGGAAUAAGUUUGCAUAAGAUCAGAUCGCGAAAUAGUAACCACUAGAUAUAACUCUACUAACUAGUUAGGUUUCUAUUUUAUUAUGAUGACCUAUGUAACUUAGCCUUAAUCCUAAGUGUAUUAUGAAUUCAUAUUCAUAAAGCAUUGUCCUUUUAUUUGUACGGAUGACCAUAAACAUGUUGUUAAUUAGAUGAGCACUGGUAUUUAUGGACUAGAAGUAACCUAGGGGUAAAACGGUAAUUAAACAUAGAUGAUGUUAUGAACACUUCUGAAGGACUAACUUACUAUAUUUAUAUCCAUGAACACAUAAAUAUAUCUACACUGAGAAAAAUUUAGUUGUGAAUCUUUAGUGGAGUGUACACAUAGUUAACGAACAUUGAUUAAUAUGGUAAUGAGUAUAGCCAAUUAAUCUCAUGUCGUUGUAGUUUCUAAUCUAUAGAUCCAUUAGGUCCCCUUCCUAAAUUGUAAAGGAUAAUGAGAGUUAUUUAUAUUGAUUGUAAUUCAAAAUGUUCAAAUUCACUUUGUGAAUUAGUAUAAUGUAUGGUGAUAAAUUAUAAUAUAAAAUUUAUAUUUUAAUUAAACUUUAUUAUAUAAAUUUAAUUUGGAUAUGAUUUAAAGUUAAUUUAUGAGAAAUAAAAUAUUUAAAUGAGUUCAAAUAUUAAUUUAAUGUGAAUUAGGUUCAUAUUAAAAUUAUUGGUGAUGACAUAAAUUUAUAUUUGAAUAUGAUUCAAAUUUGAAUUAAAUUAAAUAUAAGAUAUUUAAUUUAGAAAUUAAUUAAUUGGAGAAUUAAUUUAUAGUUUAAUUUUAUUUUAUUUAAUUAAAUCUGAUUUUAUUAAAUUAAUUAGAUUAAAACUAUAAGAUAUAUGAGAUAUAUUCAUUAAAUAUGAUUUAAAUCAAAUAUUAAAUAAUUAAUUAAUUUGAUAUUUCUAUUAAUUUAAUAUUUUUUAAAUCAAUAGAAUCUCAUGAUUAUCUCAUACUCAUUGAAGAAUAGAGAGUUAUAAAUACACAGAAGAAAAUAGGUUUUUUAACCUGAGUCUUUGCUUACGAAUUGUCUCAGAAAUUCUCUCAAAACUUUUUUUCGUUCCAAUUGGUUUCCACAAACCAAUCUCAUCUUAGACGAUAGGAAGGUCUACGAUUAGUAGUAUCCCCAAUUCGGUGAUUUGCAGAUUUAGAGACAUCAUCGAAAGUAAGUUACUCUAUUAUGUAAUUCUAUAAUCUAAAGUUUGUUGAGCAUGUUUAACAUGAGUCUAAAGUAUAAGAAAAUUUGUUUAUGUAAUUGUUUGCCAUGUACGGUAUUUUAAGUUCUAAAUUAAAUUGCUCUAAGAUCUCUGUAAAUUUUUUUACUGUCAUGGGCUUUAAUCCCUUCAUGGUGGUCAUAAGAUGAGUAAGAAGUGGAAGCAAAACUCUUCUUAGGGGACUUGGGCUUGCAGCCCCAACCAAGAACUUUUGACUAGUCUGAUCGUCUACCCAAAACAGUCUUGCAUAUCUGUCUUCAGAGAAUGGUUGAGAACCCUCUGGGACGAGCUAGGACUAAAGUUCCAGCAUUUGAUACUACACAAUACAAGCUGUAAGUUGGGAGAUGAUAAGAAUUAAAAUAGAAAAUAUAAUAAAAAGUUUUCAUAAACUUGUAUGCACAUAUGCUGCUGCUUGCGAAAUGAACUCGUCAGUUCUACCAGUGCGUUUCUCAGUAACUCAACACGGUCGAUCGAGCAACCGCAUUCUACAGUGAGCUCAACCUGUCGUUGAAGGAAUGACUUGGAUUCGCUUCUAUGGUUGUAAGGUUGCUUCGUUCUAGCAGCCUUACAAACCUUUGAUUCUUCCUACAUUCAAACAAUGAUCAAAAUGUUAUUUUCAAACAACAAAUUAAAUGAAGUAUUGUUAAUUGAUUUUAAGUGGAUGACAUAAAUCACCUGAAAUUGUGCGGUCAUGUAAUGAUGUCAAAGAAAGUGUCAAUUUUGCCCGUGAUUGACCAAUCUGAGAGGUGGGUUUGCACAUGCUUCUUUAAGGUUGAUGUACUUCUUAAAAUGUUGGUGGGUGUUUCCCCUGAAUUGCUAUCACACUUGAGCAUCUGAUGUUCAACAAACCAAUUAAGUGUUGGAUCUUUGAGAUCGAGCACAAAUCAUUGAUACAAAAGAAAUAGGUUUGAGAUUAGUCUUUUACAUAUAUAGAUUCAACAUAUAUAUAUAUAUAUUAAAAAAUUUACAAACUUACUGUUAGGCCGCCUUGACGACCUCAAUGUGCACUUGAGGUACAUAUGUUCACCUCAAGGCUUGGACAAAAACGUGUCUCGCGUUAACAUACCAAUUGUGCAAUUGAAAUGAGGGUUGUGUCGCAUGACAUGCAUGUCCCAUUCUAGGGGAUGAAAUAGGGAUCCUUCCAUUAUAUUGUACAUACCUCUCCAACUCAAUGUUAUAGGAGUGGAAUCGUCUCCUCAGAGUGAAUGUGGGAGGGGGUUAAGAGGGAUCUACUACAAAACACAUUUAAUUAAAUCUAGUAACCAUAACUACAAGUGUUUAGGGUAACAAGACUAACCUGAAGUGUCACCCACCAAAGAAGAUCCUUUCGCUUUAUCUACGCGUCCAAGUUUAGGUACACAUCUACCUCAUGAAUACCAAUGGAAAAUGACAGCAUAAUUUUUGUAAACAAAAACCAGCAAACGUUAAACAAAUUUAAAUGUCAGUAUUGUAAAUGACCAAAUCUAUAGAAAAAUGACUAAUGUGUAUACGUGAAGAAGAUAAUAUUAUUCAUUGUCGCUUGAUCCGCUUUGAUGCGAUGAUAAUUGUUCAUCAUCAUCAUCUAUGAAGUCAUCUGCGACAUGAUGCACAUCCAAUCUUUCCAAUACACAUUAAGUUGAUCAACUUCAGUCCUGUACAGAGUGACCUCCUCAAUAAUAUGUUCGUCCACACGAUGUUCGACGAUGAUUUCCAAUACAUUAAGUUGGUCAUUCUCGAUAUCUUCCAUUUUUGGCAUGUCUCAUACACGUUUAUUUUGUACCACUUGGUACCAUUUUUAGGGCCCUCGAGGUAGAAUACUUGAUGUGCCUGGAUUGCGACAAUCAUCGAUUCCUCAACAAACAAAAAACGAGACAUAUUUAUUGAUUUUUAGCCUAGUUCCACGUGCGCCCUAUGACUUUUGUUGGUGUCUGUGUCAAACCAUUUACACUUUAAUACCAAGCAUGUAGUUUAAAUGAAUAUUGAACGUGCAACACUUCAUCCAAAACAUCGUAGAAAUUGUUGUCGGCACCUUCACUACCUUCAUCGACUACCACGACUCCACUGUUUUGUGUUGUAUGUCGAGAAUCACGUUCGAAGGUGUGAAAAUGUACACCACCGAUAACACAUCCACUGUAAGAGCGAACCUCAAGUGAAGGUUCUAUUGCAAGUGAAAAGAAAUCUUGAGAAAGGUUUGAACUCCCACACAUUUUUGUUAUAGCCUAAAAUGCAUGUACAUGAAUAGUUAUAUAUAAAAUACAAAGUAGCACAUGUACGAAUUCUUGAAUUCAUUUACUCUGUAUACCUGAGCUUUGAACCAAUCAGGAAAUGUUCAUGGAUGUUUUUUAAAAUUUUUAAAAAUGGUAUCACACUGACAACAUAUCAACCUUAGGUGUUUCCUAAAAUACAUAAUUGUGAGUUUUAUGACAACUGUAACAAAGACUUAAGAUAUUGAAUGGAAGGUAUGAAUUGAAGUUAGAAAUGUGUACUUGCGGUAGUCUGCUAUUUCAUCCACAUUGUUGAGGAUGUACCAAUGAAAGAGUUGGUUCUCUUCCUGUGAUAUGCUUAAAAAAGGUGACGCUCAUAAUGGUCGUACCUUUUGAACGAACACUUCGAACUAACCAAUCACCUCAUCCUCUGGAAUUCUAUCAUCCUUUUGUUCAUCUCUAAUAAAUCGGAUCUCAGUCCCACUGAGAUACCUCGAAUAAAAAGUCUCUGAUUCGUUCAUCAGAUAUCCUUCUGCAAUAGAUCCCUCAGGACAUGCUCUAUUACAAACAUAUUGUUUAAUGUGCGGAGACUUCUUUUAAUGGAUACAUUCAACUGUAAGAAAUCGGACCAACAACCUUGGUUUCGUAUGGUAAGUAAACGAAAAGGUGUACCAUUACGCUGAAAAAAACAUGUAAGAAUAUUAUUUUCAAUUUGCACAGUAUGAUUAUGAUAUAUGCCUGCAAUCUUCCCAAAUCACUUACUCUUAUCGUUCUGGCGCACAAAUCAUGAUAAAAACUACAUAGUUCAGUAAUAGCAGUGUAGACAUUUCUCAAUAAGAAUGGUCGAACACCAAUUGAUAUAAGUUGAUGUAACAAAAUAUGAUAGUCGUGCAUUUUGAAACCUAAUAUUUUUCUCUCGCCUUUAUUCACACAUCGUGAAAUAUUAGAAAUAAAUUCGCUUGCUGCUAGUCAACGUAUAACUCACAUGUGAUUUCACCAAUCUGUUACCAACUUCUAUCAAAUGUAAAUCCUUUCUUAUUAUUAAAUCUUGUAGAUUCAAUCAAGCAUUCGUGGUAUCCUUGGUUUUUCCUUCGAUAUUCAACAACGUACCGACCAAGUUGUCAUAAACAUUCUUUUCAAUAUGCAUUACAUCAAGUUUGUGAUGAAUAAGUAGUCUCUACCAGUACGGAAGAUUGAAAAAAAUACGUUUCUUAGUUCAAUCAAGAGCACCCUUUCUUUUCCUAUCUUUUAACAAAGGAUGCUUACUCAUAACUGGAAACUCCAACGGAUCUAGUUGUUCCAAGAUUUUUUUGUCAUUCAUUACCACUAGAGGUGUUUUACUCUAUACUUUUUCAUUAUGUAGCCUACUUCUACUCCAAAUGUGGUUAUCUAAAAGAUAGCAUCGAUGUUCCAUGAAAGCUAUUUUUCCUCUUAUCUCAAACAACGAUAUAUCUCCCAUGCAAAUGGGACAUGCUUGAUACCCCUUCGUAUUCCACCCAGAUAGGUCACCAUAUGUCGGAAAAUCAUUCAUUGUCCACAACAAGGUUGCAUAUAGCUGAAAACACUAAUUCAUAAGACAAUCAUACGUACACAUACCAAAAGUCCAUAACAUUUCAAUUCCUAAAUCAAUGAUUGUAUGUACACGUUAUUUUCCAUACCAGGAGAUUUUGGACAAAGAAUGAGCAAUGACAUGAAGAAGUUUGACUCUUUCAUGCAUUUUCAUGGGGGCACAUUGUAAGAAAUUAACACCAUAUGCCACAUACUGUACGAGAUACUCAUAUGACCGAACAUAUUAAAUCCAUCUAAAGCUAACCCCAAAUGGACAUUUCGUGGUUCUAAAACAAAAUCAGAAAAUUCAUAAUCAAAGUGCUUUUAUCCCUCUACAUCAGCUAGAUGUCUCAACACAUCAUCUGUUUCACUCGUUUAUCCUUAUGUCAUCUCAUGUCUGUCGAGCAUUCUUGCGAUACAAACAACCACUGUAAUCUUGACACUAACGAAAAGUAGUGCAAUACUUUUUGUAGAAAAUUUUUCCCUGAUCUCUUAGAACUAACCUUGUACCGAGACUCACCACAAGUCAGACACUGUUGCAAAUCUCCAAACUCCUUCUAGAACCAUACACAUUCAUACUUGUAGGCAUGAAUAGUUUCGUAUUUCAAGCGCAACUCACACAAUUUUCGUUUUCCUGCAUAGAAUGAACUACGUAUAUUGGUACCACAUAUUGGAAACACAUGUUUUAUCAUCUUUAACAUCGUGUUGAAGAACUUAUUGCUCCAACCAUUGAGGACCUUCACGUGCAUCAUCGCGACCAAAAAAUUUAGGGAAGAAAAUUUUGAACGGCUGGGGUAUAGUUCACAUCUUGCUUGGUUUAACAACUUCUUAAAUACCACAUUUAUUCUAUUUUCUUCUAAACCUACCUCACUAUUAAAUGACAUGUCAUUCUCCAAACCUUUCUUCAUCUCUUCUACAUGUUCAAUAUCAGCUUGCAAAUCAUGCAACAUGCCCAACAUUUCAUUUUCUUUAGAAAAUGUGUUACUACUAGUUCCUUGAUCAUAAGGAUUACAACUACUCGUUCCUUCAUCAAGUCUAUGCAUAGCUCUAUGUAAAUUCAUAGUCUCUCCAUGAUACAUCUGGUAUAUGUAGAAGGAGGCCAUUUCAGUGGUUAAUAGAUGUCACUCCACACCCUCUAAUGAGUCCCCAUUCGAAUUCAUACAUCUAUUGCAUAACCUUAUUUUUACAUAAUUAUUGACAUGGUAUUUUGCAACCUCUAAAAAUUGGAAAACUCCUUUUUUGUACUCAACCAAAAACUUAUUCCUAAAUUUCAUCUAACUUUUGUUCAUCUCGUUAAAAGAACCUAAAACAUAAAUAGGUUGGAUUAGUUUUAUAUCUCUCAUCUCAAAUACUUCAACUUACUCCACGAACAAGCUAUAUUGUCCAAUCCCCCAUCUUGCACUAAAAUUAAGUUUAAAUCUAAACUAAGUUUAAAUCUACCUAACAGUUCCAACAUACCUAACACUUCAUAAACACUUAAUUAAAAACUACAUAAGAAUCCUCAACACUACUAACAUAUUAGAAACUAAUUUUGACAUAAAAAACUAGGCUACCAUAAUUGCAAGAUAUUCAUAAAAUAACGCAACCACAGAUUAUGUCAAUGUUUUCAAUUAAAUAUCUGACAUUUUCAAAAAUUCAAAUUCGAAUUGAAUUUAAAUAGAAAUUCAUAUUCAAAUUAAAAUUAAAAAUUCAAUCUCAAAUUCUAAAAACAUACAUUACACAUACAUUAUAUAAUAUGAAUUUACACAUACAAUCUCAAAUUUACACAUACAAUCUUAGACAAUCUCAUACAUUCCACAUGAAAACAUACACUAUAAUACAUUACCCAUAAAAUCUCAAAUUCAAAUUACACAUAAUAUCAAUGCACACAUUACAGAUACAUUUUUCUAAUACAUACAUUAUAUAAUGUUUACAUUUACUUUUAUAAUUUUUUUUAAAAAACUAACCUUGCUUUGUAGGAUGGUGGGGGUUGACGACGAGGGAGGACAAAUGAUGGUGGACAACGGCUACACUGACAGUGAAGAUGAACGACGGUGGAUGAACGACGACUUGUUCAUUUUCUUUCUUCUUCGUGCAUUAUGUGAACACAUAACAACAAAUAGAUUUAGGAAUUAUCGACGCAGUUUGAAAACGUCGGCCAAUAGACCUUUUCUCGACACCAUAAAGAAAAACAUUGACAUUAGUCGAAACUAAGGUCAGCGUUUCACUAAUGGGGUUGGAAAAAAAUUAAUCCGUAAAAUUUAUUACUAACUUUCCCCGACGGGGUAAAAGUGUAAGUUGACAUUAGUUUAUACUGAUGCUGAUGUUUGUACAGUUACUUCGGGAAAAUGUUAACAUUUAAAUAAUUAUUUAACUAUUUCCCGACGUCGUCCUCCAUUGCAUCAAGGAAAGCACAACAAUUACAUAUUUAUUUCAACAUUUUUCGAUGUUAUUGUCCUCAGUGUUGGGGAAAGUUUAAGAACAAAAUUAAUAUUUGACCUUUCCUCAUGUUGUUUUAUUGUGUGUCGGGGAAAUGUGGAUGAUAAAUUUUUAAAAAUGAAAGUGACGGAUCAAGCGCGACGUUUUGAAUUGUGAUGUCGGGCUUGCUCCUCUAAGUCGAUGCCAUAUUGCCUGCGUCGGUAUUGGUCAUUUGUGCCAACAUUUUAAUUUUCAACGUCGGUUUCGAUGUCAAAAUUUUUUUGAUUUCUUGUAGUGUCGUCCUUCAUGCUUUAAUUGUAACCUACCAGUGCUAAAGUUUCUUAUAGACGUAGGGCGUGUUUAUGAGCAAUAGUUGGAGUAGUGACUUUUUUUUAAAAAAUAGGUACAAUUGAUUUUGUAAAAUUGAUUUCUAAGCCAUCAAAAUUUUGUUUGGUUCCAAGCUUGUGAAAACGAUUUUCAAAUAUUUAUAAAAUUAUUUAACCAAUUAAUUAUAAUAAAUAUGUUUUACUAAUUUAUUUAUAUAUAUAUAUAUUUUUUAAAAUGUUUUUUAUUAAAAAGUUGGUCACAAACCGUUGCUGAAAACUGUAGUUGGAAACGAUGGUUGAUGGUAGUCAUCGAAAAAUGAUGAUUAGAGUUUGGUAGCACUGGUCACUGAAGCUGAUCAAAAGGUUGGCAAUGGGGCCGCGAGGAGACACUCCUCGUCCCCGUGGGGAAUCUCCAUCCACAUCCCUGCCUCAUUCCCCGUUUUAGGGAGUCGAGGUUGAAGAUUAGGUUUUUGUGAGGAAAAAUUCAUCAUUUCUAUUUUUUUAAUUAUUUUUAUUUAAAAUAAAUUCAAAUUAAUAGUAUUAAAAUUUUUAACAUUUUUUCAUUUAAAUUUUAAUUAAAAAGUUAAGUUAAUUUAAUUAUUUAAAGAAAAAAACUAACAAAAAGAAAUUGUUUUUAAAUUUAGGCAACAAAAUAUGCUAUAAAUAAAAUACAAAAUAAAUAUAUAUGUAAUAAAAUAAAAUAAAAAAGCUCUUUCCCAUGCCUCAUCUUCUUUAGAACAAUAAGAAAGAUCGUUAGAUCGUAUUUCCGUCAGCCUAAGUUUCAAGUCAAUUGACUUUGAUUCUUAUGUUUCAACUCCUUGAAUUUAUUUACAAGGUUCCAUAAGACAAUGAUAUUGUAGUCGAAAAGAAAAAGCCUAGGUUAAGACUCCUUUUGAGGUAAAACAAUAGCGCUUCCAAACGGAGAGGAGGAGGAACCUUCUAGGUAGGCGCCCUAGAUCUGAGAGGUGAAAAGCUCGUCUUUAAGGAGAGGUAGCAUUUCUUGAAGUUGAAGCUGGCCCUUGUGUCUUGAAAGAGAGGGUUCACUCUUCCUUAUUAAUUUCCGCCCAUCCUUUUUCUAAAAAGAUAUAUGAUGUCGUGAAUAACUAAGACAAAUCCCAUCGAGAACGAGAAGGGUUAAAAAAUUUGAGAGGCGAACACCUUAACAAGUAACGUAACAAUGGACUCUAAUUGAGAACAAUUUUCCACAAUUUUCACAAACUCCUUAGCAUAGAAUUGAUCGUUUUCUAUAAUUUUAUUCAAAUAAACACCAUACUCAAUCUAUUUGAUGUUUCGCAAACUUGAUAGAAAUUUUUUAUCUUAGCAUUAGUAGAUAUAUACAACGAGGUUCUUAUCAUUAGUAAAUUGAGAAAGGUUGUUAGCAUUAGAAAUGGUAGCAAAUAUUGCAAAUACUAAUAAAAAUAGGUCUAUACACCAUACCAUUGCUUUGAUAAGUAUACUUCAAAUAUAUAAUGUAGACUCGUAAAAGAUUAAGGAAACAUUAAUCAUAUAUUGAAGUCCUUGUUUUGAAGAUACCACGUUCAUAUGUAAUCAAUGCUAAAUUUAAUUUCACAUUAUUAGACAUUAAUAAUUGCAAUGCUUGAACUAAUACAUUAAUGCCACUAUUUUAGGGUGAUUAUGUGGUGGUUUGUUUGUUGUUUUCAUAAUAAAAAAUAUUGAGUUAAAAUCAUCAUGGUUUACAUCCUUUUAAAUUCGUUUAAUUUUAGUUUUUGUAAUUUUAAUUUUUCUUAAAGUAAACUAUUAUAAAAAAAAAAAAAUAAUAAACCAUAAAAACAACACUAUUCAGGCAGUGAAAUAUAAUGGGUGGAUAUGUUUUCAAAAAUUAAAAGCAAACAAACAACAAUUUCUUUAAUUAAAAUCAACCAAACAACUUGAUAUAUGAAUCGGUAGUUAUUCGAGCUAACUAAAAUAAAUAAAAAAACAUGGAGAUACUCUUUUUAAAUCGUUAUGACGUUCGAUUAAUCUUGUUUAUAACAAUUUUUAUUUUAAUAUUUACAAAUAAAAUAAAACAUUAUUGUCUACUUGUGAUAUAUCGUGAUAUACAUAUAUCACGAUAGACAUAUACAAUAGUCUAUUGUGGUUUAUGGGACCGUGAUAUUUGUACCUUCCUCAUUUAAAAUAUUUAUUUAAAAAAACUAUAACUAUUAUUAUAUUAUUAAAGGGGAAGGAAAAAAAAAAGUUAAAUAUGUAUUUUUGGAUGAGCCGAUUCCGAAAAUCCAGGCCCAAUUUAAAUGUAAAACUGUCGGAGCAAUUGGGCCGAGGUGGCCCACUUUGUACUUCAUGGUUGAGCAAAAUGCAGAGAAUCGGAGUUUUUAAACGCAUCGCCUUGAAUGAACGAAGAAAUCCAGGUAGUGGUAAAAGGAGGCCAUCUCGACCGCCCAAUUCAGUUCGACCUUCGCCGGUGAUCACCAUGUCCUCCACCCUACGAUCCUCCUCCGUCACCUUCUUCUUCUUCUCUUCCCUUCUCAUUUCCUCACUCUCCAUAGUCCUCGCUUCCGAGUCUGAUCACAAGGUACACAUUUCCUUCUUCUUGAUCUCACCAUUUCUUCCCCCCUCCAACUCCCAUGAAAGUCAAAAUGGUGAUGUUAAUUAGUUUACGCGCCAUUGUAUUGGUUCUUCACUGUCUAUUUUAGCCAUUAAAUUGUCAGAUCUUGCUAUCUUCUUUUGUAUUGACCCAGAUCUGUGGAAUCCCGCGUUCUUUUAGAUCUGGGUUUUUGGUUUAGUGGUUGUAGAAAUUGGUAUUUCUAGGUCUUGGAUGCUUGGGGAUGGGAUGGGGGAGGGGGAUUUUGGAUACCUUGUCUGAUUAUUUAUAUUUUUAAGCUCUCGGACUUCAUGAAUUUCGUUGGAUGUUCGUUUUAGUGGAGUGUGGAUGAUGCUAAGGGUUACGAGAUCUCAAUCUCGUCUGGAGUUGUACCUAUGCUAUCUUUUUUGCGUCGACAGUCUUUCACGUCCGAAAUGGACCUCUGAAGUGAAACGAAAUGGGGACGUACGAGAGAUCUUGGGUGUAUCACUAUAUUUUAUGCUCGUCGUGAGCCUGGAUGGUCGUUGAUAAUUGUCUUAAUUAGAUGGGAUAAUCAAAUUCAUACUUCUACGUCUUGUACUGGGCUAUCUUCGAAGUGUUAUAUGACCAGACAAAAUGUCUCAAUAUGAAUUAAAAAUCUCUAGCUGAUUGCCGAUCAACGCUCCACUGACAUUAAAUUUGGAUGGGAGGCUACCAAUCUGAUUUAUUGAUGCGUGUCCUAUGCGCUUUGAUUCUGACGGAUAGGAGAACUAUCAUUGUGUUUCUUGCACAUUGUUGUAUCCGUACUACGUUGGCAAUACUUUUCUACAUAGAGUAUCGACCCAGUAUUGUAAUAAGAGUCUAAUGGAUCCAAAUUUUGGGUUUCUUUAAAGCGUAAUAAGAGUCUAAUGGUAUCUGGCUAUCUGCCUCCAGAAAGAUUAAUAGCUCUAUCAGCUUUGGAUAUUUUUUAUGCUAUUAAUCAUUUUGUGUUAUUUCUGCAAUCACUUUAUUCUGCUGUUGCAGCCUGUGGUAAUUGUAAUUUUGGAUCAAACAAAAUUAUUGCCUUUAUGUAUACUUCAAUAAUCAGUUGCAGCUAUUUCAGAGUUCAGAUCUGAAAUAGCCUCCAUAGUCGUUUCUUAACUUAUCUAGGUCAAAUUUUCAACCAUGGCGUGAUUGUUGUCACACUGUCUUGUAUCUGACAUAUUUUCUUCCGUGCUUUUAAGAUAAUAUUAUUUUUACGUUAAUCUAUUCCUUCCAUUGUUCCACCCUUUUUCUAUUUUUCCUUGUAGUAUCUACAAGAUGAGUCAGUAACUCUAUGGGUGAAUAAAGUUGGUCCGUACAACAAUCCACAAGAAACAUACAAUUAUUACAGCCUUCCAUUUUGUCAUCCAUCUGGUCAUUCUGCUCACAAAUGGGGUGGUCUUGGCGAGGUCCUUGGAGGAAACGAACUUAUUGACAGCCAAAUUGAGAUUAAGUUCCAAAGUACGCCAACUUCUUUUCAUGUUGGAAGGUUGAAUUUAGGCCUUGUGGUGAUCAUGGAUGAACUGUUGCAACUACUUAACUUUUCUUUUUUGCAGAAAAUGUGGAGAGGACCACUAUUUGUCAACUGGAGCUUGAUGAAUCAAAGGUCAAGCAGUUUAAGGAUGCAAUUGAGAAUGGCUACUGGUUUGAGUUCUUUAUGGGUAUGUUCUACACAGGUUUCUUGUAUUAAAAACUUAGAAUUAGGGGCUCAAAUAGAGUGAUCCAAAUCCAAAGAAAUACUUAUAUCUAGAACAGAAAUUUGAAAUUUGGUGAACAGACUGUCACUAGAAGAUUUGGAGGUCUAGUAUUUUAAGACCGGUGCUCUGACCAUGCAUGAAGACACUAGAAUCUGUUUGAGUUUCCAUAUUUUUCUCUUACUUAAUUUCAUAUUUCUCAUGAGCUAAUUUAUAUGCUCGUGUAUUCUUUUCUUGUAUGACCGGUAAGCCCCAAGGGAAAGGAAUUGCAGUUUCAGCUUCAAAUCUAUUAUUAAAUAUUCGAUACAUGUUCUUAUUUUGUAGUUUCUCUCUGACUGUUGUACAUAACAAUUCUUGAUUGAAGUGUAAAACUUAAAUUUUGACUUUCAUUUAUUCGACGAAUGAAUUCUUUUCUACAGUUUAUUUAUGUCUAUUGGUUAUGCAAAAAAUUGUUGCAAGACCUACACAUAUCUCAUCCAUACUUUCUUCUGAUGUUUUAUUUCAUGAUGCUGGAUGGGGAAUAAUCUUCAGAUGAUUUGCCUCUGUGGGGUAAGUGCUUUCUCUUAUUACAUUUUAGUUUGAUAUCUUGAUCAACGAAAAAUUUGGUGGUCCAAAGUGAUGCUUAUUGCCCCUUUUCAUUUAAGGCUUUGUUGGUGAGUUGCAUCCUGACAAGAAUAGCAAUAACGUGAAGCAUGUCCUUUACACGCAUAAGAACAUCAUCAUCAAAUAUAAUAAAGACCAGGUUUGUUUUCCACCUCCUGAUUUGCAUAGUUUUUUAAUAUUUUUUUUGGGGGUUGGCAUUCAAUAUAGAUAUGAUUUAACAACUAAAUUGUGAUUUUUAUAGAUUAUUCACGUGAAUCUCACCCAAGAAAACUUAAAACCGUUAGAGGUUGGGAAGACACUGGACUUGACAUAUGCUGUGAAGUGGAUUUCGACUAAUGUCACUUUCGCUCGACGAUUUGAUAUUUAUUUGGACUACCCAUUCUUUGAGCAUCAGGUAAUGGAUGACCCUCCUUCUCCCUUAUUGUGUUAUUUUCAUAUCUUUGCCCUAUAUCUUGAGAUUCUUCCUUCCAUCUAACUUAGUAAAUUCUUUAACUUCUUGUGGUAUUUUGUUACAUGCCUGUGUUCACAUACCAUAUCGAAAUAAUUUUCUGGCAUUUGGAAACUUUGCAGAUUCAUUGGUUCUCCAUUUUCAAUUCAUUCAUGAUGGUCAUUUUCCUCACUGGUUUGGUCUCUAUGAUAUUGAUGAGGACUCUUAGAAAUGACUAUGCUAAAUAUGCACGUGAAGAUGAUGAUCUGGAAACCCUGGUCAUACUUUCUUCCCUAUCAUAUGUUAUAUGCUAGUUUAAGCUUCAAUGUCUUCAACUGUCAUUUUUCUCUAUCUUAUGACUUUUUGUUUUCUUUUUGUACCUUUUAUCUUCUUUUUCAGGAGCGAGACGUUAGUGAAGAGUCUGGCUGGAAACUUGUGCAUGGGGAUGUUUUCCGGCCUCCUCGUAACUUAGUAAUUCUUUCAGCUGUUGUUGGUACAGGUGCUCAGCUUGCAUUGCUUGUUCUGCUUGUCAUCCUAUUGGCAAUUGUUGGAAUGUUGUAUGUUGGGUAAGUCAGGAAAUCUAACUUUUGUAUGGAAGUGUGUCUGACAUUUUAAAUUAAGGUGUAUAAGGAAACAAAUUUAAGUAAUUUUUUUUGUAAUGUUUUAAAAGUUGUGUCAAUAAGCACUCAUCACAACCUGCUUAUGACCGCUCCAUCUAACUACAAACAAAGGGGAAGAUUGCAAGUGACACUUUUGUUGCUUUUCUAUAUACAGGAGAGGAGCAAUUGUCACAACUUUCAUUGUAUGCUAUGCUCUUACGUCAUCCAUUUCUGGUUAUGUUAGUGCUGGGAUGUACUCACGCAAUGGGGGUAAGUAUUUCUACUAGUUUAGUGACUGCACUGAUUUGUUAACUUUAGGCUUCAGCGCAAUAUUGAUUUGUAAAACUACCCAACAUAUUUCUUUGAGGUUAUAAUACCAGUAUACUUUAAAGAUUUCUUUCAGCGGCUUCAGCACUUGGCUUAAUUCUUUGGCCCUUUCUAACGUUGUUAUCAUGACAGGUAAAAACUGGAUAAAAUCAAUGAUCUUCACAGCAUCUCUAUUUCCAUUUUUGUGCUUUGGAAUUGGAUUCAUCUUGAACACUAUUGCUAUAUUCUAUGGGUCUCUAGCAGCCAUUCCUUUUGGUACGAUGGUUGUGGUCUUUGUCAUUUGGGCUUUCAUUUCUUUUCCUUUGGCUCUUCUUGGUACGGUAAUUGGACGUAAUUGGAGUGGUGCCCCUAACAAUCCAUGUCGUGUGAAGACUAUUCCUCGUCCUAUCCCUGAGAAGAAAUGGUACCUCACACCAUCUGUUGUAUCCAUGAUGGGAGGAUUGCUGCCUUUUGGCAGUAUUUUCAUAGAGAUGUAUUUUGUCUUUACAUCCUUCUGGAACUACAAGGUAGUAUUGUCUUGUUUCUUGUUGGAAGUUGAAAAUAAUUUGGAGUUUAGUAGUUAAUUAACUGUCAGUGUAGUAGUUCAAAACUUCAGUACACUGCAUGCUAAGUAACAUAACAUUUAAAUAAUCAUUUGGUUACUUUUAUGUCAUGUUUGGAUUAAUUAUAGAAAAAAACGUUUAUCCAAAAAGUCAUUUUUAUUUUAACUCUUUUGAUAAAACUGUUUAAAAUAGUCGUUAAUUGUGUCUUGUAAACUAUUUUGAGAGGUUGACAUUUCAUUUCUUCUCUUUCCAAAAUGACUUAUUUUUAAACUAAACACUUAAAAAAGUUAACAAAACACACCCUAAAGCACUUUAUGGAUGAGAUGCUUGUUUCUUCAAGUUUUAAAAUCAAUUUAGGAAUUCCAACAAGACGUUCUAGGAUGUGUUGGCAGUAUUGGAAUAGCAACUUACUAGCUCGGCCUAUAACUUGUUGUCCCCCUAUCCACAGGUGUACUACGUAUAUGGAUUCAUGCUGCUGGUUUUUCUAAUUCUCAUCAUAGUUACUGUCUGCGUGACCAUUGUGGGAACAUAUUUCUUGCUUAAUGCCGAGAACUAUCACUGGCAGUGGACUUCAUUUUUCUCUGCUGCUUCAACUGCUGUCUAUGUCUACUUCUACUCGAUAUACUACUAUUAUGUGAAGACCAAGAUGUCCGGCUUUUUCCAAACCAGCUUCUAUUUUGGAUACACUUUGAUGUUCUGCCUUGGGUUGGGAAUUCUUUGUGGUGAGUUUUACAAUUUUACUGGCAUAUUCAAGUUAUUACGUGCUUUCUCGUUCACCUUAAAAGUGGCAUCUUCAACAAUUGAACAUGAAGAAGGCUUUGUCUUUCUUAGUUCUGUCUAUGAGCAAAUGUUGAUGGUCAUCUGAGAGCCAAAUUUCUUGCUAUGUUUUGAUUUCUGUAUAUUUUUGUUCAUGUUUCUUUUCUUAUGACAUAAAAUUUGAAUUGUGCAGGAGCUGUUGGUUACUUGGGUUCCAAUUUGUUCGUACGGAGGAUCUACAGGAACAUCAAAUGUGAUUAGGGGUAUUUUUGGAAGCAGAAGACCUACGCUACCUUGAAGCAUUUUCAUAGUGGAGGCAAUAACUUCGAGAAGCCCUUGACACAUGGGAGGCCUAGCAACGCAGUAAUACCUGUAGAAAUUAAAAGAUUUUGAGAUGGGGACAUGUUCUUAGCCCUGAGAUAUUUUCUUUUUGGUAAUUGAUGCGUUUUGCCCAAGCUGUAAUUGAAUAUCUUGAUUUAGAGUUUGAGAGAUUGCUUUUCAUAAUGUAGAAAAGUUGACCAAAUUGUUAGACCCAUGUCAUUUUUAUAAUAUUUUUUUUUUUGUCUUCACACAUCAUAAAGAAAUGACCGAGGUCUAUUUCUAUAUUAUGGUUCUAUUUGAAAUGAUAGUCGAUGGAUUGACACUCAAGAAUUACUGAAGGAGUAAGACUGGCUUUAGGAUAUGAUUUUGAGUUUGGCAGUUUGGGAUGUAGUUGUGUGGAGGAAGAAACUUAGAAUAUAAGAAUCCCCAAAUUACUGAAAACUUUGUGACUUGAAUGAAAAAGCAAAAAGCAAAAAGAAUGUUUAUUGUAUAGUUUCUUGAGAGAGAGACUUAAAAUGAUGUAGAAGAUUAGGUUAAGGCCAUAUGAUUCUGUUGAAAGGUAGAGGAGCGUGUGGAAGCCAUGGCCUCUCAUUCCCAUGGUCCCAUGAUUGUUGAUAAAAUGACAGAGUAUUAGCUCGUAGCCUUUCAUUUCAUUUCUUAUCUACAGGUGUGGGCUCCUCUUCUACUACAAGCUGAGUAAGGCAUACGAAUAAGAUCCAGAAGUCAGUGGCCAUUCAUCUUGGUAGAGCAGCAAAAUGACCAGUUCACCAGCACUUUCCAGUGUGACAUUGAACACCUCGUUUCUCCAGAAGCAGCCAACAACAAGGAUAAGGUUGGUGUUGAACUUUGGCCAAGAUUUGUUUAAGCUGAAGGGUGGCAGCAGCCGAGGUGGGCGAGUGAUUGCAAUGGCAGAGUACAACGUGAAGUUGAUCACACCAACAGGAGAGACGGAGUUCAAGUGCCCGGAUGACGAAUACAUUCUUGAUCGAGCUGAGCAAAUGGGAUUUGAUCUUCCAUAUUCAUGUAGAGCAGGGUCUUGCUCUUCUUGUGCAGGGAAAGUAGUAUCAGGGAAGGUGGAUCAGUCAGAUGGGAGCUACCUUGAGGAUGAUCAGAUGGAUGAAGGUUGGGUUUUAACUUGUGUUGCUUACCCGCAGUCAGAUGUUGUCAUUGAGACACACAAGGAGGAAUAUCUAUUUAGUUAGUUAGUUAAGUCUGCUUCAAGAUCUAGUUAUUUAUCUCCAUGAAAUGAUUCUGGCUUGCCUUCAGGUCCUUAAUCAGAUGUCUCAUGGAGUUUUUUGAUCACUUUUCUUAGUUUUACACCAACAUUCUAAAACCAAUUUAGGUUAGGAUUUAAAUUGAUAUAUUUGUAAAAAUUUUAGAUUUAAAUUGGUACAAUUAUUUAGUUUAGGGUUUAGAUUGACAUAACUUCAAAGUUCAGGGUUUAAAUUGAUGCACAUUAUCUUAUACGACUCCAAAAAUUUAGAGAUAUAAAUUGAUAUUUGUUCUAAUUUUAAAUAACAUCACUAUGCAAGAGACUAUCGAUAACUAAGGUCCUCAUUUCAAGUAGAGAAUACCUCACUAUUGUAAUUAGAGCGUAAAACACACCACUAACAUAAUUAAAGUCUCAACAGAUUUUUUCAAUAAAAUCCAUAGAGGGUUCAUCCUUAGUUUACAUCAUAUUCGCAGACAGCUCGUUGAGAGCACGAAUGAUGUCUAACGAGUUCGAUUAUACCCACAAAAGAUGGCUGUUGACAAUAUAACCUCCCCUUCCAAUACGUCAAUGGGCUUAGUGCAAAUAGAAGAUCUUUGAGAGUCACAAACUGCCCACCCCACCCCUCCAACCAUCUAUCCUAACUCCCACGCCUCACUGACCUUAUUUCCAGAAAGCUGAAGACUUAUCAUUCAUCUUGAAGAUGCAAUGAAGAUUGAACUUCUCAUCAUCGCUAUGCAAGGAAUGAAGCUAAUUUUUGUAGCUCCACAAAACAAUAAUCACCUUCGUAAGAUCCAUAUUUCUCAGUUUGCCUACGGUCCUCGCCUAAAGGUCCAUCGACAUCGACUACCAAUCCUCUUUGCAAGAGAUAAGUGAACCAAAUGAGAUUAGAAAAGUAUUGUUCCCACACUUUUUGAGCAAACUAACACAAACCACAUAUUGUGGCAUGCGGUCUCCUUGUCUUUCCUGCAAAAUAAGCCAAAAAGAGUUCAUAGAAACUUUAGAAGUUGUGUUAUGAAGUAACUACGUGUUGGUUUGAUCUUUUGUAAAUUGACUAAAAUUCAGAAGAAACAUAGAUAGUCUAAAGGAAAGAAAAAUUGAAGUUUCACUUAAUUUCAUGUUUGAGAGCUAAAUUACAUUGUUAAAUAACUUAGGUUAGGCUAGGAAUUAAAUUGCAAAUGAUUUACCUUUAGCUUUACUAAUGAAAUUAAGUGACAUAUGCUCUUUAUUGGUUCAUGAUAUUUCAUAAAGUUUUGAAGUUUUUGCCAUUUAAAUUUGUGGUUUUCAAGUCUGUCCUUAAAUCCAAUUCUUCUAAAGGUUUUUAGUUAGGGAAAUACAAAUCUGAGAUAAUUUGCCAUUUUUUCUUGUUUUGGUGUGGUUUUGAAGCAUUAUUUUGAUCACAUUCUUUUAAAGCUCAAAUAUAUGUUUUGGUUCCAUUGUUUAAAAUGCUUCAAUUUAAUAUUUAAGAUAUGUUUGGAAUUUUAAUUUAAAGAAUAUAAUGUUUGGUAACGUCUGGAAAUAGCUUUGAAAUGUAUUUUAAAUAGUUUUUAUUACGUGAAUUUAAUAAAAUUAAGUUUUUUUAAAAAUAUUUUUUUAUUAAUAUAUGCAUGUAUUUAUUUGUUUCGAAUGUUUUUUAAAUAUAGAAAAUGAGCUAAUUUUUUUUAAAAAUAAAUAUAACGAAAUUAUACUUUCUAUAGACUCAAAAUAAUCAACAAUUACUUCAGUGAUAGACAUUGAGAGAUCGGAGUCUAUUAUUGAUAGAAAGUAGUUCUUCUUUCUUAUUUCCUUCUUCGUUAUGGUUCCUUGUGUGCAUUUUUAUCCAACAAGUUCCAAAUCUUUGAAAGAAAAGAUUUUUCAAAGAGAAAAAUUGUGAGUUUAAAAUUAUUUUUAAGGCCAAUAUCAAUUUACAAAUCUAAAUUUUAGGUCAUAUCAAUUAAAACUUUGAACUUUAAUUGUCACGAUGCCAUGUAAAAUAAAAGGAUCAAAUUCUCUUCUCGUGUAUGGAAAUUGAAAUCAAUAUAAGAUAAUUUAGUAAAUAAAGAUACUACUUUAAUUAUCAUAUAAAAUAUCAAUAGUUUCAAUCUCUUGCUUUACCACGGUUGAACUCAAAACAAUAACAAUAAAAAAUUCAAUGGGACAACAUGAGCGUAAAUCCAACUUGUUGUCCAUACAUGGGUGGAUUUAUUAAGGAGUCGGGACUCCUCUCACAUUCUCGAUUUUUGUAUUUUAAUAUUAAUUUUGAAGUGUUAGAUUGUAAUAUAUAUUAAAUAAUGUUUUACCUUUACUAAAUUCUAGUUUUGGUGUAAUAACUAUGCUCUUCUACAAAAUCGUAAGGUUUCGGGGUUAGAUAUUUGCCUAUUAUAAUUAUUUUUGUCAUUUGCUGCAUUCGAUAAACAAAAACUUAGUCGACUUGCUCAGUUUUAUCCAAGAGAAUUUUCAGCUAUUGAACUCUCUUGAGUUUGUUGAACUAAAAAGCAUUGGUGAUCUUGUAGUGAAAAUAGUUGUUACAAAAAGAGAUAAGGUCUACCCAUUAUUUUAUCCAUUGCUCACAUUGACAUUGAUUUUACCGGUUGCAACAACUACUUAGAGAAAACUUUUUUUGCUAUGAAUAUUAUGAAGACUCGACUACGUAAUCGAGUUGGAGAUCGAUAGAUGAAUUAUUGUCUUAUAGCUUAUAUUGAGAAAUAUUUCUUGGAUAAGUUGAUAAUAAACUUAUCAUAAAUCGAUUUUAAAAUAUAAAAACUCGUAGAGAAUAGUUGCAAUACGUAUUAAAUUAAUUAAUCUUUAAAGCUACUAAUAUUUUUUAAAACAUUUUUUAGUGUGUUUGUUAUAUAGUGUUCUUACAUAAAAUUUCUAGAUCCACCAUUGUGUUCAUAUAUAUUUCAUUUAACAUGUGUUAAAAAUGAAAAAGUCAGUGAUUUGAAUUUUCUCAUUCUAUCGAAUUAAAGAAAACUGUGUGUCAAUUCAUUCAAAUUUGAUAAGAUUCAUCCACUUCAACCCUUCUCUAUUCAUUACUAACCAAUGCAAAAAUUCAAUGACACCAAAUUGAAGUUCCACCCUUGUCUUAAGAAGAAUGUUUACACAAUGUCCUAAUCUUUUAAUGCAGUGUGUUUUUAUUAGUUUCAAGAAUUUAGUGGAUCCACUUAUCAUAUAAAUGUAAAAUAGAAAAUACUCAUACAAAGUCAUCACUAUGACACAAGUAGUCACCAAUAGACAAAAUUCUUUUAAUGAAUAAGUUAUUAUUUCAUCAUUUAGUUUCCAAAACUUAUAUAUUUUGAGUAAUUGAGAUUUGAAUUUAGGUUUGGUUUAAUUCCUUCAAGUUGGGAGAGUGACAUUUAGUUCUUUCUAAGUUUUGAGUUUUUAAAUUGUUUUUAAGUAAGAUUACAACUAAAUGAUAUAACAAAAUGGUGACGUUAUAGUUAGAUAUGUCGUUUAGACUUUUUUUAAAUUGCUAAUUCUUGUCAAAGAAAGUUAGAUUACAAGGUUUUUAUAAUACAAUAGGAUUGGAGGAAUUUGAAUCACAAGAUUGCAUAUUCAGUUAAACUACUUUUGCAAAAAUGAAAACUCAAUGAUGGAAAAAGAGUUCAAAUCUUGUGUAAUGUUCCAAGUUUAGGUGUGAGUCGUGAAUGAAUUAGGAUCAUUUCUAAUUGAGAUAGACUUAAAAACAUAAGAUAAUGGUUAAGAAAAACCCAAAAGAAUUGAAUGUUUCUACGUAUUCCAAGAAUGUGCCUUCUUCUUUUGGAUGACUCAAUCAUAUAAACUACAAAACAUUGGUGUUAGUUUGUGAUGCCAAUAGCGUUAAAUGGUAGAGACAAAGAGUAAUGUCGAGACCAUUAGACAUCGAAUCUAGAUUCCAAAUCCUAGUAAAUACUCGGGCUUGGGACAUCUCGAGACCAAAAGUAUAUUUUGUUUAUUGAUUAUUAUUGUAUUUUAAAAAAAUGGUUUAUGAAGGCAUUAGUACUCGGUAGCAGCUGUUGUUCACAUUUUGAAACCAAAUCUUUGGAAGGAUAAGAAUCCACAACCAUUACCAUUCGUUGCCAAAAGAUAAGGCGUUAACUCACAUCCACACGCUCUCUAUUUCACUCUCCACGUUAUAGCCACACGACCCAAAAAUCCUCUUUAAAAAACCCUCUCCACUCUCUCAAUUCCAUUUCAUCUCAUCUCAUCUCCAAUCCAACACAAGAACAAUAAGAAAAAUGAGCAGCACCACUGCAAUCACCUCCCCAUUUCCGGCCACCUCCUUCAUCCGUCGGAAUCCUACCGGUGGAGUGAGUUUCAAGCCAUUUCCCAACAUGGGUGAGUCUCUGUACGGGCUGAAACACCGCGGCGGACGACUGGCGAUGAAGGCAUACAAGGUGAAACUCAUAACCCCAGAUGGAGAGAAAACGGUUGAAUGUGAUGCUGAUCUUUACAUUUUGGAUGCGGCUGAGGAAAGUGGGCUUGAUCUUCCUUACUCUUGCAGAGCUGGGGCUUGUUCUUCAUGCGUUGGGAAAGUGGUAUCAGGGAAAUUGGAUCAAUCUGAUCAGAGUUUUCUUGAUGAUGAGCAAGUGGCUGAAGGUUGGGUUUUAACUUGUGUUGCUAGGCCUGAGUCUGAUCUUGUAAUUGAGACUCACAAGGAGGAUUCCUUUGCUGGUUAAAACAGAGGAACAAGAAGGGAUUAAACUUAUUUUUUCUUUUUAUCUUUUCUAUCUUUGUUGAUGAGAGUAAGCAUAAUGGACAUUGUUUUCUUAGCUUGAUGAUGAUGAUGAUGAUGAUGAUGAUAUCUCUCUUUUAAAGUGUUUGUUGAAAAUUGUAUUGUUCAUUACUGGUUUAAGUUUAUUUACAACUCGGGUUUUGUUUAUCUGUUGUUGGGUUCUUAACUUUCAUUUCUUUUUGGCUUCUUUACUUUCAUGUGAAUGAUACUGUCUUUUAGCUUCACGUAUAUCACUUUAGCUCUCCAUUGUAAAUCAUUUUGUUUAUUGUUUUAUUUAUAUGUUGUUGGGUGGUUGUUAUUUAUUUCUCUUUGAUAUCCAAGUUGUGAAUGAUACUAUAGAUUAAUCCAUCUUUAUUUUGGGGAAUGGUAAAAAAUAGUCCAUUUUUUAGGGCAAUAUAUGAGUGAAAAGUUCAAUUUACCCUCAACGAAAUUUUCCUUCUCUUCACUUAAAUCACAACAAACUCAAUUUCUUCUUCCACUUGUUAUCUUCUUCCUCUAACCUCUUCCAAUCGUGGAGGACCAAUUUCAAUUUGAUCUUUUAGGGCUUUCUUCUUCCUAAAGGACAUUAAGGAACAAAAUAUUGCUGACAGACUAAGAUGGUGAGGAGAAUUGUGGCUUGUUAAGAGGUGAGAGGAAGAAGGAAAGAAGAAUUACUUUUCAGUUGUAGUUGCUGUUGACCGUCGUAGGGUGUUGAGUCGUGAGGGGAGAACCAAUGCAUGCGUGAGAUAAAUGAAGAGAAAAAGGGAACUUUAUACAACUGCUUACACAUUGAUCCAUAGAAGCAAUUUUGAGGCGUACUUUCAACAGCCUAAAAAUGAAUAAAAUUAAGUCACCCAAUUUUAACAAUAAAUUUAUUUGGUCUUUAAUAUUUUAAAAGACCCUAUUUUUAGUUCUCAAUUUUUAAAUUUAUUAUUAUUAUUUUAACCUGCCAUACUAAAUAACAUAUAAUAGAUUUUUUAAAAAUUAUAUUUCCUCUUCAUAUUAUUUUUAGCUUCAAAAUGUGAUGUACAACUAAAAUUACUUGUACCUUUUGAUCCUAAGCUAAGAAAAACUACUUAAAAAAAAAAAAAAUAGAGACAAAUAUGUGAUUAAUGUAGAAAAUUUGAAUUCAAUAAAAAAAUCACAUGGUAACAAAAUUCAACAAAUUUAAUUUCAAAAACUACAAAAGUUAUAUUACCAUUAAAAUUAUUUAAUAAUGAGUUUAAUUUCAAAAAGUUUUUUUUUUUUUUUUUGGAUAAAAUGUAUUCCAAAAUGAAGGUGGAAAAUGGGAGAGAAUUAAAAGUCAUUUUAUGUUAAUGUUUUAAUGUUUUAAUGCUUAAUGUAUUCUAUAAGAUAUAAUGCAUUAUAAAACAAUCUUGUUGUUCACACAAUACUUUCUAAGAAAUUUAAUUUGUGGAGUUGAACUUGUGUUGAUGUUGAUUAUAAUGAGAUGUGGUUUGUUCUCUAGUAUUUGAUCAUCUGAUUCUCUCUCGGUUGAAUGUUUAUGCUUGAUUUAAGGAAGCAAAGCACAUGAUGUUCUUGAAGUUAAAGUCUUGGAAGAAAGUUUGCAUCUUCAAAGGGAGCUUCAAUCUUCAAUGAUAGUCGACUUCAAGAGUUAUGGAGUUUCUGUUGGGAUUUAUGUCCUAAUACUCGUAGAUUGUAAAUAUAAUUCAUUGACCGUUGUUAAUAAAGUGUUAUUGUAAUAAUUGUUAUUGAUUAAAUUAUUAGUUUUGUCUUAAUAACUCAAAUCCAAUAAACUAACAUGGUAAGUUGUUUAAUGAGUCUUGAACGGUAUGCAGACACAUAUAGGAAUCAAUGUUCAAGAUCAGCUUAAAAUGUCUAUAGUAUAGGGAUAAGACCGAGGAGCUUAUCUUGGUAACACUAUGCAUAUGGCUAUGCAAAUUUAUAUUUAUUAUUUAAAUUAAAUAAAUAAAAAUGCAAUUCAAUUUUAAAUAAAAGAAUUUCUAUAUAGAAUUAUAUGGGGAAUGGUGAUUAGAAAACACAAAGAUCCAACAUGUUCGUGUAGUUGACAAGUGAGUAAGGAUAUCUUAUCCAAUGAGUUUACAUAAGACCGGACCGCGAAAUAGUAACUACUAGAUGUAAUUUCGUUAACUAGUUAGAUUUCUAUUUCACUAGAAUGACCUAGGUCACUUAGUCUUAAUCCUGAGUGUAUUAUGAACUCUUGUUAGCGAGAGAUUGUUCUUUGAUUUGUACGGGUGAAAGUGGUCACAUCGCCGACUUAAUAAGCUGAUCAUUUUUUAGAGACAAGAUCGAGCGAGGUGCUGUAAACAUAAUUACACAAGAUGAAAUUCACUCAUUCCCUAUUUUAAGGUAAGUAGAUCAGUGUUCUCUUAAACGGUGUCUCCAAGUCUUAAACAAAGGGUCUUACCCUCUCUAUGGCACGAGAGGGGUUUCUGUUUACUGGUAUGACCCUAAACAAGUUGUUCAUUAAAGGAGCACUGAUAUUUAAGGAUUAGAGGUAACUCAGAGGUAAAACAGUAAAUUGAUCCAGUUGGUAUUACAAACACUCGUGAAUGACUAACUUACUGUAAUUGGUCUAUAUUCGUGAACACAAAAAUAUAUCUACAGUGAGAAGAGUUUAGCUGUGAGUCUUUAGUGGAGUGUACGCAUAGUUAAUGAAUAUUGAUUAAUGUGGUUAAUGAGUUUAGCCAGUUAAUCUCAGAUUGUUGUAGCUUCUGAUCUAUAGGUCCAUUAGGUCUCCUUCCUAGCUCGUAAAGGGUAAUGAGAUUUAUUUAUAUUGGUUGUAAUUUGAAAUGUUCAAAUUUACUUUGAGAAUUAGUUUAAUGUAUAGUGAUGCAUUAUAAUAUAAAAUUUAUCAAACUUUAUUAUAUAAAUUUAAUUUUGGAUAUGAUUCAAAAUUAAUUUAUGAGAGAUAAAAUAUUUGAAUGAGUUCAAAUAUUAAUUUAAUGUGAUUUGGAUUCAUAUUAAUUAGGAGAGAAACUUAUAUUUGAAUAUGAUUUAAAUUUAAUUUAAGUUAAAUGUAAAAUAUUUAAUUUAGCUAUUAAUUAAUUAAUAGUUUAGUUUUAUUUAAUUAAAUCUAUAAGAUAUUGUAGAGAUAUUCAUUCAAAUAAGUUCUGAAUGAAAUAUUAAUUUAAUUUAAUUUAAUUAAUUAUAUUAAUAUAAAUCUAUAAGAUAUUAGAAAGAUAUUCAUUCAAAUAAGAUUUGAAUAAAAUAUCAAUUAAAUAUGCUUUAAUUAAUUAUAUUAAUAUAAAUUUAUAAGAUAUUGAAGAGAUAUUCAUUCAUCGAAUGAAUGAAAUAUUAAUUAAAUUGAUUUAAUUAAUUAAUUGUUAAUUAAUAAGUAGAUUUGAUAAUAUAAUCUUAUGAUUCUCUCUACUCUUUUUUCUAUUUAAAAAAGGAAAGAGAGUUAUAAAUAUCUAGAAGAAAAAAGUUUUCUUUAAAAAAAUUGAUCAAGAAAAAAAGUAAAGACUUUUGCUCUGCAAAAAAAAAAAAAAAAAGAGCUUCUCUCAACUAUCUCUAAACGUUUUCUCAUCCCAAUUGGUUCCUACAAACCAAUUUCAUACCAGAGGAUAUUUUGGGAUUCCCAAAUUAAAUUGUCAUAGGGUUAUCCAUUCAAUUUCUUUAUAGUCCUUCUAGAGUAAAUUUUUUUUCCCUACAAAUGAAGAUAAUUCCCUAUUUAUAGAGUUAUAUAGUGGACUUUAUGGGCUUGGGUCUGGUUGGUCCAUGGAUCAGAGACGUUUGUUUUCUUCUUCUUUCAUGGCCACACUCAAUCUUUGAAAGAUUAAAGAUCGAGUAGUUGAAAGCUUGAUGCGAUCAAAGACAGAAGUUCUAUGCUUGGAUUCUUUUGAACCAUUGAUUUCUUUUGAAGAUAUAUGAUUGUUGUCUCCACUAUAUUAAUAGUAUGACAAGCAAUGAUUUCUAAUACGUCCUCUAGAUGAUCAUCGAGGAAGUUUCUUGGGUCCUCAUCUCCAAUGUAGACAAUUCUUCGAACCGGUCUUUGCAAUCCAUGCUUAGAGCUUUUCAUCAGUUUAUGUAGUCGAUGACUAGCUCUCUCUUUCGUUGUUUGGUGUUUGUCAGCUCCAUCUACUGACCAAAUGCCUAGUGCUAUAGAAGCAGUUAAGAAACUCAUUUUCCAGCUGUUAUCAGCUGUCAAUUACUUACGACUUCAAAUUGGUAUACCACUCGAAGGCAUUUUCUUUUAAGCUUCGAACGAACUGACUGAUUGGUUGGUCUCCUCUCAAUCUUGUCGUUCUCGCAUGUUUCAAUAAAGUGAGCAACGUAUUGCUUUAAAUUAUCAUUUCCGUCGAAUUGUUGAAACUUUGGAGGUUAGUACCCAACAUGCAUUCGCAAGUCAUUGGUUCUCUUGGUAUAUGAUAUGUAGUACAUAAGGGAAGUUUGUGGUUAUCCUUCAUAAUGAGCUCUUAUGGAGCUUAUAAUGUAAAACUCGUACUAAAAACAUCAAUACAUUACAUUAUAACAUCAAUAACAAGGUUCGUUCUACACAACAUUGGCCAAUUGAGACCCUUCAAUAUCGACCUAUCUAUCUAUUCAACACUUGGCUAUAGAAACCAUAAUGAAACCUCUAAAUUUGUAAACCAUUAUGGUGCCAAAAAAAAAAAAACAAAACAAAACAAAAAGAUAGAAAACCAAAAACUUGGGGGAAAAUGUAGGACUAGUAAAUAUAUUCAUUCAUAUCAGAAAGAUUAUCACAACUUUUUCCUAGAACUUGAACCAUUUAAUUUGGGGGAUGGGCUUGAAGACUCCUUGAAUGCAGAGGGGCAUAGGUCACUAACACUGGAAAAUUGCCAAAAAAGGAUAUUUGUUAAGAGACUAAACACUUUUGGGAUCAAUUUUUAAAAAGUUGAGUUAUGGGACAAAUAAGCAUGUGAAAAGUCCAACUUACUAUUUUAUUAAAAAACCCUAAAAAUGAAUAUUGUGCUGCAUAUUUGUGAUUUCUUCACUUCUACCUUGCACGCAAAUUCUCUUUAGUGAACUAAGACUGUGGAUGAACUACAACCAUGAGAUUCCAUUGAACGUUGUCCAUAGAGCUUCAUUUUGAAACUCAUAGUGAAAUUUUGAAAUGUGCGAGAUACAUGCGAGAUGAUUUUGUGUAUGUUUAGUAAGUUUAUUAGGCCCUUAUGGUUUAUCUCGCACACACCUCACACCUAUCUCGCAUGUUUCAAACUGUCACUAUGAGUUUCACAAUCAAAUUGCUACCCCUCCUAAGUCAUUUAGAGUGAUUUUGUCCAUGUUUAUUAAAUUUAUUAGACCCUUAUGUUUUAUCUCGCACACAUCUCGCACAUUUCAAACUUUUACUAUAAGUUUCACAAUCAAAUUGCUACCUCUCCUAAGCCAUUUAGAAUGAUUCUAUGCAUAUUGCACACAUCUAGCACGCAUCUAGUAAGGGUUUGAAUAAUACAUUAAAGACAAUGAAAGAACAAAAUUAUUCUCAAUCACAUUAGUCACAUACUCUGUAUCACAAAUGAUCAACUUCAAGAAUACAAUUAAAUGGUUUGGCAUAAGCUCAAAGAGAUACAAAACGGUAACUCCAAUUCUUGUAUUGUCUACCCUAAACCUAAUUACACCAUGUAUGUCCAAAUCUUUUGCUUUUAAUAGGGCAUCAAGCAUUGUUUGAUACUUGCUUUCCACCGGUUGUUCAAUCUUCAACUAAAGCAGCCAAAUUUUAAGUAACAUAUAAGCAAUAAAAAUGAGGAAAAAAAUAUAUGGAGAAAACUAAUAAAAAGAGCCACUCAAAAAGUUCACAAAUUAAUGGUUUGCUUCUUCUUUAUCUGAUUCAUCUCUUAUUUGCUUCUUCAACUAUGCAUUAUUUUAUGUACCCUUUUCAAGAUAGUACCCUUUUGUAUUCACUAUUCCUGGAUCAAAAUUUAAUUUUUUAAUGAGUUGAAUAUUCAUUUAGUUUAAGGAUCUAAUACCAUAUUAGAUAGCAUGAGGCUUCUUUCAAAAUUAAUUGGUAAUGAGAGAAUUGACUCAUCUAUAUAUCUUAUAAACAUUAUGGAGCCCUUGAUUAGAAUCAUCGUAACUAAUGUGGGUAAAAACUUAAUAAUUAAGGAUGGUAAGCCAAGUUAGAGAAACAUAUAUCAUCCAAGAAGCUUGUUGCCCAACCCAAAAUUUAAACCAUUUAGAACAGAACUAAAUGAAGUUGAAGGAACAUGAGUUAAAGCUAUCUCCUGUAGGGCAUAUUGUACACCUGAAAUAUUUAGUAUUCUUGAGACUCAAAUACCCGUUCAUCUAAUGGUAUUGAUGGAAGAAGUUUUUCAAGUUUAGAUGAUAGUUUUACAAACAUGGAAGAUUUAGUGCUCUCUGACUAGAGUAAUGCAAAUUAAGUUCAUAAAUAAUAGAAUUGAAUUAUCAAGUUAGGAAUUCAUAUGAAAAACAAUGAAUUUUGAGCUCAAAACAAAUAUGAAAAUCAAAAUCAUUCACAUUCUUACAAAAACUCGCCAUCCACCUGAUAAUCUAGUCAUUGUUGAUAAUCCUUCUUCUCAAACACUGCAACAUCAAGUUCCACAAUAUUGAACAACUUAGUAACAACAGUAGGUACACCUCUAAAGAAAAUAGGCCUACUUCUCCCACACAUGCCCUUCUCCACACGUUCAACCCUCGCCGAUGUCUCAUCCCCUGAAUCGGAUUCCUCCAAGCAAGAAACGUAGGGCAUUCCAGGGCAAUCCAUAGUCGUAUAGAUUGUGAGGAUGGAAAACGACAUCAACUCCAUAUACCUCCUCACCGAAAUCCAAUUUUCACUGCAAGAUCAUGUCUUGGGACUUGAGUGAGUCAUGUUCCACAGUGAAAUCACUGGAACUACCAUUGCUUUCGUAGUUUGAAUGAAAAAUGGGAAAGGAAAAAAAGAGAAAUCAAAGGUUUUGUGAAAAUGAGGGAAAAUGGAAUAACAGAGGGAGAGAUGAGAGAAAAAUGAAAAAUAAAAUUAGGGAAGUGAGGAAAUGGAGGGAGAAGGAGAAGGAGAAAGAAUUCCAUAAAUCGAGCUGAUUGCCCUCUUAGCCUAGAUGUGAGUCUUCUCCUCUCCUCCUUAAGCCAUUUAAGAUUUUGGUUAGUUUUAGUAAAUAUUUUAUUGGAUUUUGGGUUACCCAUCAAAUAUCAAUUACCUUGGUUUUAAAAUAAUUCAAUUUUGGUUAAAGGUGAAUUAUUUUCUUAAUGUUGGAUUAUUUCUUGAAGAUUUAAUUGGCUAAAUUUCUUAAUUGGAGGAUUGGAGCUAUGGAAUUUACCGACCAUUCAAGUUUGUUUUAGUUUCAACCUUAGCCUUGAGAUAAGUUUGGAUACUUUUGUAAAUAAUUGGGUGAUUGGUUGACAAAAUUAAUAAUUUUAAUUUUGUUUCUGUUAAAGACUGUGUUAAUUGGAAAUUGAUUGUCAACAGAAUUUUAGCUAAUCUCGAGGUAAGAGAUUCUACUACUAGACCUUCUACAGUAGAUUAAAGAGCUUGCAUGUAUUUUUCUCUUAUUAUGCAUUAAGGUAGCUAAGAUGCAUAAUGUGACUAUUGGGGAUGACUGAUAUAAAUGACUGCAUAGAUGACUACAUGGACUAUCUUUAUAUAUGACUGAGAUAUGUUAUGAUCGGGAUAUGUUAUGAUCGAGACAUGUUAUGAAUGAGACAUGCUAACUUAGAUAUGUUAUCAUUAAGAUACGAGAUGACAUAGAUAUGAUAUUUAUGAUAUGCUACAUGUUAAAGACUGAGGUGUUCUGUUAACUUUGUUUGUUAGGGUCGUACUCAUAUGGGUGUCCCUCGGGAUCACCACCAUUAUUAUGACUCUGUGUGUUCGAUGAGACCACCAACCUGUCAUGAUAACUUUUAUAACUUUUAUGAGUGAUUCGAUGGGGUCACUUACAACCCGAUUUUCUGAGGUGUUCCUUUGGGUUCACCAAAGAUCAAAUGUGUUUCUAUGGGAUCACAAGAUAGUGUGUGUUCGAGAGCACGAUAGUUAUGGGUACUAUUUGCACAAGAUUUUCGGAGAAAUUUGGUUCGUGGAGUUGAACUUGAGUUGAUGUUAUAUUUUGUUGAUUUGAUGUGAUAUAGUUUGAUCUCUAGAAUUUGAUCCUGUGAUUCUCUCUCGAUUGGAUGCUUACGCUUGAUUUGGAGGAAGCAGAGCACGUGAUGUUCUUGAAGUUGGAGCAUUCGAAGGAAGAUUGAAGAUUGGAGUUGGAGUCUUGGAAGAAAACUUCUAUCUUCAAAGGAGCUUCAAUCUUCGAGGAUGGUCGACUUCAAAAGUUAGGGAGUCUUCUAGCUCUUGAGAGAAUUAGAAUUCUCUAUAGAUCUUUUAGAGUAAAAAAUUUUCAACUCUUACCAACAAGAAGAACUCUUCUAUUUAUAGAGUUCUCUACUAGGUUUUAUGGGCUUAAGCCUAGUUGGUCCAUAGACUCGAUCCAUGGGCUCAACUACACGGAUUUUGGUCAUAUUUAUCAUUUAGGCUCAAUUAAGUUUAUUUUUUGGUUCAAUUGAAAUUAGUCCAAAGAUAAUAUUUAAUUAAACCAAAAUAAUUAAUUUGAUCCAACGGUUAUGAUGAAAACAUGUGGCGUUAUCAUAAUUGACCAAUUUAUGUUUUCAAUUUGAAUUUGGGAUACAUAUUAAUUUUUUAAUUAGUUCCAAAUUCAAUUAUUUGCAUUUUUACCAUUAAUUUAAUAAAUGAUGUGGCAAUUUGUGAUUAGUCUCAAAAUUUUCUAUUCAACACCUACUUCAAAACCCUAUCAAAAACUUAACAGGCUAGACUAAUAGUAGGUCCGUUACUGAAUAUAUGUUUAUACUCACUUUUUUUUAUUUUUAACUUUUCAAGCAAAGGUAGAGGUAGAGGAAAGCUGGCGAAUGACAAGGGAAAAGUUUAUGUUGUUUCUGCUUUAUCUUUACAGUAUUUUGACUUUUGGUAUUUUAUUUAGAUUUAUCGAACCUAUAUUUUACUUUUAUGUUAUUUUAUUUAAAAGACAAAUAAGACAUGAACGAGUAUUUUAUCUAUUAUUUUUAUCUUUACAUACUUAUUUAUAAUUUAUAAAUGAGUAUUUGAGGUUUUUUUUAUUCUAUUAUUUUUAUUUUUACGUACUUUAUUUAUAAUUUAGAAAGGAGUAUUUGAGGUUUUUUUUUAUUGAAAGAUUUAGUAUCUUCUUUUAUUUUAUUUGUUUAGAAAAUAUUUAUUUAUUUUAGUAAUAAUGACUUCAGCUUAGUAUAAAGAAUUGAGUCGUUACAUUACUUAACACGAUGACAAAAAGAAAAAGGGACUAGACACUAUAAUAAAUAGUAACUAUUACCGUGAAGAGAGAUUUGAAAUAAUGACGUUGUAGAUAAUUUUAUGUUAUAAAUAGCUGUAAACACAAUUAUUAUAUAUGGAGCUCCAAACAUGUAGACGACUAUUCCACUCGCUUCAAAUGGAUGGCCAAACACAUCCUUAUAGUAUAACUUCUUAAUAAAAAUGUUCAUUAUGAUCUCAUUUGAUAACCAUUUUGUUUUUGGUUUUUUAUUUACAUUUUUAUUAAAUACAAUGGUUGAAUUCUUAAGCAAAUUAAAAAAAAAAAAACGUUUUGAAAGCUACUUUUUUAAUUUUCAAAAUUUAGCUUGGUUUUUUUUAAAAAUAGAACAAAGCGUGAAAAUAGUUACACGGUAUAGAAUAAUUUUGAAAAAAGUAAAAGCUCACAAGCCCACAAAAUAAAAAAAAAUACAAUCGCGAUUAAUCGGUCCAACAAGUGUGAAAAAUGAUUUUAUACCUAGUCUGAACGAUCUUGCACCAUUAUACCUAAUCUAAACGAUCUUGCAUCCUUGUACCUAAUGUAAAUGAUUUUGUACCAAAUCUAGUCAAUUUUAGAUUCAGUCAAAAUGAUCUUGCACUAAAGCUAAAUGAUCUAUUAGUGAGAGUCGUCUAUCACUAUCUAUAUGAAAUAGAUAACUAAUUGUUUAGAUAUUAGUACACGAUCAUCUAGAUCCUGUAACAAUAUCGUUUAGAUAUUCGACAAAGAAGAAAAAAAGAAAAUGAAAGAUUAAGAAGAGUGAAGAAAUUUUGAGAGUGGAAAUGAAAGAAAUUGCAAGCAAGUGAAAUUCUGAAGACAAUAGUAUAAAGAAAUUGCAAGCAAGUGAAAUUCUGAAGACAAUAGUAUAAAGAAAUUGCAAAAAAUAACUGAAAAAUCGUCUUGCAAUAAUCAAAAUAAAUUGUCUAAAGAAACAAUUAGUUUCGUGGAUCUUUUUUAUAUUGUUAUAUGGACCGUAAAUAUUUAACAUUUUUGUUAUACAAGUUUCUUUUUUCUUUUAACUAUUAGUAGAAUAAAAAUAACAAAAUUAGAAAGAAAGAAAGUGAGGUAGAAGUCUACAAACUUAAGGUACCAAAGCAGACAUAUUUUCGAAUCCUCCAUUUUCAGCUUAUCCCCAAUCCAGCCUUUCGUACGCUUUGAGAGAAGAAAAAGAAAUCGAUAAGAGACAUCAAUAAGUACUGAAUGUUUUCUUUCUUAUGGAUUAAACUUGAUGAUUACCAUCACGUCAUUGUUAAUCUCUUCCUAACUUAAUAUACAUAUGACACUGAAAUCAUUCUUCAUGGGCUAUAAAAAAAAUUGGUCGAUGAAGAUUGUUGUACCGAAUCAGUUCAACCUUACAAAAAGUGUAAAAACGUGUUCAUGUCCUUUUGAACAAGUCGAAAAGUGACUCGACCUUGCUAUCUUCGCCACUCUCUGCAUUAUUUUCUAGGCCAUUAGCAUGAGAAACUCUUGCAGAUUGUGAUAGAAAAUCCGCCAUGGUGGGGGGAAGUUCUUCAUGCCUCCUUAAGCUUGAAGACUCAAUAAUAGCCUCUAGUUGGGCAGUAGAUUGUACGGUCACCUGAUUUGAGGUCUCAAAAGAUGAGCUCCGUGACAACGUACCGGAAGCAAUGGUUAUUUCAUCUCGUUCAUCAACCAUUGAUUCAAGUGAACAUACUGAUCUUGUAGUGAUGGAAUGUGCAGAGUCACGUUUGGACCUCUCCUUUACUCUCUUGCACCAACUAUGCAAUGACUCUCUCACGCUCUCAGCCACCAAUGCUUUCUUACACUUGGAUCCCAUCUGAAGGUUUUCACAAAAGUAUUGAAAUUGUAGAAAACUCAACUUUUUAAAUUUAUAAAAAUCCAUUUGAAAAAUAUUAUAUCGUAAAAAAGAAAAGUUGGACAAACCUGUGUAACAAUUAUAUUAAGUGGCACAGUGCUAUAGCUGCACCAAAACUGUACAAGAACACUGCAUAGACAAGGAAUUGAACAAAUUGAUGAACAUAAAGAUUGCAAGAUUAGAUGGAAAGUCGAAUUAGAAGCUAAGAGGAUUGCAAAGAAUAUAUAUAAUAGAUUUAGUAUACCCAAAUCUAUCAACCAUUUUGGUUUUGUGGUAUUUAAUAGGGAUAUUUGGGAAUCUAAUAGAAAAACUAUAUUAUUUUUUUAGAAAAAUAAGAAUGAAUCUAUUAUAAAAAAGGGCCCUAAUAAUACCAAUCAUCACAACAAAUAUGCCCCAGUUUUGCAAAACAAACUAUCAAACAUUCAAAAAUCAUAUCAACAUGAACCAGGAAGCAGUAGAUGUACAAACAUGAAACAACAUAAAUCUUUUAAUUUCUUAGUAUAUCAACAUCUUGAACGAAAAACUUACCCUGAAGUCAACCUCGUGAUUAUCAUAAAGUCGUUCUUCAUGAAGCAAGAUCUUUCCUUAAAUCCCCACUGAAGUUAAGAAAUAUAUCCAACACUAUUUAAUUCCCCGUGAUUGGAAAGGAAACAACCAAAACACUUUUUUUGGCAAAUGUGAGCAAAGAAACACAAGUGAUUGAGUUUGAGUAUAUUCUUACCAAGGACCAGAUAAAUGUCGCCAUCUCAAAUGCAUUCUGCAAGUUCGAGUAAUAAACAAAGAAACAACAUCAAUCAUUUUUUAGAACUGAUGAUCUAGUUAUAUGGAAAAUUUGAUGCGUACUGGACCUGAAAUAUGAUGAACUGUAUUAACCGUAGUAAAAUCACAGGCUUUCCAAACCAAAACAGAUCGUCUCUUGGUUUUAUUUGAAUCCCACCUCUCUGUUCCAAAACUUCAAGAGCCAAAGAGGAUACAACAUGUUGAAGUUUUGUCCCAACGAGCAUAACAAGCUUUGUACCAAAACGAUCAGGCAGUUCGUCAGUUUUAGAACAAUUUGCAUUUUUGGUUUGGAAAUAUUGUAUAUCUAUAGAUGUAUCACACUUGAACACAGAUAUUACUUACAGCAGCCGGUAUGAAAGAAAGCCAAAAGUAGAUAUUUAAACCUGUUGUAUAGAGAUAACUUUAAACAGUUGGAAAAAAAGGAAGAAAUAAAACGUAUAUGGAGUCUUUAUAACAUUAUUCUGUCAUCAAAAGUCACCGUGAAUGUUGACAAAGAUGCAAAGAAUGGCGUAGCCCCAUAGCGGCCAGCUGCAUGAGAUGUAACUAAAUUCAGCCAUCUUAUUUCUUACCAAUGAAACAGAUUUAAUUCAUAAAUAACUGCAUACCUAAUUCCAAGGAUUCCAUGGAACUCGUCUUCCAUGCUCCGAACCAUGUACUUGUGGAAAUCAUAAGAGAUCGGUAAUUUGUGCUUCUGGAUGUUAUUAGAGCAGCACUUAAGUGAAGCAGUUUGACAUAAAUGUAAUGUAAAUGAGACAAAAAAUUGACCUAAUUUUAUACAUUGUAUUGCCCUUGUACGUCUAUCCUCAAAAUAAGAUUCAAAACUCCAAUGGUCUACCUUUCAAAUUUAUUUCCAAUUUGAUCAUCUUAGUAAAAUUAGAGUUCAUCAACUACCGUACUUGAGACAUCUAGAUCCUUAUCUUAACAGGAGUAAUUUGUAAGGAUUCAACUUGCUUACUUCACUAUUUCUUCCUUACAAUGGCCAAAAACAGAGGUAACCCUCUGCUAUCUUUAUUUAUAUAUAGCCAAAAUGAGUACAGAAAAACAUAAGAUUCAAGAAAAACAAGGAAUAAUGAAGACAAACCCAGCUUCCUCUAGGGAAAGACUGGAUAUUCCUCUAGGCUAAGCAGCCGCCAACUUCAGGAUAAAAAUAAAACCUACCUCCCCUAGACCUAAAAACCCUAUUUAUAUUCCUUCUCUCAUCUUUCUCUUAUUUCUGUGCCUGGGCCCCACCUGCACGAUCUCCUCCUCUUUUUCCUUCCUCAUUAUUAAUUUGUCCAAUUACUUUUCUGCCCCUCCUUUGAUAUGUAUGAAUAAUUGGAGGUCUUACAAUACCCGGGGCUCCAAGUUCACCUUGUCCUCAAGGUGAAACUGAGGGAACUGCUGAUUCAAUAGGUAAACUGAUUCCCACGUUGCUUCACUGUCUGGUAAGUUCUUCCAUUUGAUCAGCCACUCAUUGCCUCCUAGCUCCUUGUUCCACCUUAUUCCCAGCACGUUUUCCGGCCACAAUUGUAGUUCAAAAUCCUCAGUUAGUAUAGGCUGUUGUUGCUGGACUACAUGUUGUUUUCCCAACUUCAGUUUCAGUUGAGACACGUGAAAGACAUUGUGAAUGGCGGCCUCGGGCGGUAGUUGCAAUCGAUAAGCGACCUCUCCUAUCUCUUCAAUAACCUCAUACGGCCCAUAAAAUUUUGGGGAUAGCUUUUCACAUUUCUUCCGAGCUAGUGAUCUUUGUCGAUAGGGUCGUAGUUUCAAAUACACUUCAUCCCCAAUUUUGAAUUUGAGCUCCCUGCGGUUUCGGUCUGCCAUUUUCUUCAUUCUAUUUUGAGCUAUGCAUAGGUUUUCCUUCAGUGCAUUGAGUGCUAAAUCUCUCUCCUUCAACAUGACUUCUACGUCAUUGUUAGGAGAUUGCUUCCAUCCAUAUGACAGCAGUGGCGGGGGAGUUCUUCCAAAAACAGAUUGGUAAGGAGUAGUUUUGGUGGAUGCGUGGAAGGUUGUGUUAUACCAUAAUUCCGCCCAAGGGAUCAGUUUAUCCCAUUUCUUCGGUUGUUCAUUGCAAAAGCAUCUCAAAUAGGUCUCUAGGCAUCUGUUUACCCUCUCGGUUUGUCCAUCGGUUUGGGGAUGGAAUGCCGUGCUUCUCUUCAAAAUGGUGCCCAUGGUAGUGAACAACUCCUUCCAGAAAUUGCUAAGGAAGAUCUUAUCACGGUCGGUAAUAAUGGACUUGGGUAUUCCAUGUUUGCUGACCACUUUUUCCAAAAAAAUUGAAGCCACUUGCUUGGCUGUGUACGGGUGUUUCAGAGGCAAGAAGUAGGAGUACUUACUUAGGCGGUCGACGACUACCAUAAUCACGUUGUAACCUCCUGCUAUUGGCAGCCCUUCAAUAAAAUCCAUGGUCCAAUCCUCCAAUAUCUUGUCGGGUAUAGGAAUGGGUUGCAGAACUCCCGCAGGCUUUGUAGCUUCGAACUUAUUACGUUGACAAGUGUCACAUUCUUCUACAUAUCUCUUGAUAUCAGCCUUCAUUCCUUUCCAAAAUAGUUCCCCACUCAUUCUUUUAUAGGUUCUCAAGAAUCCCGAGUGCCCUCCUAAUAUGGAAUCAUGGAACGUGUGUAGAAGACUCGGAAUGAGGGAGGAAUUUCGCGGCAGCACCAUCCUUCCUUUAUAUAGCAGCCUGCCAUUGUUCCACUGGUAUUUCCCACCUUGAUCCACCUCUCCCUUAAGUUCGGCAAUAAUUUUCUGAAGUUCUUGAUCCAUUUCAACUUCCUUCGCUAUUAUCUCUAUAUCAACUAUGCCUGUGGUUGUCAUUGUAUUUAACUCCACCGAAUGGUCCUUCCUUGAGAGAGCAUCCGCCACCUUAUUCUGCAGACCCGGCUGGUAUAAGAUCUCAAAGUCAUACCCCAAAAGUUUUGUGAGCCACUUUUGGAAUUGAGGCUGAACUUCCCUCUGUUCUAACAGAAAUUUCAGAGCCUUCUGAUCUGAAACAAUUGUGAACUUUCUGCCCAGGAGAUAAUGUCUCCAUUUUUGCACCGAAAGGACAACCGCCAUCAAUUCCCUUUCAUAGAUCGACUUACCCUGGGCUCUUGGGGACAGUUUCUGGCUGAAGAAUGCGAUGGGAUGACCAUUCUGUGAUAAAACUGCACCUAAACCUACUCCUGAAGCAUCAGUUUCGAUUGUGAAGGGCUGAGACCAAUCCGGCAAUGCUAAUACCGGUAAGGUUGUCAUUGCUAGCUUCAGCUGGUCAAACGCUAUUGUAGCUUCCUCAUUCCAAUGGAAUGCAUUUUUCUGAAGUAAUUUGGUUAAGGGUGCAGCUAUUUCUCCAUAGCUUUUCACAAAUCUUCUAUAAUACCCAGUCAGUCCAAGGAAUCCCCUCAGCCCAGUUAUAUCUUUCGGCCGUGGCCAAUUUACCAUACUGCGAAUCUUGUCCUCAUCAGCCUCCACUCCUCUGCUGGAAAUCAGAUGACCCAAAUAUUGAACUUGGGAAUGAGCAAUGACACAUUUAGACCUAUUUGCAAACAAUUCAUGGUCCCUCAAGAUAGCAAAAACCAUUCCUAAAUGUUUCAUGUGCUCAUCUAUGUCCACACUAUAAACUAGAAUGUCAUAAAAAAAAACCAGGACACACCUUCGAAGGAAUGGUUUGAACACCUCGUUCAUGAGAGAUUGGAAGGUGGCAGGAGCAUUCGUAAGGCCGAAAGGCAUCACCAAGAACUCAUAAUGUCCUUCAUGCGUGCGGAAAGCUGUUUUCUCCACAUCUUCCUCCCUCAUCCUAAUCUGGUGGUAUCCAGAUUUAAGGUCUAACUUUGAGAAAACUGUCGCACCAUGAAGUUCAUCUAAGAGUUCUUCGAUCACGGGAAUUGGAAAUUUAUCAGCCACCGUUACUUGAUUGAGUUUCCUGUAAUCUACACAAAAUCUCCACCCUCCGUCCUUUUUCUUCACUAAGAGGACCGGGCUCGAAUAUGGGCUGCGGCUUGGACGAAUCACUCCAGCUUGUAACAUUUCUAACACCAAUUUUUCAAUCUCUUCCUUUUGUACAUGGCCAUACUUAUAUGGUCUUACAUUAAUUGGUUUCUGAUCGGCCACGGUCAGAAUGCGAUGGUCUAUGGCUCUCCUUGGCGGUAAACCCGUGGGCAACCUAAAGACAUCUGCAUAUUGCUCGAGCAAUCGCUGAACCAUGGGUAAUCCUUCUUCCUUUCCCUUCAAUUCAGCUUCUGUUUCCGAUUCUCCUUCAUAGUUUACUUCAUAGUUUUGGAAUUCCAAGAGGAAUCCUUGGUCCCCGGAUUGCCACGUUUUCUCUAAGGUUCUCAAUGAACAUUCUGACUUCGUUAGAGAAGGGUCACCUUUUAGGAUUAUUCUUCUACCCUUCAUCCAAAACGUCAUGGUUAGGGAUGGCCAGUGAACCUUCAUGGUUCCUGUCGAAUCUAGCCAUUGCAUCCCAAGCACCAAGUCUACCGUUCCUAACUCUACCGCUAGGAAAUCUGCUACGAUUGUUAACUCUUUUAACUUCACCUUCACCCUCUUGCAAAUCCCACUUCCUUCACAUUGGUUGCCAUUCCCAAUGGUAACUCCAAAACGAGUUCCCGGAUCGAUGCUCAGCUGUAGUUCAUCUACCAACACUUGGCUGAUGAAGUUAUUGGUCGCCCCGCUGUCAAUCAGAAUAACUACUUCCCUUCCGUUCACAUGUCCUUUUAAUUUCAUCGUCCCCUUUGAUGUAACUCCCGUGAUCAACCUCAAUUCAAUAGGGUUAUCCAUAUUCAAUUCCAGAUGAUUCAGUUCUAUUACUUCGCUUGCCUCAUCCUCUGUAUCCUCUUCCCUUUUGUGGUCUUCUUCCUCAUUUAGUAUAAGGAGCAUCAACUCUCUUUUUUCUCUCCCUUUACAUCGAUGGCCUGGGGCGUACUUUUCAUUACAUCUGAAACAAAGCCCCUUAUCCAGCCUUGCUCUAAAUUCCGUAUCCGACAGCCGUUUAAUUGGGGAUCUUUUUUCUGGUAAUCAUUUUUCAAUGGAAUAGUUACCUGCUUCAUCACAAACUCUGUCUUUUUACUUUCUGUCUUCUCAUUUUUUCCUUGAAAUUUGCUGCUGUUCUCAUUCCUUUUGGGCUCAACUAUAUCCAACUCUUCCAUCGCCAGUUUUAAUGCUAUAUUCCUAUCAUUCACCAGCUGAGCUUCCUUCAUACAUUCCUCUAAAGUUUGAGGGUGUCUGCUGAUUACUUCCGCUUGCAGUGAGGGUUCCAGACCCGUUAAAAACGCAUCCAGCAGAACACUUUCUGCCAUGUCCGGGAGGGGGGCUGAGUAUGUAACAAACUUCUUAACGUACUCGCUGUAUGAGCCUUCUUGCUUAAUACGGAUUAAUCUUGCCCCCAAGCUCUGCUGUCCUGUAUCAUUAAAGAAAUCAAACAUCCUUUCCUUCAAGUCCUCCCAAGAUUCCACCCUCUUUCUACGAUUACUCCAUCUAAACCAGUCUACCUCUUCCUGUCCAAAACUCACGACUGCUACUUUGACCUUCUCAGCUUCCGGUAAGUCAUUUAUAUCAAAAAAAUGUUCUGCUCGGUACGCCCAGGAUUCAGGGUUCAUCCCUGUAAACAGUGGCAUUUCUAAUUUUUUGUACUUACUUUGGUCUGCGCUGCUUCCACCCGACUCGACUAUGGUUCCGGCCUCUUCCAGUUUUCCCUUCAGUUUCAACCUGAUGUCGUCCGUAGUCCCUGCUUCUUCUGUUUUCUUAGCACCAUGGUUUUCUCUUAGCUCGUCUGUCAUUCGAUCCAUCGAUUUCUUCAUUUCCAGCAUCAUCUCCUUCAGACUCAUAAUUUCCUUUUCAGUACCUUCUACCCGUUCUUCUAUCUGUCUUUGAGCCAUCAGACGCGUGAUCACCCCCAGUGUGGAGGCUCUGAUACCAAUAUGUAAGGAUUCAACUUGCUUACUUCACUAUUUCUUCCUUACAAUGGCCAAAAACAGAGGUAACCCUCUGCUAUCUUUAUUUAUAUAUAGCCAAAAUGAGUACAGAAAAACAUAAGAUUCAAGAAAAACAAGGAAUAAUGAAGACAAACCCAGCUUCCUCUAGGGAAAGACUGGAUAUUCCUCUAGGCUAAGCAGCCGCCAACUUCAGGAUAAAAAUAAACCUACCUCCCCUAUACCUAAAAACCCUAUUUAUAUUCCUUCUCUCAUCUUUCUCUUAUUUCUGUGCCUGGGCCCCACCUGCACGAUCUCCUCCUCUUUUUCCUUCCUCAUUAUUAAUUUGUCCAAUUACUUUUCUGCCCCUCCUUUGAUAUGUAUGAAUAAUUGGAGGUCUUACAUAAUUCUUUUCUCGUCACUUUACCAAAACUUGACACAAUAUGCUUUUGGUUUUGCAUUACAAGAAUAAAAACUGCAGUUGCUCAAUGUACUCAGGGUUAGCUCUAGUAACCUUGUCAGAGCUGUUUUCCCAUGAGUUUCAUUCUUCCACACACGUGUUGGCUAUAUAAAUAAUGUCUUUCUAUAUAGGAAUGAAUCCCACACGGAGUACUCACUGUAAUGAAACCCAAACGGAGGGCCAAAUAGUCUGAUUUCUUUAUCGAACUCUUGAACUGACGUAGGAAACAAAGCUGCAUCAAAAACCAUCCUUAUAUUGUUAGUAUAGGGUAAAAAGGUCAUCCAAUGAGUCAGGAAAUUUUAGUCUACAAGUUGCUGAACUCAUCAAUUGACUUAGAUUGAAAUUGGGGAAACUUUCAUUAUCUCAUCGGUUCAGUUUGAAUCUUCGAACCUUUUAAUUUUCCUGAUAUUAUUCAAAAUGUGUUUUUUCUCUCAAUUUACCUGUAUAAAACUAGAGAAUACUAAUUUAUCCUUCAAUAUUUAGUAGUAAAAAAACGCAUUUGCAGCAUUUUCUUUCUUCUUCUAAGAUGGAAAAGGCAACCCUUCAUUCACGUAUAAAAUAUGAGUUACUUUCAGAAGUUUAUUUGUGCAAAAUUAUCCUAAUCUAGGCGAUAGCACAGCAAUAGAAACAUACAAAAAAAUGAGCAUCAUUUAAAAGAGAAAAAAAUACCAUCCAUAUGAGAAUACGACUCCUGCUCCAUGGAUGAGAUGUGUGAUGGAAAACAAACGUCGUUUGCCGCCUCAUGACCUUAUUUCUUUUAGCUAGAAUCAAAACAAUGCCACAAUAGGUAAGAAAAACAAUCUAAAGGAAAGAAUAUUAUCGAAUGAGGGUGAACUAAAUGAUUGAAUAGCUUAUUAAAAAGAUGGAGUUCGUUUUUGUAGUCAGUAUCAAGAAUACCUUUCCUUUCUUUGUUAGGUUUGAUUUUUCUUUACGCCCCUGUAUAUUCUUUUAUUUUUUUCAAUGAAAGUAUUUGGUUUGUCUAAGGACAAGAAGGAAAAGAGGGAAAACAAAAACAAAACAAAACCCUUAAGCAUCAAUAAACAAGGAGGAAAGUAUUUCCCUUUGUCCUGAAUUUGUAUACCUGGUAAAUUAUCUUCAGCAGCUAAUUUAACUUGACUUUCCCAUUUCCUCCAACUGUAUAUCUGAAAGAGGCUCAUAGAAAUAUAGUAAAGCUGGCAAUGGUUUUGAGAGAACAUUAUUUUACACAAAAAGAUACUCUCUAAGUCAACAAUAUUUUAUUCCCCAAGUAAUUAAACAAUGAAGAUCUACACAAAUGCAUUGAAGAUCGAAGUAACAUCAUUUUCUUAAGGAUAUCUAUAUAAAAGUUUCGAUAGCAAUUGGCUAAAUUUUGCAAAAUGCCCUUGCACUUUAGACCAUGUCAAAAUACCCCAAACUUUCAAAAGUUCCAAAAAUAUCCUUAAACUUUCUAAAAGAGUUCAAAAACACCCUUCCUGUUAGUUUGGAUGGAAACCGUUAUUAUUUUGUCUAAAAAAUACCCUUGAACUUUCAGAACUUUCAAAAAUACCCUUUUGACUUAUAAAAAAAAAGUUAAAAAAAUACCCUUGCUAUUAAUAUAUGAAUAGAAACCAGUAACGCCUAGUUGCAUAAAUACUUAUAAAAUUUCAGAAGUUGCAUUAAUACCGUUUACUUUUAUCUUACUGUUUAUCUACACCUCAUCACCUCUUCAAUUUUUUUUCCCUCCCCUACUUCAAUCUAUGGCCUAUAACUUCUCCAUUUUCUUAUUUUUUUUCGCCCCUCCUACUGUCCUAUUAACUAUUUAACCUUUUGUUUAUCUUAUUUUUUAAAAAGAAAAAUUGUGUCAUUCAAUUAAGGUAUAUAGAUUAUAACAAAAGGAAAGACCAAUAACGGAAACACCAAGGGAACCUUAGGACUUAUAUGCUUUCACAAGAUUAUACGUCAGUAGUUGAGUGUAUGAUAAUAUAGCCAAAUACAUUUUUUUUUGUAUUUGGAUAUUUACAGUUUUGGUAAGUUUUAAGAGGAGAUUUAUAUUUUUGGAGUUCAGUAGGAUUUUAUGCUUUAACUUGAAGUUAUGCUUUAUAUUCUAUUGUGACAAAAUUGUUGUAAGAAUUGGACAAUGAGAAACAAAAUGUGUAUCUAUAUAAAAAGAUGAUAUCUAUAUAAUUUGCUUUAAACUUGGUUCUAUUCGAACUCAAGAAAGCUUCAACCGAAACACCAAUGGUUUCCAACAACUAAGAGUAUUUUGUAUUAACGCUCAUUUCAAACAGCAGAAGCAGUUUUUAAAUUCCCUUUCCUAAUGUUAAGAAUAUUAAUGCACCUUUUAAAAGUUCAACAAUAUCUGACACGAAUAUUAUCAGUUUGUAUUCAUAACUGAUCAUAAUGGCAUUUAUUAAACAAGGGUAUUUUUUAACUGUUUUUGAAACUUUAAGGGCAUUUUUUGAACUUUUCAAAGUUCAAGGACAUAUUUCUAUAAAAAUACAAAGUUUAGGGGUAUUUUGUAUAAUUUAGCCAAUAGCAAUUUAAGUAACAUAAUAUCAUACUAAAAGUCACCUGUUCAAUAUUUGGUAACAUUAUUUUCUCUCACUCACUAUUGAUAACACUAGGUCAAUCAAUAUUGUUGUUGGGUCUUGUGUUAAUUACUUUAUUUAUUACACUGAUUGAAUGAAUUUAUUUAAAGAGGCACAAAGUGUGGGUCGUGUUGAUUUUUUAAGUGACAUGUUAUAAGGUUUCUCUUGACAGGAAGUUAGCAAUAAUGUUAAAGAAUAUAUAUAAUUUGAACUUUUCUGGUGACUUAACACACUUUAAACUAGUAAGUCACGUUAAUGAAUCAAGAUGAUAAAUGGAUCUCUAUUUGACUCUACGUCGAGAUCCAUGAUUGCAGUCUCCCUUGCUGUGAAAAUCCAAGAUUAUUCAAUCUAUAUUUGUGUUCCACAUUUCAAAUCUCUAAUCAUGUCAAAUAAAAUUUAAAAUUAGUAAAGUUUUGUACCUUACUCAUUGCCAGACCAACAGCUAGACAGCUAUAAAGAACAUGAGUGAUCCCAAGAACAAACAAGAACCGGUGAAGUUGUUCAAGUCCCUCAUAUGAAACAAAAGGCUCACGACCCUGAAAUCAACAGUUAGAAUUUUGUAACCCUUUUUUGUCUGUUUUUGUCUGCCGAAACAUUAAAACAAAAGAUAGAAGCAGAUGCUCAGUUACCUCACCACAUUGAUGCGGAAGAGCACUUAAUUCUCUUUGAGGAAUGACAAUUUCAUUAUGAGACAAUAGAGAACUUUCAAGCAGAAUAUGUUCAUUGGUGGCAUAAUCUUCUUCUGAACAAAUGUAGAAUCUACUGGUGAAAAGGGACGAGUUCACACAAAUUUCAGAUAUCCACCUUGCACAUUGUGCCAGCAUCAAAGAUAUCAGUCCAAGCAGCAUCAGCUCUACCAAGAAGGGAAACAAAAUUCAACGUGCAAAAAUUGCAAAACUAUAAACUCAAAGGCAUUCUAAUGAGAGAUGCUUGGCGUGUGUUCUUUAUGUCUUUUGGAAUAGAGAAGUUCAUUCGGUCUAUUUAAAGCAUGUUUAGAAAAUUUUAAGGUGGUUUAGUUACAUAAUCACUGGCCAAAGUAACAAUGUAUUUUAAGCUUACCUUCCUUAAUCUUCUCCAAAGAAGCAAACAGAGCCUUUCUCUUGGUCUUCUUCAACCACUGCACACAAAAUACCUCCAUCAAGAAAAUCUAUAACCUUCGUUUUUCUUGUCACUAACACUCAUUUUCUUUUAUUUCAUACAUUUAAAAAAAUUAACAAUUUUCACUUAUGUUAUUCCUCAAUAUUCUCUUGCUCGACCAAACUUGCUCCGGUAUACUAUUCUUAAUUCUCAAUAAUUAUCAGCUUGGUGUAAAUGUGAGGAGGGGAUGGUAGAACGAAAACAUUGCCUUGGUUAUUUGUUUGGUAGCUGAGGGACUAGCAAAAAUUUUAAUGCGGACCUUCUAUCUACAACCGGAAAAAUAAUCAGGAAAAGUAUUUGAAUACAAUAAGUGCAAGAUCCUUCUAGUGCUCGACAUUUUUUUAUUAUAGUGUCUACUUUUACAAUACAAUGAAAAUACUGAUUAACACAAACAAUUACACAAAAAUAUCAACACGUGAAUGAAUAUUUAUUUCUUGGGGAUCAGAUCACAUGUGAUAAGACUCAAAAGAUUUCUUAUAAUAUGGGUGUUUUUAGUUGACAUGAUUUAUGGAAAAAGUUCCAAUUACAGAAAGCCGUACCAAACUGUUUCCAAUAACAUAGCCAUUCGACGAAAAAGUCUCCUAUUCCUCAAAUUCCCUUCCCACAUUUGUAAGAGGGGAUAAAAAAACCAGUCAACUAAUCUUCCAAAUAAAGUGUUGAAAUGCCUUGAAUGCUCCCAAAAACCAAGUACUAAGUUUUUUUUGGUUAAAUUCAUAUUUGCUAUAUUUAUGCCAUUUAUAAGAUAUUAAUCCUAGCAUUUAGAGAAGCACUAUAUAAACUGUAUAAACUCUCUUAACGCUUGAGGUGUACAUGAAUUCUUAUUCUCUAAUACAAUUGUUCUCUACAUCUGCUAAUGGACGUGUCAAUCAGUUGCGGAUUCCAUAAAGGUAUCAGUCUCAUUCAGUCAUUCUCUAUAGAAAUGCAAUCAAACAGAUUACUAGCAAAACAGAGUAUAAUUUUGGCAUACCUUUCCAAACCUAUAGAUUGCCCGCUCCACCACCAAGCAGACAAAGACCAUGACAGUAACCACAGAAGCAACCGAGUAGGUAGGCGUUUCAGCCAGUGACCUUCCUCCUUGAAGUUCCAUUAUCACUGGCCUGAAAGAAAUGUGAGCGAAAAGUAAACCAAAUACCUUCCCGAAGGAAGGGGAAAAUGUUGGUGGGCGAAUGGACCGUCAGCGAAGACGAAAGAUCCAGGAAACUUGGCGGUGGGGGAGAAGAAGAAAGAGGAAAUGAUUUUUAAUGGAAAAAUCACAGGAUCUUCCAUGUUGUUUGCUUCUUCAACAUGUGCCAUGAACUACCGAAUACUAUAAUAUUCUAGAUUGCCUUCGUUUCUCCAUUAUUUCGAUCUGCGCGCUUGCGACUCGUGUAGAUUCGUAAAUAAUAAAGCAAUGUGCGGGCAGUGUGUUGCAUUGCAUCGACAUUGCUGCCAUUUUGGAUUCGAUCCAGCGAGCUCGAUGGCGCUCACAUGGUAUGGUGACAGUGGAGGGGGGAAGACUUCGAGUCAAAGCUGUACAUAAACUAGUCAACGAAAUUGGCCCACAUUCCACGCUCUUGUGUAGUCUAUCCCACCGGAUGAUUUAUUCGGACGACUGUUUGGAGUAAAGAGUUAAGUACUUCCACAAUAGUACUCAAUCAUAAUUCAUGGUUGUUGAAUCUUACUAUUGAAUUUGAUGCUAUUAAACACACAACGCUUUUUUGUUUGCACAAAACAAAUUUCCCCCGUCAUUUUAAAGGGAAUUAAAAGUGGCAUGUCAAAUUAUCUACUAACCCUUCAAUUCAAUCUGUGUGUCUUGGGGCCAUUGCCUCUCUGCUACUCGACAUUAUUUUAAUCUAUAUACUUAAUGCACGAUGCAAGUUCCUCGUUACACACGAUCCUCGAUCCCAACUUUUAAAACUUGUAUAUUUAAAAAAAAGCAUAAUGUUCAUUUCCUUUUUGUGUUAUCUCACAACGUUUACUUUCCCUCUCUAGCUCUUUGAUAGAUUUUUCUUGAAGUUUUUCGUUUAAUCUUCUUCUUUUGAACUCAUAUUCUAUUCAAUAGUUAAGAAACCCGUCGUUUGACCUUUGCUUCAUUAUUUACAUGUCGCUGGCUCGAUUCUCAACACAUGACAUUCGAACUCUGUUUCGUCUUCUACACAUGAGAAUCUCCAUUCAUUUCGUUUUUUGCAUAGAUUUUCAGUUUGUCAAAAAAAUGUCAGGGGUUACUUUUUCAAUUCGUUUUUGUCAAACAUAAUCAUUCAGUGUGCACUUGGUGAGUAUGCAUGUAACAUCAUUUAAACUGCAUCGUGUAACAUGUAAAAGGUAGCGAGGAUCUUGUAAUGUACAUUGAGAAGCGAGUAUUGUGCAUCGAGUAUCAAGUAUUUCACACAAUGGCUAAUAAUUUUUUCUCAUGUCCGUCUAUGAGUAGGCUAUUCAAAAUUUCGGUCAAGGAUCGUUUUUCAGGCCAAGCCCCAAGUUUGCUCUCUCACAAUGGGGUAACUACCAAGAUUGUUAAGGAGAAACUCACCCCAUUUAACUUUAUCUAUUCAAGAGGACAGUAUUUGGGCGAUUUAUGGACUGGACAUCAUAUUUAGUAGCUCAUCGAUGCGCUACAUCCUACUGGGGAGGAGGUGAAAGAUGAUAGACAAGAUGACAUGAUGUUUGAUUUGAAUGGAACUACCGUUCGAUUCACGAUGCAUGAUUUCUUAUUGGUGAUGACGGGACUGUAGUGGACAUUAGACUGUGUCAUUAGAACAAUCGAAUGUGAAUUGGAAGAUUCAGUAUUAAAAUACUACAACAAAUCCAUCGCAUGGGGUAUUCACAUAACUACCCUAAAACCGUCGUACAAGGAGAUGGAGUUUGAAAAUGACUUGACGUUGUGAAAAUGAUUGUUGUAUAUUGUACUGAGUUGGUCAUAAGGAGCAGAGAGAAAAUGGGGCAUAUAUCGACUUGAAGUUGUUCAUCCAUGGACUACUUUAAUAGUAUGCACUAGGAAACAUAAUGUGGCAGAAGACAUUUUUCGGACUACAAAUGGGAUUGGUUGGUAAGGUCGGAAGACAUAAGAAAAAAUAGAAAACUAGUAAGAGCAUAAUAUUAUCAAAUACAAUCUUCCGGAGGUUCGUCAUGCAUUUCAGGUAAUAAUAGCUACUACCAUAUGUGAAGACGAAGAUUGGGCCCUACAACAAACCCAGUAAUGGUGCCCUUUUCCAACAAGACCACACAGAGAAACAAUUGUUCCUUAAGCUCAUGAAGGACAUGGAGUGGUAAUUUGAAUAUGACGUAAGAUCAUCAUUUACUCCUUCUCAUAAUCAACAUGUUACAUAAUGAUCCUUAUCUCUCUUUGACACCCUAAGUUUUAUAGGUUAUCAACUCCUUUCUUUUCUCCAAAGGUCCCUUGUUAAUCACUCGAAGGUGUGCAUUCAUAGGUUCACAACAUUACCAUAUGACAUCUUCCUGUUAAUUUAGAUACCACAACUUUUCUAAAUUAUUUGCUCAUUAUGUUUGUUUAAUUACAAACUCACUUGAACCCCAACGAGGACGACAAUGUGUUUAAAGUGAUAUCCAACAAAAUAAAGGAAUAUGUCGCAUUGGCAUGACAAAAGGACGUGUACAUGGAUGUCAUUCUUAGUUUGGAAGAAAAUCACCAAUCUAGUUUGGCAAAAGUUGACUAUAUUUACGACUCGAUCAAUUACUGUCAACAUCGGAUGAUGCUAGUCAUUCGACAUCAACCAAGGUCAUAUUAUUGUGUACGACUUGUACCUGUCAUACAUAUCCUUGCAUGAUUUAAGUAAGUUAUUGAUGCAUGUAUUUCAUACAAUCUCAUCUCCUAUUGAGGUAUGUGGUAUACCAAAGACAAAGCAUGACCUUGUUCUUGGUCAUGAAUGAUAUACCAAAGCAACUCAUGCAAUAUACAAGAUCCUACCACAUCUUUGGAUUGUAGAAUUUUUGUUUUAAAACUUUUGAAUGCUUAGCGGCAGGUUCUAGGCUAGAUACUAUUCGACAAGAUAUGAUAUUAGAAUUUAGAUUUCAAUAUGUGGCUAAACUAUACGUCAACAUUUAUUUGAACUAGCAUUGUGUCAGGACUAUGUGUAAACUGUCGUUGUAAAUAACUUUGAAUGACAUGUAGAUUGUUAUAAUUUUUGGACACCUAUGUGAUAUUUUGUUACUCAUAUAAUGAUUGUAAAUGAACUAAUACACACUUUCAACUAACGAGUAUUGCAUGUCGUUCAACGAGUUCACAACAGAUUCAUCAUUUUUUUACUAAAACUUGAGCUUCGAGUAAAGAGUUUAUGACAAUGGAUAAAUUAACCGUGUAACUUUUAAGCAUCGAGUAUUGCUUGUUUAUGACAAUGAGUUUUUAGCAUAAUCUUUUGUAUUGUCUAAAGAAUUAGCUUUGUGUAUUAAGUAUUGCUUGUUUACAUGUGUGUUCUAUUAUGCACAUGUGUUAUGGUCGUGAAUAUGGCAUGCUAGGCUCUAAUUGAGCGACUAUUAGGCAACUAAAUAGGAUUAUGCAUUAAAAUGUGUACUUCUAUUCAUGCAUUGUUAAAUCGCUUAAGAUAGAUAUUAUCGUGCAAGUUUUUCUCUCUAACGUGCAAGUAUAAGCAAAGAGAGAUUUUUUAGUAAGUCCAGGAUCGAACACAAGGAAAAGCUCCUAUUUUAUCCUAUCAUGCUACUAAAUCAUGCGGUAUAAUCUAUACAGUAUGUCAUAUGAACAAUAUAUUUUCUAUCAUAACUAUGUACACUAUGGUGCUUUGGUGGUGCAAGAUGACAUGACGAAAUGAGGAAAAAUGAAUAGCAAACUCAUCAUAGACAUGAUGAUGAAGGAAUAGUCUAAUUAACUAAACACAAUGAACUAUGCUUAAUGAUUCGAGGCGAUAUAAAGCAUACUUUAACUUUGUAUUAGGGCGAGCUACCCCUCGGUGCCUUCGUCAUACUUGCUUACCUUUUAAGACCCAAAUACACAAAGUUAGACUAUGAUUUAUAUCUAAUCAUGUUAUAAGCAUUUCAAGUUGCCUCUCCCUAAUUAAGGCGCACAACCUCUUAGUGCUUUUGCCACACCCAUUGUCAUUUCUACAAUGUAUGUAAAGGAUAAAUUAGGCAGUAAGAUUGCAUUGCUACAAUCUUCCCUCCAAUCGCAUAGUUGAAUGUGUGUUCUCACUUGUCAGAUGAUCACAAUAAAAAAACUGUUGUUCUUCUCUUGAAUAUACAAUGUUCUUGACAUCUACACUUAACUCAACAAAGCUUAAAAGGCAGACACCAUGAUUCUCUAAGCAUUAAAAUACAUUUUAUUGCUAGCAAGCUAACUAAACAAAUCAAAGAAGGCAAGAAACAAGAAGAUUGGAGAAUGAAAUAAAAAGUACAAUGCAUGUAUUGAAUAAAAUAACUUUAAGCUUUUCGGCCAUAGAGUACAUAUUACAACACAAUAUGAUAUAAAUACAGAAGGGCAGAUAUUAGAGGGAACUACACCUUAGAGUAUGAUUUUCCAUCCUCUUUGGCUCUGAUUUUUGCUUGUUGAUGAGGGAGAAGAUGAAGGGGGGAAGAACUCUUUCUCUCUCUCUUUUGUUAUGGGCUCCCACUUAGAAACUCAGGGAAAGGGAGGAUGGAUGAUGAUGUAGCUUGCUCUCCUGCCAAAAUAAGCACACACCUUGUUCUGAAGUGAGAGGCUUCAUUUAUAGACAAGAGUUGAUGUUGACAAGAGGUUAUACGUCAUUAAUGCUUUCUGAAAAGAUGCAUCGACGCCGCUCAGGCUGUCCUUUUAUCAUUUUUCAAAUUUUUGAGCCAACCAAUUUUUUCUGCUAGUACCCUAAACGUCUAACUUGCUACUUUGUUCUUGCCUUAGUUGAAUGUGUCUUAUCGUGUGGACGUUAUAUUGCCAAGUUUCACUUCUUUUGCCUAUAAUCCUUCGAUAAGAGCACUAAAACGCAGUAAAACAAGGAUAACACUAUCUUUCAUGUUAUGUUAUUCGAAAGUUAACCAAAUCGCCUACUUUUUCCUUUGUUUUCUUCUAUUCGUACGCGUUUAGAUCUCAUUAUUUUACAUAAAAGAUUACAAUAUAACUUGUACUUCUAUAGGUUAUCAAGUACAUAACAUGAAGUAUCAAAUUUAUAACAGAGUUUACAACUUUUAUGUAUCUAGCAAGAAAUGUAUAGCAUCAAGUAUGGAGUAGCGUGCAACAAGUAAGGCUUUAUCAUGCAUUUUUUGAAAUGUAAGCAACGAGUAUUGAGUAGCGUGCAACGAGUAUUCCAUAUCGAGCAUCGAGUUUUUUUUUCUAACCUUUAAAUUAAAAAAGAAAAAGUAGCAAGUAUUAGGCAUCGUGUAAUAAGAAAGUUGUAUCUUGUAUUGAGUUUGAAGCAUUAAAUAACAAGUAUCGUCUAUUAUAGUAUAAUUUCUUUUUGAUUGAUUCGAACCAAUAGUUUUAACCAUAUGUUUUACAAUUGUUGUAAACUUGUUAAUUUAUGAGAUUCAUAUUUCACAAGAUGAUUAUGUGUAGCUCAAUCUUACAUAGGGUAAGUAGAUGAGCAAUUUCAUUAAGUGCUGAUUUUGGAACUUGAACAAGAAGCUUCACCCUCUGACCAUCUAAAAAAUGACUUAAUUUAUGGUUGGAUCACAAACAAAUUAUUCAUUAGAUGAUUAAUGAUACUUAAGAAAAAUAUCAUUACAAUUGUGAAAUGGACAUUUUGACUUAAACUGUAUUUACGAACAACUCAUGAAUUAUUGAAUUGUUUACAUUGAUUAUAUUUAUGGACACAAUUUAUAUUGAUUAUAUAAUGUCACAAACUUUGUCAAUCUUCACAAGUGUUGUAAUGGUUGCUUCGUAAAUCACUCAAGAACAAGGGCAACAAAUAAUAUAAUCGUUAACACAAGGAAAUAUAUAAAACCAACAAGAAUAAUAUUAACCAUAAGAAAUGAGAAAAUUGAUAACUUGUAGAAAGACAAAUUAUAAUAGCCUUUUACUUAGAGUAACGAAGAAGAAUUGAGAGAAAAAUGUGAUGAAUUACAUGAAAAAGAUAAACUAUGGAAUAUAGGAGUUGCAAAAGACAAAAUGUCUAGUUAUUAUCACGAUACUUUCAUGGCUAAACUCAUGAUAACGCGAAAAAAAGAAGAUGCAGAGCAAAGAGUGGUGUCAAGUGUUGAAGAGAAGCUCAUGUCAACAAAUCAUGCGAUGAAAAAGAUUUUACGCAAUGAGAAUCACUACAAGAUAAUUGAGUUGGUGAAGAUGUCAGCAUAAAUGUCAGACAACAUUUAUAAUGACACAAGGGAAGAACUGCAACGAUGCAAUGAUACAUAGGAGUUUAAUGUAAAUUGUACAUCAAAAUGCUGCUUCACACUCUUAAUGUUUAUAAAUAGGCAUCAAGAGCUCUAAUUUAAAUACAAACUUUUUGAGUUGAAACUAUCUUCUUUGAAGCUCUGCCAAAUCUACUACAAUUGUUAUUCAAUUUUCCUCUUUCUUUUCAUUAAGCUAGCUUUAGGUGAGAACUUGAAAAUUUGUGAGAUUAUAAGUGGAGUUUGAAAUAACCAUCUUCCUAGCAUUCGAAAAGACAACCAUGGAGCCAAAGAAUGCAAGAAAUUACCUUCUACGGCUUGACACAUUUAUCUUCCAUUCCAUUUGUAUUUUAUAUUUUUAUAAUAUUCGUAUUAUAUGAAUUUGAUGAUUGAGAGACCUAGAGUUGUUAUUGUGAAUGCAAUUAUAUUUCACUAUUCCUUUCCAUUUCUUUACGAAUUCACCUUUAUUCUUUAUGUAGUAUGAUUAAAACGAAGUUUGAAAAGAUUGUCUUUGAAAAGUAUAAUAAAUGAAACUGUCAUUUUGUUUAAUAUGAGCUAUCCUCAACGUCUAAUUCUAUUUGAGAGAAAAAAAAGUUUAAGUAUUGAUAGUUAACUAGUCCAGCAUACUGUUAUAAGUUAAUUCCAUAUGAGCUAGCCGAGGAACCUAAUAGAUCUACGAAUCGUGGCUCCAAUAAUUUGAGAUUAAUUGGCUAAACUCUUUUAGAUCGAGCUAAUCAAUGUCUGUUAACUAACAAAUCAUUCCACUAAAGUUUUGUAGUUGCACUCCCCUCACUAUAGAUAUAUUUGUGUCCAUUUGAUAUAACCAUGAUUAGUAAAUUUAUCAUUCACAAGUUGUUUGUAAUAUUGGUUGAGUCAAAAUAUUAUUUUACCUUGAAGAUUAAGUCUCACUAACCCACUAUUUAACACUUGGUUUAAUGUCCAACGACCUAUAAAUCAAAUCCCUCUUGGGCCAAUGAGAGGGUGUGACCCCUUGUUCAAGAUCUGGAUUGAGUUCCUAAGGAAACAAUGUAUCUACUAACCCUAUAGAUAGAAAUGAAUUUCAUCUUGCACCCUGUGUCUCCAGCAAUCCACUUGGUCUUACCCCUUGAAAUAUAUUGAGAGGGUUAUCACGUCAAUGAUGUUGAGCUCCCGCCACCUAUGCAGAUUUAAAAAUAAUCACGUGUGAACACGAGUUCAUAGUUAGCUCAAGAUUAAGUUAUCUAGAUCAUCAAUAAUCAAAGUAGUCAGUUUUAUACAAUCGAUGAUGUUAUAACGUAAAAAUGACUAUUUCAUGGUUUCAGUCUAAUGUAAACUAUUUUCAUAGGAUAUUCUUACUUUCAUGUCUUUAUAUGAACCAUUUAGGACCAAAUCGUUUGUACUAACUACAAAGCAUACCACAUUUAUAAUGUCUCCUAAAUUAGACAUCCAACUUUAUUCAUAUACUAUAGACCAUUUAGGUAUAUACUCAAACUUGAUCCACAUUUAUGUCUUUACAUAAAGUUCAAGUUUACUCAAGAUAACCUUGAGACCUUAAUUUAUUAUAGUCGAGAUUAUAAUAUUCAAUUUCACUAGUAAUUUCUUAAUAAUAAUUUUAUUGAAUAUGAUAUGAUUUUAAACUAUAAACUACAAAUUUUAGAACAUAAAUUUCAUGACAUUUUUAAAUAUAACAUAACGGAUCGAAAUAUUUACAAAAUGUAACCAAUCUUACCGUUGGGUUAUUUUUGGUCAGUUUCAUUUUAUAAUUUAACCAAGCAUGAAAUUAGGGGCAUUUUUGGAAAUAAAUAUAACUCUCUAUUUUAAAAAGGAAAAAGAAUAUAAAAAUAAGAAAACCCUAAUUGUCCAAUUCACCUUCUCUUCCGAGUUGCAGAACCUAUUCUCCACUAUCGUUAUCUUGCCGCCGCUCCUUUCUCCUUGUUACUCUCGGAAGCUUGCGAAAGAACUUCAGAGGUAUGUUUUCGCAUAUUGCUUCGGUUCUCAUUUGAUUCUUCUGCCAUUUUCCCUUUACAAUCCAUUCGAUUUUACUCCGUACGUUUUAAUGCGUGUAUCAUUGAUUGGCGCUUUGGUAACUCUUUUUUCAUUUUCCUCCUUAUAGGAAUUUGGGUUUUGAAUUGCGUAUCACCAGUAACGUUUUUUUUUUCUCUUGUUGUACAAUUCAGUGUUUUUAGAUCCGUGUUCUGUGAUUAACUUUGAGAGAGACAAAAUGGCUUCUCGUUUCUGGACCCAGGUAUUGCCUUCAAUCUAAACGUUCGUGUUAUUCGUAUUUGGGUUUUGAUUUUAAUAUGGUUUGUAAGUUUUAUUUGUUUGUUUCUGAAUUAUUAAACAGGGUGGUGGUAGUGGUUCUGAUUCUGAAGCGGAGGAGAGUGACUAUGGUGAAGAGCUUGAUGACAUUCAGGUUGAUUCCAACGACCAACCGAACAGAAGCAGAUAUCUGCAAGGGAAUGCCAGUGAUAGUGAAGAUUCUGAAGAUAAGAAGCGUACUGUUAGGUCGGCUAAAGAUAAGCGUUUUGAGGAGAUGUCUGCUACUGUCGAUCAGAUGAAAAAUGCUAUGAAGAUCAAUGAUUGGGUAAGCCUGCAGGAGAGUUUUGAUAAAAUAAAUAAGCAGCUUGAGAAAGUCAUGCGUGUUACUGAGUCUGAGAAGGUGCCGACUCUUUAUAUUAAAGCACUUGUGAUGCUAGAGGAUUUCUUAAAUGAAGCUAUGGCUAAUAAGGAAGCUAAGAAGAAAAUGAGUACUAGUAAUUCUAAGGCACUGAAUUCAAUGAAGCAGAAGCUAAAGAAGAACAAUAAGCAAUAUGAAGAGGUAAUUACCAAGUAUAGAGAAAAUCCUGAGGUUGAGGAAGAAAAGGCUGAUGAGAUGGAUGAUGAUGAUGAUGAUGAUGAUGAAGGAUCUGAAUAUGAGGAUGAUCCUUCUAAAAUUAUGUCUGAUUCAGAGCCAGAGCCAGAUAUAGACGAGGAAGAAGAUCUAGAUGAUCCAAGUCAAAACUGGGAGAAAAAGAAGAGCAAAAAAAACAAGCUCAUGGAUAAGCAGUUUAUGAAGGAUCCUAGUGAGAUCACAUGGGACACUGUCAACAAAAAGUUUAAGGAAGUUGUGGCUGCUCGAGGUAGGAAGGGAACUGGUAGAUUUGAGCAGGUUGAACAGCUUACAUUCUUAACAAAAGUUGCUAAGACUCCUGCACAAAAGCUUGAGAUUUUGUUCAGUGUUGUAUCUGCUCAAUUUGACGUGAAUCCAGGUCUCAGUGGGCAUAUGCCUAUCAGUGUGUGGAAGAAGUGUGUGCAAAACAUGCUUUCUAUAAUUGACAUUCUUGUGCAGAAUCCCAACAUUGUAGUGGAUGAUAUGGUAGAACCAGAUGAGAAUGAAAGCCAGAAGCCAGCUGACUAUAAGGGAACAAUUCGUGUUUGGGGAAACUUGGUUGCUUUUGUUGAGCGGAUUGACACUGAGUUUUUUAAGAGUUUGCAGUGUAUUGAUCCACAUACGCGUGAGUAUGUUGAAAGGCUCAGAGAUGAGCCAAUGUUUAUGGUUCUUGCUCAGAAUGUCCAAGGAUAUUUGGAACGAGUUGGGGAUUACAAAGCGGCUUCAAAAGUUGCCUUGAGGCGUGUUGAACUGAUUUAUUACAAACCACAAGAGGUUUAUGAUGCCAUGAGAAAGCUUGCAGAGCUGUCGGAAGAUGAUGGUGGAGAUGCAAGUGAUGAGGCUAAAGUGGUUGAGGAGAGUAGGGGCCCUGCUGCAUUUAUUGUCACUCCAGAGCUUGUACCUCGUAAACCCACCUUUCCAGAGAGUAGUAGGGCUUUUAUGGACAUUCUGGUAACCCUCAUAUACCAGUAUGGAGAUGAGCGCACUAAAGCACGAGCUAUGCUUUGUGAUAUUUACCACCAUGCUCUCUUAGAUGAAUUUUAUAUUUCUCGUGACUUGUUGCUGAUGAGUCACUUACAGGAUAGUAUUCAACACUUGGACAUCUCAACACAGAUCCUUUUCAAUAGGGCAAUGGCUCAACUUGGUUUGUGUGGCUUUCGGGUUGGUCUGAUCAGUGAAGGACAUGGCUGUGUUUCAGAAUUAUAUUCAGGUGGAAGGGUGAAGGAAUUGCUUGCACAAGGUGUCUCACAAAGCCGAUACCAUGAGAAGACUCCAGAACAGGUAUUCCUUCAUGCAAACCAUUUCCUUCAUUGUUGACUAACCUAUGGAUGCAUCUGUGGUGGUGUAUAUGAUGUCCAAAUGCUCGUGCUUGAAGUAGGACGUGUGUGUUAUCUUUUCUAAAAGAAUUUUAAUUUUUUAAAACAUUAAAAGAUGGUAUCUACAAAUGUAUUCCACUUGGUAGAUGCUUGUAUAAUAGUUUUACCCUGUUUUAUAGAUAUGAGAUCUAUGGAUCUGAUGUAUGUGUCUACCCAAUUUGAUUUGUUUUGCUGAAGGAAAUCUGUGAUACCUACACAGAUGGCUUAGGGAUUAGUUGUGGCUUCUGCAAUCUUCCCUUAACGCUAGGGAGGUUAGCCAACUUAAUCCUUAACGUUUUUAGCCCUUAGAAUGGAAUUUAUAUAUUCAGUCCAUUUUUUUUCAGUAAGCAUGGUUGAGUGAGCAUUCUAUGUUCAUUAACUUUACAAUUGUUUCUAGCACUUCUAUGAUGUAGUGAUGCAAGUACUACUUAUAAUGGUGCCCGUUUGAAGAAUAGAUGUCAGGAUGAGACUGUUCUUUUCUUCCUCUUUUUAUUUGCUGAGGUUGCGGGCGGGGAUGUUCUUGGUUUUAGAAUUGGAGCUGUUGUCUUGAAUGCUAACUUGUCACAGAGCUGAUGUCCAUGUGAAUCCAUAAGAGAUGUGCUCUUGUUUUGUUAGUGAACAAAAAUGAGUGGGGAGUUUGAUAUGUCAUAAUUUAGGGGCUCAUUUAUUGCUCAAAUUGUAAAUGUUGUUUGCUUCCAGUUGAGGGCUUUACUCAUAUAUUAGGCGUCAAACACAAUAUCUUGGUUAUCAUAAGAGCAUAUCUUAAGAAUAGUGACCAGUUUUAUUGUUUUCCUCCGUUAGCAAUUUUUUACAACUUUAACUGCUUAUCUUCUUUUUAACUACCGGUAUAUAUAUCAUAAAAAAUUGUUUGGAAUCAAGCUUCAAUUCAGCUUUUAGUUGAAACAUCAAUCUGCUUGGAAGAUUGAUCUUAUUUUAAAUAAAUUUAAAUGUAGCUUUAGGCUCCAUAACAUUGUUAUAUUUGAGCACUUCUGUUUUACAAAAUAUUUGUUUUUCUCAACCAAUAUCAGGAAAGGCUUGAAAGAAGAAGGCAGAUGCCAUACCACAUGCACAUAAAUCUUGAGCUUCUUGAGGCAGUGCAUUUAAUAAGUGCUAUGCUGCUGGAAGUACCCAACAUGGCAGGCAAUGUUCACGAUUCAAAGCGUAAAGUUAUCAGUAAGAACUUUAGACGGUUACUAGAGGUGAGUGAGAGACAGACAUUUACGGGUCCUCCUGAGAAUGUCAGAGAUCAUGUAAUGGCUGCUACCAGGGCACUUCGUAAGGGUGAUUUCCAGAAGGCUUAUGACGUCAUUGCAUCUUUAGAUGUAUGGAAGUUACUCAGGAGGUGUAAUGAAGUGCUGGAAAUGGUUAAAGGAAAGAUCAAGGAGGAGGCUCUGAGGACUUACCUUCUCACGUACUCCUCAUCCUACGAUUCUCUGAGUUCGGACCAACUCACCCAAAUGUUUGACCUUGCAGAGGGUCAAACACAUAGUAUCGUGAGCAAGAUGAUGAUUAAUGAGGAGCUCCAUGCAAGUUGGGAUCAGCCAAGUGGGUGCAUCAUCUUUCACGAUGUUACUCACACCCGGUUACAAGGUCUGGCAUUCCAAUUGGCUGAUAAGUUGUCAAUCCUUGCUGAAAGUAAUGAGAGAGCAGUUGAGGCAAGAAUUGGAGGAGGAUUAGAUUUACCAAUGAGGCGAAGGGACAACCAAGAAUAUGGUGCUGGAGGAGCUGCAGGUGGGAGUAGCAGGUGGCCAGAUAACAUGUCUUAUAAUCAAGGAAGGCAAGGCGGUCCUAGUUCGCGUGCAGGAUACAGCAGUGGUGGGCGAGGCCAAGGUGGGGGUGGUGGAUACUAUAGAGAUAGGAUGGGCCAGUCUCGAGGAGGCAAUUCAGGAUACCAAAGCACCCGUUAUCAAGAUGCUGCAUAUGGGUCGGGGAGAACUGCUUAUCAGUCGGGAUCUUCCAGAGGAUCCCAGAUGGAUGCUUCUGCUCGAAUGGUCAGUCUCAACAAAGGUGUUCAUGCUUAAAGAACGAUUCAGAGUUUUUACUGCUGUGUGCUCAAAGAAAAUAUGUGAUGGAGCAGUCCCACAUAAAUUUACGAGUAAGUUUCAAUUUAGCGUCGUCUGUUUUUUGAACUGAAAUCUAAUUAUCAAUGUGUUUUGAAAGGAGAGAUUGUAUCCUUUUUUUGACCUUUAAAUGUUGCUAAUUUCUAUCCGCAUGUUACCCGAGUAAAUUUGGGCAUUCUUUCUAUUGAGCUCCCCACUUCCCUUGGAUUUCUUCCUUUUUUCGAUGAUGAAGAACUUUUGUUUGUUCUAAGAGCUUCAAAUGUUGAAGUGUAGCGUAGAUUGUGGUACUCAGUCAUGGAUCGUUAGGUAUGCUUCCGCUUCUUACCGCCCACUCUCAGCAGAACAAUCUACUGUCAAACGCUUUGGCGAUUGGUUUUUGUUUUUCUUCCUUCAUUUUCUCCAUUUUCCCUUUGUGAUGUCUUCUUCCUUUUCCUUAGGAAAGAAUUGAACUCCCUCACUUUUAGUGCUCAAUAAUGUUGGUUCGUUAGACUCGAAACAAAAGGAGAAAAUGAAUGGAGAAUGUUGGUUUUGGUUUCCUGAUAUUUUUCUCUUUUAUGGCAUUGUAGUUGGUAAGUGUUGUUGAAGGAAAAAGCUGGAGCGAUAUGCAAAAGGAAAGAGAUUUAAAAAGAAAAAGAAGAUACGUGUUUUUUAAUUUAAUAAUAGGAUAUAAAAUGUAAUAUAUUUUGCAAAAUAAAAAAUAAAUAAAUUUUUUGUGAAUAUUUAUUUAGUGAGCUAAAUUUUAAUAUUUGCUAAUUUAUGUUGUCAAAGAUAAAUUUGCUAUAAACAAAUUAAACUAAUAUCAUUCUUACUUUAGUGUCAAAGAAAAUCAAUAGAGUUAAUGAAUUAAUGAUUAAAUUAGGGAUUAAAACGUUCCUUUUAGUCUUAAUACCUUAUUUUUAUGCUUUUAAAAUGUAUAUUUUGUGCUUGUUUGUACCUUUAUUCUUAUGUUUAUUUCAUUUAUAAAUGAUUAAAAAUAUAAAAAGGACUAAAAUAAAUGAAAGUUGAAAAUACAUAAACUAUUCAUUCAAGAUUCUAAGAUUCUUGAUUAUCAAAGAUUAUUACAAUUCAUAAACAAUACAUAUAAUACAAAUAACCCAAACGUACGCUUCAAAGGUAAUAUAAAGAGAUGUGUAUGGGGUAAGGGGAAAAACUAGGGGUAGCUUCUCCCUUCCUUUUAUUACCUUCUCUUUCUAAUUUGUCUAUUAACUAAGAAAAAAGGUUUAAGGCUUUCGUUUUCCACACCAUUUUAAAAGGCAGAGGAGAUUAAUAAAAAUUGCCUAAUCAGCUAAUUUGAAUUAUUUAGGUCUCUUUUUUAUAACAAUUUCUUUUCUUUUUUUGAAAAAUAAACUUAUUUUCUCUCCAUAUCUUACAAUAAUUAACAUCUUUAUUAAUUUUUGAGUCACUUAAAAAAAAAACGAAAAUAAUUUACCUUUUUUUCUCAAAUUUUGACUUCACUUUUUAAACCAUUGGUAGAAUAUAGAUAACAGAUGAAGAAAGUUUGAGAUAAAAGUAGUGUUUGUAAAAAACAAAAUGGUUAUCAAAUGGAACUACAACUAUGUAAUUUUAUUAUUUGUAGUUUAAGAACUAUUUGAAACUAAAAUAUUUUUUAAAAGUAAAUGUUUGUUUCAUACUUGAGAAAAUAAAUAUUAUCUUCAAACUUAAAAAAAUGUCCUUUCAUUUGUUUUAUAAGAAAAAUUCUUAUGAAUUUAGUUCUUUUACCUCUUUUAUAAAAAUUACUUUAGUCCUUCUUGAAUCUUGUUCUCUUAUUAACUCUUAAAAGUGAAUUAAACAAAUCUCUUAAAAGUGAAUUAAACAAAAACCUAUAUCUAAAAUUUACUUAUCUUUAAUUUUGAAAUUUUGACUGAAAUUUUAAAAACAUAAGUACAAAGCAAGACUUUGAGAAGUAUAAGAGAUGUUUGUGGACUUGAUUUUAAAAAAUUAAAGACCAAAAAUUGAAAACAAAAUAGUUAAUAAAAAAAAAUUAAAAAGGAUAAUUGCAAUGGAAUUUUCAAGAUUUAAUGUCUAUUAAAUGUAUAACUAACCAUUUUUUCAAGUUACAAAUAUCACAAACUAUAUUGAUCAACUCAAGGAUAGACUCUGGCGGGGUAAUUUAGAACGUUUAUGUUAAAAAUUUGUUUUCCUUUUUUCAUAUUUGGCUUGAAACAAAUCUUUAAUUUAACAAGAUUAAAACUAGGCUAAUUAUUUUAAACCAUAAGAAUUUUAAAAAUAUUUACAAAAUAUAGUAAAAUAUUAAUAAAAGAAACUAAGAAAAUUAUUUUAAAUAAUAAAAAAAAUUUAAAACAUUACAACUAUAAUAAAAUCUAACAAUCUAUUUGCAAUAGCAUGAUAGAUAAAGAUAAGAGACUAUCAGUUACAGUAGAUAAAUGGAUAUUUUACAAUUAUUUUAAUUCAUUUUACUAUUUUUUUUAAAAAAAACAACUCAUAUUAAAUAAAUAAAUAUAUGUAUGUGCAUACGAAAGUAAUUAAAAAUAUUGUUCCAAUUAUACAUAAUUCUAUUAAAUGGGAAAUCAGUGACAUAAAAGGUCACAUAUCAUCUUUAUUCCGAAACUUGGAUGUGGAAAUAUUCAAGGCUUUGUUCAAAAAGGGUUAUUAAAGAACUGUUUAGACAGCAAAUAUAAAAUUUGAUAGACCUACAAAAUAUGUACAAGUUCUCUUUUGGGUAUAAGUACUCUUAUGGGUAAUCGUUGUCGUUGGUGCAGACUGCAUGCUUUCUUUUUAAGGAGUGCUGCAAAAGCCUUAGACCAAAAAUACUUGAAUUUGAAGGCCGUUUCUAAGUAUUUAUAAACUAUCCAUUAUAUGCUCUCUUCUUAUGUUCAUCAAUUCAAUAUUCUUCUUUUCUUUUUCUUUCUAUAUAAUUAGUGUGGGCUAAUUUCUAUAAUAAUCUAUCCCCAUUUACAUAUGUUCGUUUUGCACUUUCACAAUCCUCAAUGAAAUUUUGAUUUUCCCUUUAACAUCUCUAAGUUAUGUAUUGUCAAUAUCACAUAUGCAAAGGAACUACCAAUCUUAUUAACACCCUUAGUAUUGCUUAUUUUUCAGUUAAUCUACUAAGUUAUGCUCAGAUUAAGAAGCCAAAAUAGAAAUUCAUUGAUAAGAAAAAACAUGAUGUAUGAUGAACUACAAAAAGAAAUAUAAUAAAUUUCAUCACAUCUUCAGCAAUUUCGUUUACCAAAUUAGACAUUCCAAAAGAAAAAGAAAAAAAAGGAAAAAAAAGAUCAUCCAAAACUGAUCGUUCUAAAUAAUGCCCAGAUGCUAUAAAUAAUUCAACAUGAAUCUACAUGAAUUGUUUUUUUAAACAACAUAAGAAAAGGAAAUACAAAACUCUUCCGCGUACGCGAUUACUCUCAACUCUUCAGGGAAUUUCAAGUUACUAACUAGAAUUUGUAAGCAAUGAUAAAAUUUCAUGAAAUAGAAAGAAAAAAAACCUAUGCUUAGGUAUAUGAUAGACUGACCUUAGUGAAGAAUCGGUUGGAUAUCCAGAUAUAAACCUUCUGUUUUGAUAUGAAUAAAUGGCAAAACAAUUUUCAGAUUGAAGAACAGAACACUUUUGUCGCCAAAGUUUUCCUCAGGAAUUAAGCAGCAUUCUUUCUGCUUCUAAAGUUCUCCUUCAUUGAUGUGAAUUUUUUCUUGCAUUGGUUCACCGUUUUGCCAGGUACGGCGGCAGCAACCCGCUCCCAUCUCUGGUUGGUCUCCUUUGGGAAUGUUUUUAGAGCUUGGACUAGUGCUCUUUCUUGUACAGCUGACCAAUCGUCUUGCUCUGAACUAGAGGAUACUCCAUUUGCAGAUGGAUUGCUAGGAGUUUGGUUGUUUACAUUUUGUCCUACCGAGGACAUGUCCAGAUUGCCAUUAAUUGCCACAUUGUCUUCGGGUUUUUUAGAGGAUACACCUUCUAACUCUUCUCUAGUUGAAAGCGGAGAUGCAAUGGACUGUGCCGGUUUCCUUUUCUCGAGAAAUGAGUCGAAAGCCUUGGCAGAGUCAGGUUUCUGCAAGAGGAUCGUUUUGGUUGCCUUCAAAAUUUCUUCAACUGAUCUCUCUGUACCAAUGUACUCUGAGAUAACCUCCCACCUACGGGAAGUUCCUUUAGGAUACUUCUGCAUUCCUUUCCUUAAGAGCUCAAUUUCAUCUUUGCUCCAAGGCCUCUCCUUCUUCUGAAGGCUGCCGCUUAGUGAGGCAGUGGCAUUAGCAGUUGUAGAACCAUUCUGCUCUUCCGUCUUCUUGCAUUCCUGAUGCUUUGUAUCUGAACUAUUGCAUUCCUGAGCAUCUCUAAGAACCUUCGCAAGCUCCAUUCCUUUUUUGCCUUCCAUUUUAUCACAAAUAUUUCGCAGCCGCUCAAUGUCAAGAGAAGAACAGAGAUUUUCCACAUCUUCCGCAGAAAGAUCAAGCAAAGACUGAGAUAUCGCAGGCCCAGAAAGCGUUCUAAGGCGAGUCCGUUCUUUUCGUAGGAGUUUCUUCUCCUUCUCUUUCAACUUUUUCUGCUGUUGAGCCAGUUCUGCAGCACGUUUCUCCUCUUCCUCCUUUCUACGUUUCUCCUCUUCAGCAAGCCUAACAGCUUCCUCUUCCUGUAACUUCUUUGCCAAAAAUUUUGCUUCCUUCUUCCUCUGUUUUUCAGCUUUCUCUUCUUCUUUUCUUCUUUGGAUUCUAGGGUCUCGUUUGUAUGCAUUAUCCACGAGUGUACGAAUCCUAGCAUAUUCUUCCUUUCUGGCCUUUUCUGAAAGUUUAGCAUUCUGUCUCUCCAUCCACCUCUUAUGGUCCCGAGACUCUGCUUGCUCAAGAUCAAAUUCAUCAGCGUGUGGGAACUCUCUCCAACUUUUAAAGGCAUACCAAAAGUUGUAGAAAUCAUCAACUACUUUCAAUGGAGUUUUAUCAUCGCCUAAUGAUGGAACAGAUUGGUUAACAGACCAACGCCCAUUCCUCAUAAAAGCUGGACCAAACACCUUAAAGAAAUCUUGUGGAGCACAAUCAGUAGGAAUCUCAUCAUCAAACUCAUCUGUUGAGUCAUAAAUUCUUCUUUUGACAGGAUCAAUCAACACUUCAUACGCUUCUUGAAUAGAUUUAAAGUGACUUUCUAUUUCAUCCUUCUUUGCUUGUUUUGCAGCUUCAGUUUCCUCAGCAAGAAGAAGCGCAGCUUGUUUGUCAGGAUGAUACUUCAAAGCAGUUUCUCGAUAACUUUUUCUUAUCUGUUCCUCAGUCGCUAGAUAUCUUAAAUGACUCAAACCCAACAACGCAUAAUGAUCUUGUUGUGUGCUUCCACCAGAUUUCUUUUUACCUUUGCUGCUGUACGAAUCAAAUGAUGGAGCAUACUUCUGUUCUGUAUCAUCAGCCGCCUGCUCAUUCUCAUCGCUCACUUCCUCGUCCUCCCAACCAAGGAGUUUAAGGGCAGCAUUAUGGAAAGAAUGGCCAGCAGGUUCAUAUUUCAACGCCUUGAUUGGAAGACAAUUUGAGGCAACAUAAAUUGGUUGUCCAUCGACAAUCUCCUGUGAAUAGGUUAGAAGACGCAAAUUGGCCUGGACAGUCAUGGCAUCAAAAGAAACCACCUAACCAGGAUAAUAUUUUCUGGAAUUUUUCUUCAACACAAUAAAUGUUGUAUCUCCAAACUGCACAAACAAGGAAACAUCAAAAAGAGACUUGAAGGAAAACCAAAUCCAAGAAAUAAGGAAGAUGCAAAAGGGCACAAACAGUCCUGUGGUUGAUUCAUGGAAUAUCAUAGAAAUUCAACACGAAUGAAGUUUCAAGAUUAACGGCAAGAUGCAGAUCAAAACCGUCUCAGCAUAACCACUUGAUAGCUUCACCAGUUCAAUCCAUUAAGUAAACUAUGUAAUCCACGCGUUCGCUACUAAAUCAAGUUUCGUAGAAAACCCUAACCCACUCGCCAUCAUCUCGUAACGCACAACAAUGACGACAGCCAGAAUUGAUUAACUAAAGUCCCUUCUUCCCGUGCAUAAAAAAACAACGGGAACACCAAAAAGACACAAGAAAGACUGGAUUUACCCUCUCAAAAAAAAAAUGUAAAUAAUAUAAACGAACGAAUCUAAGUUUCUCACUUUCGUAUUGCAAUACGAUCUUUCCUCACAGUUAUUCCCAAUCAAACGCUCUGUUUUAAAGAACUACACGAUCAUUCGACAACGAAGAAGAUGGUGAAGUCAUCAUUACAGACAAGCAAACAAACACAGGAAAAUCGCGAGAAAAAGAGAAAUUUGUAGGAAACCAAAAUAGAAAAACUGAGACAUAAACAAUAAAACAGAAAUUUACAUGAAGAUGAAGAGAUUUCCGAGCUCACGCCGGCAGCUGAAAAGCACUUCCGGUUAGCCUCUGUUCGUCCGCUAAGCUCCGAUUUUUUUCAGCCAAAAACUACAGGCGUGAGGUUUUCAGGUAUUUAUAGUGCGCUAAAUCUUGCGGACGACCUCAACUCCUUCUCAUGUUUAUAUUUAGAAAAGUAACUCUUAUAAACCAUAUUCAUAAAAAUACUCCUCUUAGCUGUUUUUUUUCCUAAACUAUUUCCUUUCUAAAAGGAAAAAAAAUGGAACAAAUAAACGUCGUCGUUCCAAACGAGCUUAUGAACAUAAAUAUAUUUAAACUUACAAUUAGAGAAGUAUUACACUAACAACAUCUCAAUCCAAUAUUUUUAAAUAUUGAUGAGAUUUUUUUUUUUAAAGAAAAGAUUGAUAAGAUGUUAACAUUUUUUUCGUACAACAAAUUUGAAGUAUGAGAUUGGAUUUUUUACCUACAAUAUCACUAGGUUAAACUUAUUGUUCGCACGAGGUUUUUAAAUAAUGCAUUUUGUGGAGUAUUCUAACUAACAUGUUUCGUGAAGUUAAACUUGUGUUGAUGUUGUGUGUUCAAUACUUACUUUGACACAUUAAUGUUCCACAAAACUUGUUAUUUUUCUAUGUUUGUUUGGUCAAUCAAUUAUGUUAGGUUAAGUUGGAUCAUUAUAGUUUUGUAACCUAGGUUGGAAUAUUUUUCAUGAUUGAGUUUUAACAUUUUAUUUACAUCGUUUAAAAUCUUUUGUUGUUGUAUUAGUAAUUCAACAUAUUAAUUUACUUAGAUGUGUUUAAUUUAUAAAUGUAAGCAUUUUCUUUUGCUACGAGUUAGAAUCUACUAAAGUUCAAUUCGACUCAAAACACUUCAAUUGUAUAGAAUUUUUUUAGGUCAAGUUAGAGAAAAAUUCUAACGCAUGCUUAAGGUCUAGGAAUCUAAAACUGGCUCAAAGCACAUGUUUUAUUGUUCCCAAUUUUCAAGUAACUUACUUCUGACGUCAGUAAUAUAAACAUAUGCAAAGGUGAAAGACAACUUCUUACUCAAAUUGACAUUGGUUCAAUCAAAUUGUCACUUAGGUUUAGAGUAUGUUUAGGGUUUGAUCAAGUUCACACGUUAAAAUUUGGAAUCAACCAUAAAUAUUGGACCAUUGACAUAAUCACCAUUAAACUCGAUUGUUUUAAAAGAACAUAAUUACUAUCGACCUUUAAGUUUAAGUAUCCAAAAAAACAUCUAAACUAAGAUACUUUGGUCCAACUUAAAUAACAAAGUUUGAAUAUGUUAAUACUAACUUGAAUAGCUAAAACUUUAAUAACAUACCUAUUCAUGAACUUCUAAACUCAUGUAUUUGAAUUUAAAAAAUUCAAUUUUUCGAAUUAAAAUAAUUGUAUUUGAAUUUAAAAAAUUCCAUUUUUCGUAUGAAAAAUAGCUGGUGUUUAAAAUUAUCGAAUAUGUAUAUAAAAAUGGUUAAAUAUGUAUGAGAUUUGGUUUAAUUGACUUUAAAUUUGAUAAUAUAAAUAUUAAGUCAAGCUAUAUUUACUUUAACGUGCACCAAAAAACUAUAUUAAACAUGUAAUUAAAAAGUAUUAGAUAUAUACACAUGAAAAUCUGGCCUCAUCCAAAAUUUAAUUUCAAAAUUUUCAAAUAGAAAACAACAGAUUUAAUUUAAUAAGUAAAAAUUUAACUAUUAUAAUUUGCAGCUUAGUCCAUCAUAAAAAAGAUUAUUAAGGUUUAAUUGAACUUAAUUACACGUUAAGUUUAAAUUUGUUUAUAUUCUAUACCAACUAAAUUACACAAUAAAAGUUUGGUUGAAAAACUUAAUGAGGUAGAUUUUAACGUUAUAGAAACUAAUGUGUGUUUGGAUUACAUUUUCAAUAGUUUAAUUUAAAAAAUAAUGAUGUAUUUUGACUACAUUUUGUGUUUAAUUUUAAAAUUAAGUUAUUUAAAAAAAAGAUGUGUUUGGAAGCCACACAAAAAUAGAUUUUUAAGUUUAUUUUAAACAUUUUUUUUUUAAAAUAUAAGUUCAAACAAAAAUGAGCUUUUUUCUUUUGUAAAUCAAUCCAAACUGAUCCACUAUUUUGAAAAAAAUAACUGUUUGGAAGCCACUUAAAAUCCUAAUGGAUCCCCUGUUUUGAAAAAUACUUAAGGGAACGUUUGAGUAAAAGAUUAUUACUAUUGGAUUGGGGUUAUGGUAACCCAACCGGCCCUUGUUUUAGGUUUAUCAUAACCCAUCUUCUCCCUCUCUCUUCCCUCUCUCUCUUCCUUCUCAAUCCAUCUUCAACCCUCCAUAAUCCUACUUUUUCAAUUAUCCAUAAUCGUACAUUUUCAAUUCCCCUUAGUUUUACCAUUUCAUUUUUUUUAAAAAAAACUUGUUCUUUUAUUUAUCAAAUGCCAUUUGUUUUUUAAUUAAUUUAAUAAUCUUAAAAAAAUUUUGUUUUUAAUUUAUUUUAUUUACAAAAUAAAUUUUAAAUAAAUAUUAAUUGCGAUUAGUUUAUGCAUUUAGUACUCGUAUUUAAUUUAAUUUAUUUUAUUUUAUGUCUUUUAUUUGUUUUUCUUCUUUUAUUUGUUUUUUACCUUUUCAAAUAUUUUAUUUUAAAACUAAUCUAUAUGUAUCUAAACUAUUUCGGAUAAAUUUGAGUUAAAUAAAUUUCUAAAAAUGAAUUUUAUUAAACUUAUAGAAUAUCAAAACAAAAUCAAAUAAGGCAAUUUAAUAUUAAAUUAACUAAUUUUAGAAUUCUUAAACCAACCUAAAAAAUGUAUAACAAAUAUUUUUUUGGAAGUAUUUAAACUUUAAAUGUAUAAGAAUUUUCUUUUUAAAAAAAUCAAUUUAAUGGUGAGAUUUGAUUUAAGAUUUAUUUGAAUUAAAUUUUGAAUCUAAUUUUUUACCAAAUUAUGUUAUAUUUUUUCAAAAUGUACUUUUUUUUUCUCUUUCUUUUUCUUAUUUUUAUAUAUUUCAUUCAUUUAUUAUAAUUUUUUUAUCAUUUUUGUUGCUCCUGGAACAACAAUCCUUUAAUUUAAAAAGAUGAGAAAAAAAAAACAUAAUAUUAAGGUAAGAAAACUGAGAAUGUUUUAUCCUUAAAAGAAAAAUAGUAAUUUAUUCAACCGAAACGAUUACUUAAAAAAAAGUUAAUAUUAUAUUUAAAUAAAUUAAAAAAAAUUGUGUUACGAAAACUAUAAUGAUUUGGUAAAUUAAAUAUACAAAAUUUGUGUAUUGGAGUUAGAAUAUGAUUUUUUUUAAAAAAUUAAUAAUUUAUUUGCACGUAACAAUUACGUCCAAGAAAUUUGUGUAUUAGAUUUAGAAUACAAAUUUCUUUAAAAAAUCAAUAAAUUAUUUGCACAUGACGACAACGUAAAAAAUGUUGGAAAUAGACGUCACGUUUAAAUAAAUUAUUGAAAAUUGUUUUACGAAAAUAGAAUAAUUUAGUAAAUUAAAUAUACAAAAUUUUGGUUGGAUUUAGAAUAUGAAUUUUUUUAAAAAAUGUAUAAAAAAUAAAUUUCAUAACACUACAUACAUAAUCAUUCCCUCAAACACAUGUUAUCACAACCCUUCAUAUAUAACCUUUACCCCAAACACAUUUUAUCAUAAUCAUCUCAUAACUCUUUCUACAUAACCUUUCCCCCAAACACAUAUUAUCAUAACACUUAGGUUUAUCAUAACACUAAUUUUAUUAUAACACUAAUCAUUUAUAACUCAACCCUUUCCCCAAAGACAUCCUAAGUGUUUGGAAGUCACUUAAAAUAGAUUUUUAUAUGUAUUUUAAACUAUUUUUUAAAAAAAAGUUUAAAAAGAAAAUGAGUUUUAAAAAAAAGAGUUUCUUAAACUUUUUUCUUAAUUCAAUCCAAACCGACUCUAAAUUCUUAGUCGAUAAUCAUUACUAUAUAGAUUGUCGUCUCUUUUUUAUUUUAAUAAUACUUUUUAAAGAAAAUUUUUAAUUUACACCCUUCUCAGUUUAAACUCAAAAAUCGUAAUAGUAUUAAAUUAGGAAUUUUCAUAAAUAUAUAAAUUUAAAUGUAUCAAUUUAUACUUUUAUUCAGAUUUAGUUUGCAAAUAACAAGUUAUGCAGUUUUUUUUCUAUUAAACUUAUAAAUGGUUACAAUUGAAUUGAUUUAUAAUCUUUAUUCGAAUUGUAUUGGAAGAUGGUCAAUACCUCGAUUUUCAUGCAUGGGUAGACUUCUUUAAAAUGCCUUUUUUUUUUCCUUAAAAGGAAUGACAAUUAUAAUUUGAAUGGACAAACUUUAAUAAAAGAUUUAAAUCAAUUAAGUUUAGAGUUUAAUUAAUAAAAUCUCAAAUUUUUUUAUUAAAUAAAAUGACAAUUUGUUUGAGAGAACACUCUUCUUUGCUCUAUCAUGUUAUAAUAAGAUAUUGAUUUCUUUUGGUCUAUCAUUUAUAUGCAAACAAAUAUCACAAAAGUACAUAUAAACAAAUUAAUUUAAAUUGGACUGGGUAUCUAGAAUUUCAAAAAAAGAAUCCAAAGACAGCUAACUGAAAAAAAAAUCCAAUUCAAUACAAAAUUAAAACUAAUCUUUUACAAUAAAUUGUAAAACACAUUAAAAUUUUCAGAUUCUAUAAAUAAUAGAUACUAAUAUACUCUACGAGUGAUGUUGGUGGAUAUUAAUAGAAAUGCAUUCGUUUGUAUCAUUAAUAGAAUCCAAAAUUUUGCUAUAACUUACAAUAUUUUAAUUUAUUUGCUAUUUUAAAAAUGUCCCUUUGAUAAUUUGAACAUUGUAGUAAUAUAGAAAAUGAUUAAAAAUAGCAAUUUUGACAAAAUACGUACAACAUAUAGCAAAUAAUAGACAUUGAUAUGAUUUAUCAAUAACAUUGAUAGACAAUAAUAGAUGUAACUCUAUCAGUUUUUACAAUGGAUAUAAAUCAAAAUUUUGAUAUAACUUAUAAAUAUUUUAAUUUAUUUUAUUAUUUUUUAAAACGAACAUUCUAUAUUUUAAUUUAUUUUGAAAUGGAAAAUAACAGUUAAAUGAACAUUCUAAUAUUUUAAUUUAUUUUAAAAUGGAAAAUAACAGUUAAAUAAUUUUUGAGAUAAAAUUCUUAAUUUCAGUGGGUAAGAAUUUUCCAAAAAAAGAGAAAAAGAGUGAGUAAAAUAGGAGGAGCUCCGCGUCUGGAACUGUUGGGCUGAAACUGACCAAAACUUUUCGUUUUCAUCAUAUUCCCAAUCCCAUUUACGGCUUCAUAAAUUUGGUUUUCUUUCGAAUUUUCAAUUCGCCACCAAGGUUUCUCUCACUUGCUCUCCGCGGGUUUUUCAUUCUCCUGUUAAGGUUUUGCCUAUUUCUUUUUCUUUUCAUAUUGUAAUGAUCAAUUACUACGUUUUUAUUUGUGUUCUAUGAAGUCUGCUAUGAGUUGUUGUCUGAUUUUCAGUCGUCUAUGAAAUUGGUCAUCGGUUUCAGUUAUCGUGUGUUCGUCUGCGUCUGAUUUUCAUAUUUGUUUGAUGGGGUUUCUCUGCCUUAUUCGUAUUCAAUGGCGUUCUCAUUCUUUGCAAAAAAAAUUAUGAAGUACAGAUUUAAUGAAGUGGAAAACGUAUUUUGAAAAUUGAAGGAAUUAACAGAGAGAUGAAAUUUGCCUACUAGUGGAAGCGGUGGAGGUCAUUGCAGUAGGCUGAGGAGAAAAAGGGGGCGGGUAUAAGAGUUUAAGGUCAUAUAGUUGACAAAUUUGGCGAUCGUUCCCACAAAGUUCGAAAAAGAGGAAUCAGAUAAACCUGGAAUUCUAAGGUUCUUUUGUUUAGCAAAGAGAGAAGGAAGGGGGUCGUGAGCGAGAGAAAAUGGGCAAAGGACCAUUUUCUUUUCGCCGGAGCAGUAGUCGCCGCCGCCCUAAGAAGGUGGUUCAGUCAUCACCAUCCUCAUCGCCACAGCUACCUCCGCAGAUUAGUACCAGUUCUCCUCCCAUUAACAACAAUGGGAAUGGCUUGGUUGGUGGUGGGGGUGGUGGGGCUGUGGGAAAAGUGAAGAAGAAGGCUGGAGGAUGUAGGCUGUGGAUGCGUCUUGACCGGUGGGGGCAAUCAGAGCUUUUAGAGUGGGACAAGAACGCUAUAAUCAGACGUGUUGGAAUUCCGGCCAGGGAUAUGAGGAUUCUUGGUCCUGUUUUCUCACACUCAUCUAAUAUACUCGGUAAGUUUUGAUUUUACGCUGCAACAAGUUUUGAGCUAUAUAUUUACUUUGUAGAAGUGCUGUUUGUUGCCUAAACUCUUAUAACUGAUUUUGGAAGUCAUAGCGAGGGGGAGUUAUAGGAAGCUAUAUAGCUCUUUUUCUAGUCUAUGAAAAAAGAAAGUGAAGUAUUUUUAGUUGGUUUUGUCUUUUUCAAUUGAGAGAGAAAGCUGAGGAGAAAACUAGAAUUUGAAGAGGUAAGAUUGUGUGUAUUUUUCGGUCUAUCCAUCACAGAGAAGGUCGUGUGUAUUUUUCUUGGCAUUUCAUCUUAAAUAGUUUGUUCAUGUUCUACAUUCAUUUUAAGAAACCAUAAAAAACAAAUAAUUUUUUAAUUCGUUUUUUAUUAUACAUGUGCUAUUUUCUUGAUUUGGUUGCUUCUUUUUACACUUCGUUUGUUGUUUUUCUUCUUGAGUUUAAAUUUGGGAACUACGAAGUCAGGUCGUAUUCAACAAUUCAUGUGUUCUCUCGUCAGAUGAAGUCUGGAAUUCCUUACUGGGUUCUCUUUGGUAUUCUUGCAGCCAGGGAAAAGGCAAUGGUUGUUAAUUUAGAGUUUAUAAAAGCUAUAGUUACUGCAGAAGAAGUCCUACUACUUGACCCUCUUCGCCAAGAGGUUAUUCCAUUUGUAGAUCAGCUAAGGAAGCUACUCGCGAAGACAGGCUCAUCUCAACUUGAAAAUGAUGGGAAUGUUUCGAGAGGAGGAAAGUGGUUGCCAGUUUCAGAGGCUGCUGAAGGUGAGCAGUAUGAGCUCCCAUUUGAGUUUCAGGUUCUGGAAAAUGCUUUGGAGGUAGUGUGCUUGUACUUAGAUUCCAGCGUGGCAGACCUUGAGAGGGAUGCUUAUCCAGUUCUGGAUGAACUGGCUAGGAAUGUCAGCACCAAGAAUUUAGAACGUGUGAGGAGUUUGAAAAGUAAUCUUACUCGUAUUCUUGCACGUGUUCAGAAGGUGUGCUGAAUUCUUAUUCUUUCUAGUUCUGCAAACUCUUUAAAAUGCUGAAUGAUUUUGUUUUCUGUUGAAAUAUUUUCCUCCUUUUUAAUUAAUUAUUAUACUCAGCUUGAGGUGUUUUCUAUGAUGUGUGUGUGUUGGGGUGGGUGUGUGUGGGGAGGGGGGAGGGGGAGGGGGAGGGUGAGGGGCAGAAAUGUUAUCAGGUAAUGUGAUGCAAGCUUAAUAACUGAUCGUUAAAGUAGCAACUGGAAAAAGGUUUUUCUCCCUUCCAAAGUUCCCGACCAUGAUCCUAAAUCCAGAUUCAUUUAGACUUGGUGAAACGUUUAUAGGUGGGAAUGUUUGAGGAUUUGUGCUUGCCAAUCUGUAUGCAAGUUGUAGAAUAUGUUACUUAGGAUUGUGAAUUGAUAUCUGUUUCUUUAAAACUCGUAGAUGCAAUUGGUGGCAUUGCCAAAUCUCAUGUAUAUUAACAUUUCAAUAUCUGGUGAAACUAAAAGAACCUCACCGUGUUUUCUGUUGAAUUCAAUGUCUAAGCAUAUAAUUCUAAUAAGUAUGUAUUUGUAGAACAUAGAGCUUUAAAUCCUCGGAUAAAUUUCCAACUCUAGGGAUUGAUAAGCUAUUAGAUGACCUUUGGGGCAACAAUGCUUAGUAAGCUGGAUAACAAUCAAAUCAUCUACUUAGGUUAAACCCCAAAAGAAAGCAUGAGGCUAAACUAAUAUUUUGAUAUAACUUCAUUUCCUAAUCCAGUAGCUUAAAGUUUUGGAUUGUUUGAUGAUUUAACUUAGUAUUAGAGCAUGGUGUGUUUUGUUUGAACUUUGUAAUGUUGUUUACUCCAUGAUUUAUGUUGAUUUUUACUUGUUGGGCUUUCUACUAAUUCCAUAACCCAUAAGUGAAGGAAAAUGUUAAAACUAUUGAUAUAAAUUAAAUUUACCAGCUUAAGCUUUUAGGUUGAUGAUGGGAUUCCAGCUAUUCCCACUUGUCGAUAUAAAAGGAUUGAAGGAUGCUUGAUAUUAAGAUGAAAAUAGCAAAAAAAAAGUUACAAAGACACUCUCUAACCGAAAUGCUCCGAGCCUCUCCGAUGGUUUCCUCUCCUUCUCCUGCUAUCCUAUCUUUCAAGAAUAAGACAGUGGGAUUUCAUACUCCAAAAACUAACUACCCCCUCCUCUCCUUUUCUCCCUUAUUUAUAUUCUCUUCCCCCCCACCUACCGUGGUCCCCCUUGGAUCGUGCGUCGCUCCACUCGUCUGUGGUCCCCACCUGCAGUUGGUUACAUAACCAACUCCCCUUCCUUCUUCUCUUUCCUAUUCUUUCUCCUACUGUAUUGGUGUAUGAUGGGUGGUCUAACAUUGCAUUCCUGGUCCAGUUUCACCUUGUCCUCAAGGUGGAAAUCGGGGAAGGAUUGCUGAAAGUCGUCAUAGCUUUCCCAAGUGGCUUCAUGAUGCGGUAGACCCUUCCAGCUCAUCAAAACUUCCCAUCCUCCUUUCUCGUUUUUUUGAUAACCGUAAAUCUCCUGCGGCACGGCCUUCCACUCGUGAUUUGCAGUAAAAAAUGGCAAGAGCUCUUCGCUAUUCGCACUCUCCCCAAAAGCCUUUUUUAACUGUGAGACAUGGAACACAGGAUGGAUUGUUGCUGCCGAUGGUAACUCCAGCCGAUAUGCCACCUGACCAAUUCUCUUCACUAUCUUAUACGGUCCGAAAUACUUUGGUGAUAGCUUCUCAUUUCUCUUCCUCCGCAGGGACACCUGCCUGUAUGGCCUAAUUUUUAAGAACACUUGUUCUCCUUCUUCAAAUUCGACAUGUCUCUUCAUGUCAGCAUAACUUUUCAUCUUGUCCUGAGCUAUGCGUAGGUGUUCCUUCAAAGCUCCCAAUGCUAUAUCUCUUUCCUUCAGUUGCUCAUCCAAGGUUGAGUUGGAAGUUUCCCGAUCCCCAUAAUAUACCAGGGCUGGUGGGGUUCUCCCAUAAACAGCUUGGAACGGUGACACGCCCAACGAUCUUUGGAAUGUGGUAUUAUACCAGUAUUCAGCCCAGGAUAACCACUUCAUCCACUCUUUCGGUUUUUCCCCGCAAAAGCAUCUUAGAUAAAUUUCGACCGACCUGUUGACCACCUCUGUCUAUCCGUCUGUCUGGGGGUGGUAGGCUGUACUUCGGUUUAACUUGGUACCCGCUAAACGAAAGAGUUCUUUCCAAAAAUGACUCAGAAAGAUCUUGUCCCGAUCAGAUACGAUUGACUGUGGGAACCCGUCUAGUCUUACCACUUCUUUAACGAACAACUCAGCUACCAUCUUUGCGUCAAAGGGAUGUUUAAGGCUGAGGAAAUGCGCAUAUUUGCUGAAGCGAUCCACCACUACGAAUAUGACAUCGCACCCCAUUGAUUUAGUCAGUCCUUCAAUAAAAUCCAUGGAUAUAUCCUCCCAUACUCUAUUUGGUAUUUCGAGGGGAGUCAAUAAUCCUGUUGGAGAUAAUGCUAAAGUCUUAUUCCGUUGGCACGUCAUACAUUCUUCGCAAUAUUUUUGCACUUCUGCCUUCAUUCCCACCUAAAACAGCUCUCCUGUCAUUCUUUUAUAUGUUCUUAAGAAUCCUGAAUGACCCCCUAGGACUGAAUCAUGAUAUGUGUGCAGAAUGGCUGGUCUUAAUGAAGAGUUCUUCGCGAUUACUAAUCUCCCUUUGUAUCUCAGUAUGCCUUGUUGCAGAGUGUAGUUCUUUACCUCUUCCUCCCUCUGAAUUCUGUCGAUGAUAUUCUUCAAAUAUUCAUCUUUGUCAACUUCCUCUCUUAUUACUUUGAUGUCUACCAAAGUGUGAGCGGUUAGUUGGUUGAGAUGGGCAGUUGGUGGUAUUCGUGAGAGGGCAUCUGCUGCCUUGUUUUCCAACCCUGGUUUGUACAUCACCUCAAAUGAGUACCCCAGCAGCUUUGCAAUCCACUUUUGAUAUUGCGGUUGGAUGACUCUCUGUUCCAGUAGGAAUUUUAGUGAUCGCUGAUCUGUUUUAACUAUGAACUUCCUCCCAAGGAGAUAGGGCCGCCAGCGUUGGACUGCCAUUACCACUGCCAUUAACUCCCUCUCAUAUACUGGUUUGGUCCGGUCGCGCAGUGCUAGUGUGUGGCUGUAAAACGCUACGGGUCUUUUGUUCUGCAUUAGUACUGCCCCAAUCCCAUAGCCUGAUGCGUCUGUCUCUACUUCAAAUGGCGCAUUGAAAUCGGGCAGAGCUAAUAUAGGCAGGGUCAUCAUUGCUCGUUGAAGCUUCUCAAACGCUUCCUAUGCUUCCUCAUUCCAUUUAAAUGCUCCAAGCUUCAGCAGCUGAGUCAGGGGUGCCGCUAUGGAUCCAUAAUGCUGUACAAAACGGCGGUAAUAACCCGUCAGCCCCAGAAACCCUCUAACCUCCCGAACGUUUGUUGGGAUUGGCCAUUGCUUGAUUGCUCUAAUUUUUUCAGGGUCGACUUCUACUCCUCUUCCCGACAAUACAUGUCCCAGAUACUCCACCCUUGAACCCGCAAAGCAGCAUUUCUUUCAGUUAGCAAAUAACUUAUGCUCCCUCAAGACUUCCAGCACUAGUUCAAUAUGUUGACAAUGCUCCUCUAGGUUCCUGCUAUACACCAGUAUAUCAUCAAAGAAAACUAAGACAAACUUCCUCAGAUACGACCUAAAAAUCGAGUUCAUUAGUGAUUGGAAGGUUGCUGGUGCGUUGGUGAGUCCAAACGGCAUUACCAAAAACUCAUAAUGUCCCUCGUGAGUUCUAAAGGCUGUUUUCUCUAUAUCUUGACUACACAUUCUCAGUUGAUGGUAACCGGCUUUCAAGUCUAUUUUAGAGAAUAAGUUGGCACCAUUUAACUCAUCAAACAGUUCUUCCACAACUGGGAUAGGGAACUUAUCUGGAAUCGUUAUGUUGUUGAGUGCCCUGUAAUCCACGCAGAAUCGCCAACUCCCAUCCUUUUUCUUGACCAGGAGAACGGGACUUGAGUAGGGGCUUGUGCUGGGGCGGAUGAUUCCUGAAGCCAUCAUUUCAUCCACCAAUUUUUCCAGUUCUUCUUUCUGCUGGAACGCGUACCGGUAGGGCCGGACGUUCACCGGGUCUGCUCCUUCCCUUAUAUGUAUAUGAUGUUCGAUAUCCCUGCUGGGAGGCAAUUCCUUAGGCCACUUGAAUACAUCCUCGUACUGUGUCAGGGUUGUCAAGAUGCUCUCAGGUUCGUUCUUGUUCUCUUCUGUUUCUAUCUUAGCUUGGCAUGCUUCCAGUGUUCUGCACUCAAUCAAAUAUCCCGUGUCCGUUUCAGUCCAUGAUUUGGUGAGAUUUUUUAGGCUCACUUGAGUUUUAGUUAAGCUUGGAUCCCCUUUUAGCACCACUUUUUUGUUGUCAUGGAAAAAGGACAUGGUUAAAUUCCUCCAGUCCAUCUCUGUCACUCCCAAGGAAUGUAACCAUUGCAUUCCAAGUAUCAGGUCUACCCCUCCCAGUUCCAAUGGUAGGAAAUUCUCCAUGACUGUCCACCCAUUGAAAUUCAACUCUACUUUUUCACACACCCCUUUGCCUUUGAUGGCUGUUCCUGAUCCCAGUAUUACUCCAUAGUUGGCAGUGUCUUUUGUGGAUAUUUUCAGUGUCCUGACUAGCCGGUCAGAUAUGAAGUUGUGGGUGGCUCCGCAGUCUACUAGCACGACAACCUCUUGGCUUUGGAUUGUGCCUCUUAUCUUCAUGGUCCCCGGAUUCGUCAAUCCCACUACUGAGUUAAUACAUAACUCCACUACCUCUCCAGGGUCGUUCUGCAGCUCCAUGGUUUUCAAUUCUUUUAGAUCAUACUCAUCUUCCUCAAUGAUUUCUUCCUCCACAUCGUCAGCUCUGACCACAAACAUCCGUAACUCUCGCAUUUCCUUCGCUUUGCAUUUGUGCCCGGAGUAAUACUUCUCAUCGCAUUUGAAACAGAGUCCCUUCUCUCUCUUGGCCUGGAAUUCCGCGUCUGAGAGCCGUUUAGAGGGUCCUUCUUUCUUAAUCUCCUUUGCCGGCGAUCCCCUCAGUGUAAUCGUCCGUAUUGGAAAUACCGUGUUCUCCUUAUUCCCUUGUUCCUUUAGACCGGAAUUUGCUUUGGGUGUAAAAUAGCUGCUAUUUGUGACUUUCGCUCCAGAAUAUCCAGGUAAAUUUGCUUCCCUCCUCAAGAUCUCUUGCUGUUCCACCAUCUGUGCAUAUCUCAUCAUCUCGGCUAAUCCCACGGGAUUGCAGAAUUCCAUCUCCACCUUAAUCCACGGUAACAGCCCUCCCAUGAAUGUCUCUUCCACAAUCUUUUCAGGAAUAUCCGAUAAUGGUGCCACCCACUUAUCGAAGAGGUUCCUAUAUUCCUCCACGCUUGUUUCCUGCUGAAUUCGUAAGAACCGGCCAUACAACGACCCUUCGCGGGAAGAUCGAAAUCGGAUCAGUAGUCGUUCCUUUAAAUUUAACCAACAAGUAAAUUUGUCUCUCUCCUCCUGCGAUCGAUACCAGUUGAGUGCGGGCCCUUCGAAGCUGAUUGUGGCAACCGUAAGUUUUUCAGAAUUCGUGAGUUUGUGUAUUUGAAAGUAUCUCUCUGCGCGAAACAACCAUGAAUCUGGGUCAUCUCCAUCGAAUACCGGCAUUUCAACUUUUUUGAAUUUGUUUCGAUCGUUGCUAUCCCCGUCGCCAUCUUCCUUCGUUUCCGUCGUCCCAUUUUUCGUUUCUUUACUUGCCGAACUCUCUCCCUCCGCCAUUUUUCCCGUCCAUGUUUCUUGUACUGACGACUCGAUUCCUUUUCCGCUAGCUAAUACCCGUUCCUUGGCCAUCGUUUCCAUGAAUAUCAUCACCAUUUGGUGUGUUUUCUCCACUUGGGCCUGCAGGUUUUCCAUGUUCUGCGACAUUACCGUAAGUUUCUCCUCCAUCACCGGAAUCUUGUUGAGUUCUUGUUCGUGUGUAUCCCUUCUCUCUUCACUUCUGGUUUGAACCAUGGCUUCCCCUUCUUUUCGGAUCGACGAGCUCUAAUACCAAGUUGAUGGGAUUCCAGCUAUUCCCACUUGUCGAUAUAAAAGGAUUGAAGGAUGCUUGAUAUUAAGAUGAAAAUAGCAAAAAAAAGUUACAAAGACACUCUCUAACCGAAAUGCUCCGAGCCUCUCCGAUGGUUUCCUCUCCCUCUCCUGCUAUCCUAUCUUUCAAGAAUAAGACAGUGGGAUUUCAUACUCCAAAAACUAACUACCCCCUCCUCUCCUUUUCUCCCUUAUUUAUAUUCUCUUCCCCCCCACCUACCGUGGUCCCCCUUGGAUCGUGCGUCGCUCCACUCGUCUGUGGUCCCCACCUGCAGUUGGUUACAUAACCAACUCCCCUUCCUUCUUCUCUUUCCUAUUCUUUCUCCUACUGUAUUGGCGUAUGAUGGGUGGCCUAACAAUUGAUUGAUAAUUUACCAGCUCAUGAAGAAGUCAAAACGAACAUUUUGGUCUAAUAAAAAAAUUGGGAUUGAGAGGCACCAAGUUGAGGGAUCUUGUUGAAGAUCUCACAUUGGAAAAAUCAAGGGUCUCACACUCCUUAUAUAAUAGAUUGGCUACUCCUUUUAAUGCUGGUUUUGGGUUGGAAUCCUUGUUAUCAAAUACGUCGACCCUCAAUUCUCAAGUGGGUUAUCACCCUCUUAAAUAGAAAAAAAGGCUAAACACCAAUUUGCCCAGUCCUAUCAAUUUUUUUCCCACUUGGAAUCAAAGGAACCCAUGCACUUUUUUAGAUAUAGGAAAGGAACAACUUUCACACACACACACACAUAUUGUAGUUUUCUUUGGGUGCACAAUGGGCAGUUCUUUUUGUAGUUUUACAAUUUUGAUAUAUAUGCUUAUUGGAAGUAUUUUCUACAACUUCUCUUAGCCUAUCAUCGAGGCUUUUCUGUCCCUCUUAUUUAAUCUUCUUAUCAUGAGAAAAUGGAACUCUUUAUCCAUCAAGUAAAUUGGACAAGUUGUAAUAUGAGAAAUCCCCUAGAAGACAAUUGGGUUUUAUCAAAAAAGGAUCCAAUUUAACAUAUAUCAUCGAAGUAUCACUCUUUUUCAUAUUUCAUUGAUUUAACCAAAUAUAGUAAAUCUUAUCCAAUAAGAAAACCGACAGAGAUGAUAUUGAAGACUACCUUUCGAGCCCCAUCCUAACUCUGCUGGAUUCUCCUUUUCCAUCUUCCUUUAUGAAUCUCUUGAAACACAAUUGUAUGAUUUUGUUUAAAACCCUCCACUGACAAACGAGCCUUUCUAUAUGGGGCAUCAUUUAAUUGCAUUGGCUCCUUUUUUGGAGACAACAGAUUCUGUAUUGUGGUUUUCCCUGUUGAGAAAAAGAGCAACAAACAUACAACGAAACAAAGGAAAUGCAUUAGAGAAAUCCAAUACUUGAAUGCUUAAUCUCUUGUGAGGAAAAAUCUGCAUCUUUGCUUAGAAAGGAGUCAUUACUGGCUUGAUCCCUUACAGCUUACAAGCUCUGUGCUCUCCCUCCAACAAGUUGGCCCAGAUAUGGCUUUUGUAUUGAUUGUUUAUUGGAUUGCCUGAUGAUGCUUUCGGAUUGGUCUUUCAAUUUUUUUUGUUGUGGCUAUGAUUGAUAUUUUCGAAUUGUUAUUAUGUUCAGGCUUGUCCUUAUUUGAGGGCGUCUUGCAUUGUCAAUCCAGCUUACAUUUUUCUAUUUUAUCACUCUUUUUUGUUGCCCCAUUCCUCUUGAUUUUUGGUGUAACUUUAUCUUCUACUAGAACUAGGGGUGUCCCUUUGGUUCACCUUGCUCUUUAUGAGGUUUUACUGGUGUAUCUCUUUGGAUAUUUCAUUUGUCAAUGAAAUUGUUUCUUAUAAAACAACGACAGAGAAGGAAAAGAAAUAGACUCAUAGCUUUUAUGAUGGCAGGUGCGGGACGAGAUAGAACAUCUAUUGGAUGAUAAUGAAGAUAUGGCACAACUAUAUUUGACAAGGAAAUGGAUGCAGAAUCAACAAUUCGAUGCUUUGAUGGGAGGAGGUGGGGCUUCCAACAGCACAACUGCUGUUGUUCCUCAUCUUCGUCGACUUAGUUCCAACAGGAGUGGCAGUGUGGUGACCAGCAAUCUUUUGGAUGAUAAUGACGUAGAGGACCUGGAGAUGUUGCUCGAGGCAUACUUUAUGCAGCUGGAUGGGACUCGUAACAGGAUAUUAUCGGUGAGAACUAAGUUUCUUCAUGAUAUAAUUUGAUUUAAUUCCAUAACGAGACAGCAACAGGAACAGUUUCUUUCCUCUUUGGUUUUAUUUUAUUCGGGUAAAGGGGUGGGGGCUUCUCGUGAUAAUAACAUAAGUCACUAGUUACCCAUUAUUUAUCUUUAUAGUUGAGUACUUGAGAAAUAAUCUAAUGUGUAAAUCUUUGGCAAUCCCAAUUAGGAGUCCCAUUUGAAUUAAUGAAGCUUCAGAGAGCCUUGAUAAUUAAUUUGCUCCCUCGUAAUAUAGAAGCUAAUGGCUGAUAUGUACAUAUAUCUAAAUGCAAAUUACAAUGUUUAUAGUUGUGGGGCUUGUGACUAUAGAUAGACUGUCAACUAUUAUGGGUUGACUUAGUAGUAACAAGGGAAAGUAAAAGGGUGAAAGGGUUAAGAGAUCAUGGAUUCAAUUCGUGGUGACCAUCUACAUUGGAUUUAAUAUCUUACAAGUUUUCUUGACACUCAAAUGCUUGACUCGGUCAAGCGGGUUAUUGUAAGGAUUCUACGUGAUUACUUAACUAUUUCUCCCUUACAAUGGCAUAAACAGAGGCAGCACUCUGUUAUCUUUAUUUAUAUAUAGCCAAAAUGAGUACACUAGACAUAAAGAUUUAAAAGAAACAAAAGAACAAUAAGGGCAAACCCAGCUUCCUCUUGGGAAAAACUGGAUAUACUCCUAGGCUAAGCAGCCGCCAACAUAAGGAUAAAAUAAAACCUAGCCUCCCCUAGACCUAAAAGACCUAUUUAUAUUCCUCCUCUCAUCUUUUUCCUAUUUCUGUGCUUGGGCCCCACACGCACGAUCUCCUCCCAUUCUUCCUUCAUCAUUAAUUAUUUGUCCAUUUACUUUCCUGCCCCUCCUUUGAUAUGUGUGAAUGAUUGGGGGUCUUACAAUACCCCGGGGUUCUAAGUUCACCUUGUCCUCAAGGUGAAAGUGAGGAAACUGUUGGUUCAAUAGGUAGACUGAUUCCCAUGUUGCUUCACUAUCUGGUAAGUUCUUCCACUUGACCAACCACUCAUUUCCUUCUAACUCCUUGUUCCACCGUAUUCCCAAUACGUUUUCGGCCACAAUUGUAAUUCAAAAUCCUCAGUUAGGAUGGACUGUUGUUGCUGGUCUACAUGUUGUUUCCCCAACUUCAGUUUCAAUUGAGAAACGUGGAAGACAUUGUGAAUGGCAGCCUUUGGCGGUAGUUUCAACCGAUAUGUGACCUCUCCUAUCUCCUCAAUAAUAUCAUACGGCCCAUAAAAUUUCGAGGAUAGCUUUUCACAUUUCUUUCUAGCUAAUGAUCUUUGUCGAUAGGGUCGUAGUUUCAAAUACACUUCGUCACCGAUUUUGAACUUGAGCUCCCUGCGAUUCCGGUCUGCCAUUUUCUUCAUUCUGUUUUGAGCUAUGCAUAAGUUUUCUUUCAAGGCAUUGAUUGCUAAGUCUCUCUCCUUCAACAUGACUUCUACGUCAUUGUUAGGAGAUUUCUUCCAUCCGUACGACAGCAAUGGAGGGGGAAUUCGUCCAAAGACCGAUUGGCAAGGAGUAGUUUUGGUGGACGCAUGGAAGGUUGUGUUAUACCAUAAUUCCGCCCAAGGAAUUAGUUUAUUCCAUUUCUUCGGUUGCUCAUUGCAAAAGCAUCUCAAAUAGGUUUCUAGGCAUCUGUUUACUCUCUCGGUUUGCCCAUCAGUUUGGGGAUGGAAAGCCGUGCUUCUCUUCAAAAUUGUGUCCAUGGUGGUGAACAACUCCUUCCAGAAAUUGCUAAGGAAGAUCUUAUCGCGGUCGGUAAUAAUGGAUUUGGGUAUUCCAUGUUUGCUGACCACUUUUUCCAAAAAAAUGGAAGUCACUUGCUUGGCUGUGUACGGGUGUUUAAGAGGCAAGAAAUAGGAGUACUUACUUAGGCGAUCGACGACUACCAUAAUCACGUUGUAUCCUCCUGCUAGUGGCAGACCUUCGAUGAAGUCCAUGGUCCAAUCCUCCAAUAUCUUGUCGGGGAUAGGAAUGGGUUGAAGAACUCCAGCAGGCUUGGUAGCUUCGAAUUUGUUGCGUUGACAUAUGUCACAUUCUUCCACAUAUCUCUUUACAUCAGCCUUCAUCCCCUUCCAAAAUAAUUCCCCACUCAUCCUUUUGUAGGUUCUCAAGAACCACGAGUGCCCUCCUAGUAUGGAAUCAUGAAACAUGUGUAGAAGUCUUGGAAUGAGGGAAGAAUUACGCGACAACACCAUCCUUCCCUUAUAUAACAACCUGCCAUUGUUCCAUUGGUAUUUUCCUCCUAGAUCCACCCCUCUUUUAAGUUCGGCAAUAAUUUUCUGAAGUUCUUGAUCUUUCUUGACUUCCUUCUCUAUCAGCUCUAUCUAUAUCAACGAUGCCCGUGGUUGUCAUUGUGUUUAACUCAACUGAUUGGUCCUUCCUUGAGAGAAUCCGCAACUUUAUUUUGCAGACCCGGUUGAUACAAAAUCACAAAGUCAUACCCCAAGAGUUUUGUGAGCCACUUUUGGAAUUGAGGCUGAACUUCCCUCUGUUCCAACAAAAAUUUCAGAUCCUUCUGAUCUGAAAUAAUCGUGAACUUUCUGCCAGGAGGUAAUGCCUCCAUUUUUGCAUUGAAAGGACAACCGCCAUCAAUUCCCUUUCAUAGAUCGACUUACCCUGGGCCCUUGGGGACAGUUUUUGACUGAAGAAUGCGAUUGAAUGACCAUCUUGUGAUAGAACUGCACCUAAACCUACUCCUGAAGCAUCAGUUUCGGUCGUGAAGGGCUGAGACCAAUCCGGCAAUGCUAACACGGGUAUGGUUGUCAUUGCUAGCUUCAGUUGAUCAAAAGCUGUCGUGGCUUCCUCAUUCCACUGGAAUGCAUUUUUCUGAAGUAGUUUAGUCAAGGGUGCAGCUAUCUCUCCAUAGCUUUUCACAAAUCUUCUAUAAUACCCAGUCAGUCCAAGGAAUCCCCUCAGCCCCGUUAUAUCUUUCGACCGUGGCCAAUUGACCAUACUACGAAGUUUUUCCUUGUCAGCCUCCACUCCUCUGCUGGAAAUCAAAUGUCCCAAAUAUUGAACUUGGGAAUGAGCAAUUACACAUUUAGUUCUAUUUGCAAACAACUUAUGGUCUCUCAAAAUAGCAAAUACCAUCCAUAAAUGUUUCAUAUGCUCAUCUAUGUCCACACUAUAAACUAGAAUGUCAUAAAAAAAAACCAGGACACACCUUCGAAGGAAUGGUUUGAACACCUCGUUCAUGAGAGAUUGGAAGGUGGCAGGAGCAUUCGUAAGACCGAAGGGCAUCACCAAGAACUCAUAAUGUCCUUUGUGCGUGCGAAAAGCUGUUUUCUCCACAUCUUCCUCCCUCAUCCUAAUCUGAUGGUAUUCAGAUUUAAGAUCUAACUUUGAGAAAACUGUCGCCCCAUGAAGUUCAUCUAAGAGUUCUUCAAUCACUCGGAUUGGAAAUUUGUCAGCCACGGUUACUUGAUUGAGUUUACGGUAGUCUACACAAAACCUCCAACCCCCAUCUUUUUUCUUCACCAAGAGGACCGGGCUCGAAUAUGGGUUGUGGCUUGGACGAAUAACCCCUGCAUGUAGCAUUUCUAACACCAAUUUUUCAAUCGCCUCUUUUUGUACAUGCCCAUACUUAUAUGGUCGAACAUUAAUCGGUUUCUGAUCGGGCAGGGUCAAAAUACGAUGGUCUAUGGUUCUCUUUGGAGGUAAACCUGUGGGCAGCCUAAAGAUGUCUGCAUAUUUGCUCGAGCAGUUGUUGAACCAUGGGUAAUCCUUCCUCCUCUCCUUUCACUUAUGCUUCUGUUUCUGAUUCGCCUUCACAAUCCACUUCAUAAUUUUGAAAUUCUAAGAGAAAUCCUUGGUCCCUAGAUUGCCAUGUUUUCUCUAAGGUUCUCAACGAACAUUUUGACUUUGUUAGAGAAGGGUCCCCUUUUAGGAUUAUUCUUCUACCCUUCGUCCAAAACGUCAUGGUUAGAGAUGGCCAGUGUACUUUCAUGGUCCCUGUCGAAUCUAACCAUUGCAUCCCUAACACCAAGUCUACCCUUCCUAAUUCUACCGCCAGGAAGUCCACUACGAUCGUUAACUCUUUCAACUUCACUUUUACCCUCUUACAAAUCCCUCUUCCUUCACAUCGGGUGCCAUUCCCAAUGGUAACUCCAAAUUGAGUCCCCGGGUCGAUGCUCAGUUGUAGUUCAUUUACCAACACUUGACUGAUGAAGUUAUUGGUGGCACCACUGUCAAUCAGGAUGAUUACUUCCUUUCCAUUCACAUGUCCUUUUAAUUUCAUAGUUCCCUUGGACGUAACACCCGUGAUCAACCUUUAACUCAAUAGGGGUAUCCUCCUUCAAUUCCAAUUGAUUCAGUUCUAUUACUUCGCCUGCCUCAUCCUCUGUAUUUAAUUCCCUUUCGUUGUCAUCUUCCUCAUUUAGUAUAAGGAGCAUCAACUCUCUUUUUUCUCUGCCUUUACAUCUAUGACCGGGGGAAUACUUUUCAUUACACCUGAAACAAAUCCCUUUAUCCAGCCUUGCUCUAAAUUCCGCAUCCGACAGCCUUUUAAUUGGGGGUCUUUUUUCUGGUAAUCACCUUUUAGUGGGUUAGUUAUCUGCUUCAUAACAAACUCUGUCUUCCUUGUUUCUACCUUCUCACUUUUUCCUUAAGUUUGCUACUGUUCUCACUUCUUUUGGGCUCAACUUUAUCAAUCUCUUCCAUCACUAGCUUUAAUGUAUAUUCCUAUCAUUCACCAGUUGAGCUUCCUUCGUACACUCCUCUAAAGUUUGAGGGUGUCUACUGAUUACUUCUGCUUGCAGUGCUGGCUCAAGACCCGUCAGAAACGCGUCCAGCAGAACACUUUCGGCCAUGUCAGGGAGGAGGGCUGAAUAUGUAACAAACUUCUUAACAUAAUCACUGUAUGACCCUUCUUGCUUGAUACAGAUUAAUCUUGCCCCCAAGCUCUGCUGUCCAGUAUCAUUGAAUAAAUCAAACAUCCUCUUCUUCAAAUCCUCCCAAGAUUCCACCCUCUUUGAGUGAUGACUCCACCUAAACCAGUCAACCUCUUCCUGUCCAAAACUAACGACUGCUACUUUGACCUUCUCAGCUUCCGGCAAGUUGUUUAUCUCAAAGAAAUGUUUCGCUUGGUAGGCCCAAGAUUCAGGGAUCACCCCUGUAAACAAUGGCAUUCCUAUUUUUUGUACUUACUUCGGUCUACGUUGCCUCCUCCAGACUCGGCUAUGGUUUAGGUAUCUUCCAGCUUUCCCAUCAGUUUCAACAUGGGGCCUUCCGUAGUCCCGGCUUCUUCUCUUUUUUUGGCGCCAUGGUUUUCUCUCAGCUCGUUCGUCAUUCGAUCCAUCGAUUUCUUCAUUUCCAGCAUCAUCUCCUUCAGACUCAUAAUUUCCUUUUCAGUUCCUUCUACCCGUUCUUCUAUUUGUCUCUGAGCCAUCAGAUGCGUGAUCAACCCCCAGUGUGGAGGCUUUGAUACCAAAUGUAAGGAUUCUACGUGAUUACUUAACUGUUUCUCCCUUAUAAUGGCAUAAACAGAGGCAGCACUCUGUUAUCUUUAUUUAUAUAUAGCCAGAAUGAGUACACUAGACAUAAGGAUUCAAAAGAAACAAAAGAACAAUAAAAACAAACCCAGCUUCCUCUUGGGAAAAACUGGAUAUACUCCUAGGCUAAGCAGCCGCCAACAUAAGGAUAAAAUAAAACCUAGCCUCCCCUAGACCUAAAAGACCUAUUUAUAUUCCUCCUCUCAUCUUUUUCCUAUUUCUGUGCCUGAGCCCCACACGCACGAUCCAACAUAAGGAUAAAAUAAAACCUAGCCUCCCCUAGACCUAAAAGACCUAUUUAUAUUCCUCCUCUCAUCUUUUUCCUAUUUCUGUGCCUGAGCCACACACGCACGAUCUCCUCCCAUUCUUCCUUCAUCAUUAAUUAUUUGUCCAUUUACUUUUCUGCCCCUCCUUUGAUAUGUGUGAAUGAUUGGGGGUCUUACAGUUAUCUUGUGAGAUUAGGUUAAGUGCAUGUAAGCUGGUUUGGACACUCACUGAUAUCAAAGGAAAAAAAAAACCAUUAGGUUAAGGAAGUAAUUAGUUUCAGCCUAUAGGCUAUAUUACUCUUGGUGAUAUAUAAUUAAAUUUGUCUUCAACCAUCGACGAAGCUUUUGGGUAAAUUGGUAGUUUAAUAUGGUAUCAGAGCAGGUGGUCUAGGGAGGUGUGUUCAAGCUUCUCCAUUGUCGUUUCCUCCCCAAUUAAAAUCGAUUUUCACUUGUUGGGCCUUUCAAAUAUUUCAAGCCCACAAGUAAAGGAGACUGUUGGUGAUAUAUAAUUAAAUUUUUCUUCAACCACUAGCUUAAGCUUUUGGGUGAAUUUGUGGUUUAAUAACUACCGAGUAGUAUUUUGGGAGUGAUUUUGGUUUCUCAUCCAAAAUUAUCAUGUGUGGGAAGAACAUAAAGAUGCUUUUAAUAAAAGUCAAACAGUAUCUAAAGUGCUUUGUACAAGGCAUUAAUCUUUCACUUGUAUCCCUUGUGUUUGAAAUUGGGAAGCAGUUCAGAUACACUUUCAAGAGUGUAAAGUGUCAAAGUAAUUAUUCAAGGCAAGUAGUGUUUUAAAAACCCCUCUUGGUAUGUGCUUAGGCGCUUGGUAGCGGAAGACGCCAUUUGUGAAGCCUCAAGGCUCAAAGUCCAGUUUCUUUUAAUCAUUAUUUGUAGAAAAUAGUAAGAACUAGUGUUUUCCAUCUUCAUUAUCUCCCCCAACUGUUGUCCUCAAAAAAAAAAAAAAAAAAAAGGAAGAAGAAGAAUCGUAUUUACUAAUGCAAAGUUUCAUAUGUUGAAUUUUUUCUUCAUAUUUAUUUUCACUUUAAGCUUUCUUUCUCUCUUGAGUUUUUUCAUUUUGAGAAUCAGUAUUGAGUUUAAGGCUUAAAUUAAUCUCAUUUUUAAAUGUGCAGGUUAGGGAGUACAUCGACGACACCGAAGAUUACGUCAACAUUCAACUUGACAACCAAAGAAAUGAACUCAUUCAGUUUCAGUUAACACUGACUAUUGCUUCAUUUGCCAUAGCUGUUGAAACCUUAAUCGCUGGGUUGUUUGGUAUGAACAUCCCUUGUACAUUGUACGAGAGAGAUGGGGUGUUCGGGUACUUUGUCGGAGGUACUUCAGCAGGGUGUUUGUUGCUUUUCCUGGUUAUUCUUGGGUAUGCAAAAUGGAAGAAGCUUCUUGGUUCAUGAUUUCACCUCUUGUUGUUUUUUAGUAAGAAAAUGAAUACAUCAGCCAUCACAGAAUGCCAUAACUUGAUAUUUUAAAGUCCAUAGAGGCCCUAAGUUAUAAGUGGCCCAUGUAUAAGAUAUCUCAAACAUAUUUUUACAUGGAAAUAUUUCACCAUUUGGUUUCUAUUUAAGCUUACAUUUUGGUUCUCUUGAAGUUUGUUCACUUCGGUCCAAUUUUAGUUUUUUUUUGUAUUUUCAAUCAAUCUUAAAUGUUGUUUCUCAAAAUUCGUUAAAUAAUAAUAUUAAUUAUCAUGUCAUCAACAAUAAGCUAUAAAUGGAGUUCAAACUUUAAAGUUAGAAUGACUAAAAUGAUACUUUCAUUAAAGUUUCUUGAAAAGAAAACAUCAAGCUACGGAAGAAUUUACACUUAAAAUAGAUCAAAUUAGUAAGGUUCGAAACCACCAUGUUUUAAAGUGAGUUUAAUUUAGUAGUAAUUAACGUGCACUAACUUUUUUUUUCAUUGAUCGAAAGUCGUCGUAGGUUUCAUAUAUUAUAUAUUUGUAAAAGGCUUUCCCUUUCAUCCUUUUGUAUUGUAUUUUAUAUGAAUCUUGUAUCACCUUCUCUAUGAGAGAUGAAUUGAAACUACCAUAUUAAAAUCAUUGGAUGAUUUUGUUGAUAAUUUUGAUUUUUUUCCAUUUCUAUAUUAAAAAAAUAGUAUCUACACAAACACUAUUGUUCACACGAGAUUUCGAAGAAUAAUAAUUGGUGGAAUUGAAAUUUGUAUAUUGAUGAAUAUUGUGAAAUUGAUGACUUUCUUUUGAAUACAAGAUAAAAACUUUAGAACUUUUUGGUCUUCGGUCUUGAGGAUGUUAUAAAAAUCAUUUAGAAUAUGACCAAUAGAUUUGUGAUUUUUUUUUUUUAUAAAAAUCACUUGAAAUAUGUUCGAUAGAUUUUUUUUUAUCAAUAAAUUUAAUAGGAUAAUUGAGACUUAAAAAAAUGAUAGACUUGGAAUAUUAUCAAUUCAUAAAAAAAAAAAAUGUAAAUUUGAGUGGAAGUUUUAAUUUCUUUUAAAAACUUAUGUUAAUCUAAAGUUGAAUUGCCCCAAACUAAAAUGUGAAAAGUUUUGCUGAAUUAUUUUUGGAGGAAUAUUCUUCUUUUUAUUCUUGAAUUUUAUUCUUUUUGGCUUUUUGUUUGGUUAAAAGUUGGAUUUAAUUAUAGGAAUGAUAUGAGGUGGAUAUGGUUUCAAUAUUUUUUUUAUAAUUAUGUCAUUUUUUGUUUUGUUUGGAAUGAAAAAAGAGAAUAGGAGAAGAGGGAGGAAUUCUCCCCUAAAAAUUCAAUUUCUAUCUAACUACGUACCGUGUUUGUUGAGAAGGUUGGAAGAUUUGAUUUCCCAUUUUUUCUAUAAAUAGAGAAGAAUAAGGGAUUUUUUAAAAUAAAUGACUAUUAUGCACUGUUUCUGUGAUCCACACAAUAAUGAAUUGAAAAGAAAGAGAAGAAAAGGAAAGCGGGAAUGGGAGAAGAGAGAGAGAGCUGCUGAAGAAAAGAAAAUAAGAAAAAACAUUUUUUUAUAAAAAUAUGAUUCCUUCUUUUUCUUUUUUCUCUUUUCUAUUUUUCUUUUCUUUUCUUUCUCAUAUUUUGGUUUUUUUCUUUCUUCAUUUUUGUAACGACCCAGAAAAGUCGAAGUAAAUAGAUAAAAUUUAUUUAAAACAAUCGUAUCAAAGACCCUAUUCUAAACCAAAUAAAAUUUUUAAAGUACUGUUUAUUUAAAAAAUAAAACAACAUGUUCUUAACUAAAACUCAUUUUAAAUCCUUAAAACUAACUUGAAGAAAUUUUUUGAAGAAUGACGAUCGCAUCGGAAGAGGGAAGAGUACCCUACAUCAUAACAGUAGUCUCGUGUGAUCGUAGGAUGCACAUAAGCAGUCUAAUGCCCUCACUAAUGCCUUUACAGUUUGCCCUCACUAAUGCCUUUGAGUUUUGGUCCACCAUAUUGAGUUUUGGUCCACCAUAUUUUGCAAGGAGUUUCCAGCUUUUUUGGAGUUUGCAAUCAUCUCCUCCGAACAGACAACGAUGUAAGGUUUAGGUUUUCUUGUACAAUUGUCUUUCUUUUGUCAUAUGUAUGGCUUGAUUCAACAACAUCACGAUUUGUCAUAUGUAUGACUUGAUUCAACAACAUCACGAUUCUUGAGAGAUGCAAUCUCAUUAUCCCUUUCUUCAAGGACUUUCAUGAGCAUGUUCUUCUUUUCAAGCUAAAUCCUUAUGAAGUGUUGACACGAACUUGUACAUCUUGAAUUUCAAUUCAACCAAAGUAUUUAUAGAGAAAUUUCAUGAGUUUAGGUGGAUUGAGCCUAUUUGCUUGUUCCACAAAUAAGUGGCAAAUGUCUCUAUUUAUAGAAAAAUUUCAUGAUCCAUCUAUUUCUUGGGCUUGAGCUUGGGCCUAUAUGUUUAUUAGAUUUGGGCUUAAUUUGGUUGGAUUAGGAUAAGUAAACUUAAUUAUCAAAAUUGAAUGAAAAUAUAAUUAUAACAACAUUUGUCACAUGACAAUUUAAUUAUUGGCCAAAUUUCUUACCACUGUCCGUCCAUGUAGAUUUUAAUUUAUUUCUUAAUACAUUUUAUGAUUUCAAAACAAUAAUUAAAACACAUUACACUUUUACCUGUCAAAUCAAUUUUCUUAAAAAAUAAAAUAUUACACUUUAUUGUGAAUAGACAAGGGAUAAAAACACCCACACACAGAAAAAGAAAAUAGUAGUUUAAAUAGUUGUUCCAAAUGUAUAAUAUAUUAUAUAUUAUAUAUUUUAGUUUUUAAAUACAACAAAAUAAAUUGAAUAUUUAUAAAUAUAACAAAUUUGUUUUUAUAAAAUGAUGGACGCUAAUAAUUAAACAUCUAUUACCACUAAUAGUAAAAUUUUGAAUAGAUGUAAAAAAAAAUCCCUUCAAACAAUUACUCUAUUUUAAUCUCAUAAAAAUAACAAAGUAAUCCAUACAUAAAAAUCCGAUUUAAACUUGAAAUACACCAUCUAAUGGCAAAUCAUUACCCACAUAAAAUAUUGAAAUUUUACAAGUUUUUUUAUGAAUGUGCUAAAAUAUUUUUUUUUUAUCAAAAUAUAUAUUGUAAUUUUUUUCUUUUCAAAAAUUAAAUUUAUAAAAAUCACCUUCACCCAUAAAAUUAUCUUGUAAAAUUAAUUGAAAAACAUAAAUUUGAAAAACAAAAGAAUGAAAAUGAAAUUAUUAUCAAAUUAGAUCAAGUGAUGUUGUGAGAUUAGUUUGAGUUGAGAAGCAAACGCACUCCUAUUUGAUUAAAGAAUUUAUGAACACGAAGAUUAAAAAACUCAAGAUCGACCACCUCCUCAACAAAUAGGCAUAUGCGACAUAUCUCUAGUUUUUUUUUUUUUUGAUGGGCACCAUGAGAUCCAACUUUAUUUAGGGAACAUAUUUAGUUGUUUCCUGCAACUUGGCAAAUGGAAUCUUUAUAUAUAGUAUUAUUGUUAUAUUUUUCUUAUGUGGGUGUCUCUAAAUGAUCCUAAUAAUGUGUAUCAAUUCCUACUUCAAUAUUUAAAUAUCUGUUCUCUCAUAUUACCAACAAACAGUAGAACAUGUUUUCUCCUUUUUUUUAUUUAUUUCUUUUCUUUUGGAAUUGCUCUGCACGUACAGAGCUUUUCCUUUUUAAAAAAACAUUUUCUUUUUGUUUGUUUUAAAAAGCACAUGAGAAUUUGGAAAAUAAAAAAGUAAAAACACAAAAUAACCCAUUGGAGAAUCAAGAAAUUGUGAUGGGAAGGGAAUAUAUAACUUAUUCAAUUAACCAUAAACUAGUGAUUAGUAUUUGAUCCAUAUUUAAGAAGCUGAAGAUUGAAGAAUGCUUAUAUGAACUUGUUUUGGGAUAUGAUUUAAGUUAAGUUGAUAUCUAACUAAUUAAUUAACAAGUUCUACCUAACUAGAACUAUAUUACUGUAUAUGGUUAGAUUAACUAAAGUUGUAUGUUAAAGAGUUAGAAGUACUUCGAUUACUCUAAUAGAAUGUAGUUGUUUGGGACCUUGUGUUGAGAUAUGAUGUAUGACCGUUGAUGUUUAUAUAUUUAUGGAGUUCAUAUAUGUAUGUGUUUAGGGUAAGAAGUUGUUUUGUUUGAGUUUACAUGCUUGUGUUUGAGAUGUUGAGAUGAAUUCAUAUGUUGUGAGUAUCUGGGAUCAGUAUCGUUUUCUUUUUUUUUGGUAUAUAAAUAAUAUAUUUUUUUAUGAUUAAUGUUUUCGUUUGAAAAUCCCUAUAAAGUCAUUUUUUUUAUAAUAAUAAAAGUUUCAAGUCAACAAACAAUGAAUGUCCAAUUUUUUUUAAUGCACAAUUGAAAAGCUAAGCUACACCAAAUUUAAAAGAAAAAAAAAGAUGGAAAUUUGCCAAAAAUAUGCCAAAAAUAGAGGAAUAAGUGAAUUUUGGAAUUGAUUUUGAAAUAUUUGACUUUUAGGACAAAUUGAGAGUGAAAUGUCUAAAUUACCCUUAAAUAUUUUACCCAUUCUCUUCAACGUAAAACAAUACGCAAAGAAGAAGGAAAAACACAUUCGCACGUUCUUCUCCUAUGUGAAAAAGUUGUGAACUUUUCCGCUUCUACUUUGGUGCCGUUCACCCUCUCCUCUAGUGAACGUUUCACGGACUGUGUUGUGUUUUAAUAAACCUGAAAAAGGUUUUAGGUUUUUAGUUUUUUUGUUAUUUUUUCCUUCAUACUAUGUUGUGUUAUAUAUAUAUAUAUACACAUAUAAUAUGUUAAUUUUAAGUGUAUAAACCUAAUAUAAUUUUUAAUUGUUUCAAGUUGAUUUAAAGUUGUUUUAAAGAAUGUCAGCAAGUUAUUUUGUUUUUCUUUUUCAUCUCGCAAACAUCUCGCAAAUUCUUAAGUUCAAAUGAAAAUGAAUUAUAUAUUCGUUCUUAUGUGAUUUAGGGUGCUUUUAACUACUGUUUUUGUAUGUUGCAAUCUCAUAAACAUCUUGCAACUGCCAAACUUUAAAUGUCCAAGGCUGAAUUAGUCAUAUACUUAUUUAUGGUGCGACUAUGUAUGUUUUAUUUAGUUUUUAGCGACUGUUUUUUAAUCUCGCAAAAUAAGUCAUACACUUAAUUUUUUUAUGUGAUAUGUCAACUUCUAGCUUUAAAUCAAAUUUUGUAGGAACUAAAAAGUUUAAGGUGGUUUAAGGAUGUCACAUGUUUGGAUUUUAGUGCGUUAAGGUGGUGCAUGGGAUGAGGGGCGAAGAAAAUAUGAAGGAGGUAUGUUAAAAGCCAUUGUUGUCAAUAAAUAAAUAACACACAAAUAUUUACAGGUAGAAUUAUUUGACCUUGCAAAAGUUGAUCCUAUAGAGUUGACAUAACGAUAAGAUGCAUAUAUGAGAUAAAAGUGGAAAACGAAGCUUCUCCAUUUGAAUUAAGCAAUUAUUGUGAUUUGAAGUUUUAUAUUUUUAGUGAAAAUCUAUUGGAGGUCCCCCUAUACGGAGCCUAGAAGCAUUCAAAGCGAGAAAAUGUUAAACAAAGAUUGCAAUUUCAUAUAUGGGAGCAACCAAUUUCGUAACUUAAACUCUCAUUCUCCAAUUGCAAUGGAUACAUUAGAUGGGAAUGAAAGUUAUAUUGGUGAAGUUCAAGUUGGCUCGUGUGCAUGAUAACACGAUACGGACUACUUUAGCUAUAUGAAAGUCAUAUGAGUCAUAUGAUUAAAAAGAUGAUACUUUUACAUGGGAGUCAGUUGAGAUGACCAAUGAAUCGCUUGACAUCCCACAACAUAGAGAUGCUUCUACAAAAGAUUGCAAAGGAAACGCUAAAGUUCACUACAACUCCUCUAGCCGAAGGUUGAAGAUAAAAAGGAGUGAUUGGUCUGAAGAAAGCUCUAGAAGUGAGGAGUUGGAUGUAGGACAAAUAUUUUUUUGGAAGAGAGAUUUGUCAAUGAGAUUAAGUGUCUUGGCAAUGGAAAAACGUAUUAGUAAGGAUAAUUUUAGAAACUAAGCAAUAAAAUUAGCUAGAACAUGGAACUUAACAUAUGAGAAAUUUACCAAGUAUCAAACAACUAAACUCAAUACAAAGAUCAAAGGAGCAUUAACAGUUUCUCAAAGCAAGACUUUGAUUCCUAACAUUUUUUUUUUAAGUUCAAUGUGUUUUUAAUAUGGUGGACAUCAUGACCUUCAAUUCUUGAACAUUUGAUUUUAGACUUGUAAGUUCAUUUUGAACAACUGUUACUCGAUCCUGGAGUUUCUGAACAACCUCUUUCAUCUUAGACUUCAACUUCUUUUUCUUACUCUUCUUUAAGUCACCUUCGUCAUUACUAACUUCUCUUGCUCUUUUUGAACCACCGUUCUUCGCAGGAACAAUGUUAGACGAGUGAGUUUGUCACAAAGUUUGCCUGAAGAAAUUCUCAACUGCUCCUCUUCAGGUGUCAUCUCAAUGGCCACCUUAACUAUGCACUAGAAAGUGAAAAUGCAAAUGUAUUUAGGUAAAAAAAAAAGACACAAAGUCAUGCAUUCCUUAAUUUAGUUACUAUUGGUUGCUACUUACCAUUGGCGAGUCAAACACUUGACUCAGUUGGACAUGGGACUUCGGUGAUAGUUGGCACACCCACCUCAACAUUCGUGGUAUGACAUCAUUUUUUAAUUUAUCUACACCACAUCUAAUGAUAGUUGGGACUCAUAUGCCCAAACAAGUUUAGGAAGUGCCUUGGGAUAUAUAUAUAUAUAUAUAUAUAUAUAUAUAUAUAUAUAUAUAUAUAUAUAUAUAUAUAUAUAUAUAUAUAUAUAUAUAUAUAUAGCAUAUAUGCAUGCGAAAAUCCCAUGAUAGUAUAUUUUGUCUUAGUUCACUUCUUCUUUCCCUUGACUUGUUGCAUGUCCAAGGCUCUUUUUAAGGCAUUAAGCAGGCAUCCAAAAACAAUCAUUCCCCAAUCAUAAUUGUUAAAUGUGUUCCAAUCAUAUGCAAUUUUUAAAAAAUUCCUGUCCACUUUGGUUUGCUUAUUUUUUCCUAAAAAAGAUAGCUCUAUAAAGUACACCAAAGCUAAUUUAAUCAUGUCAUCGUCAUCUCCCUCGUAUUCCAAAAGUAUGUCCACUAAGUUGCUUACAUAAAUAGACUUUUUGUCUUUGAAGAACUUGUCCAACAAUCUAAUAUUCCUAAACAACUGAAUAGACUCCAUUUUAGGACCCCAUAAACUCAUUACGAUGUUAAACUCUCUCCCACCCAAAAGUACACACAACUCCCCUAGCAAAAAACUUAUAUGAUCCUUCCCCUCAUCUUCCACCUCCCUUAACAAUAAGUAGUGGAUGGAUGACUUAUUAAAGACAAUAUUAAGAUAAAAAAGUGGCCAAACUUUGUUUUCCUAAAUAAGGUUAACUGAUCUAGUUUUAGUUUAGCCUUAAUAUUACUUGUUGUAUUUUCUAAAUGAGACAAAGAACUAACUAAAACCUAGAAAUGAUGAGAAAGAUCAAUCUUGUACAUGAGUUCCUCAGUUGAUGUUGAUGUCAUAACUGAAGCCCGAACAAAAAAGGAACAAAUAAAAUAUAAUUGCAUAAGAGACUCUCUAAACAUGCAUGCAAAUAUAAGGGCCUAAGACUUACUAAACAUGUAUAGGAUCACUCUAAAUGACUUAAGGAGGUAGCAAUUUCAUUUUGAAACCCAUAGUGAAAGUUUGAAAUGUGCGAGAUAGAUGCGAGAUACGUGCAAGAUAAUAUAUAAGGGUCUAAUAAACUUACUAAACAUGCAUAAAAUCACUCUAAAUGGCUUAGAAAGGGUAGAAAAUUUUGAAACUCAUACUGAAAUUUUGAAACUCAUACUGAAAUUUUGAAGUGUGCGAGGUAAAAUAUAAAAGCCUAAUAAACUUACUAAACAUGCAUAGAAUUGCUCUAAAUGACUUAGGAAGAGUAGCAAUUUUAUUUUGUAACUCGUAGUGAAAUUUUGAAAUGUGCGAGAUAAAACAUAAGAGCCUAAUAAACUUACUAAACACACAUAGAAUCACUCUAAAUGACUUAGGAAUGUUAGCAAUUUCAUUUUGAAACUCAUAAUGACAUAAGUAUAUAAGAGGCUUACUAAACCGAAUUGCUUGCACUUCUAAACAUAUAUUGUAACACCUUGAAUGAUUCUUAGACAUAUAUAAACGUUGCAUUUUUCUUUAAAGAAUCUUUCUCAUCCAAGUAAAUACUAAGAACAUGUAACAAAAUUUCUACUAAUAAGGUUAAUAAGGUUGCUUAACGUCUCUUUCAGAAGCUCUAAAAUAAUGUUGCAACUUAUAGGAUAAAUUGGCAUUGAAAUGUCCAAGGAGUGCAAAACUACUGACAUAUUAUGAUGAGGCAAUUCAAGCAAAAAGAAAGACCAAUCCAUAAAAUCAUAGGCUAGAAGGGAUUAAAGGAAAGUUCAAUUAGCUUUAGUGGAAUCAAGAUCAAGCUUAUCCAACAACAAGUUUAUAAGAUUACUAGUAAGAGGGAAGCCUACCAUUCAAAAGAUUCAACACAUAUAGUCCAAACUACAACUUCAUAUCUUCCACCUUUAGUAAAGAAAUUGAUCCUAUUCAAUGCUACCUAGUUUCAAUUUACAAAAGAUCCUAUUGAAUGCUAACUAGUUUCAAUUUCCCAACAAUAAACACCCAACAACUGUCACAUAUUUAUAUAAAUUUAUAAAAAUAGUACAUAGAAGAGGAAAUCAUCUAUUGAAAUUUGACGAAGAAAAGUCGCGAGGAGAGGUUUCAACUGCCACAAGAAAACAAUAAACGUUAAUGUCCCAACAAAAACUAAAACUGCAAUGGUGAACGUUGAUCGUAAGAGACAACGUUCAACGAAUCAACAAAAACUGAACAUUCACCGUGAGACGUUUAGGUCCCAACGAAAACUGCAAUGGAGCGAUGAAUGACACCGGAGUAGAAACGCACUAGAGAGUUCAAAUAUUUUGAGGAAGAGGAGAAGAACACGAAAACUGCAACGGAGCGACGAAUGGGACCGGAGAAGCAAAGAAUGACAUUGGAGUAGAAGCGGACGCAAAGACUGCAAUAGAGCGACAAAUGACACUGGAGUAGAAGCGCGCAGAAAAGUUCAAAUAUUUUGAGGAAAAGGAGAAGUACGCGAAGACUAUGAUGGAGCAAUGAACGACAUUGGAAUAGAAGCGCGCGAGAAAGUUGAAAAAUUUCGAGAGGAGGAGAAGAACAUGAAAUGUUUAUUAUUACUAUUUUCUUAACUUCGAAGAGAAGAGAAUGUAAAAUUAGAUAAGGGUAGUUUAAACAUUUCACUCCUAAUUUGUCCUAAAAGUGAAUUCGAUUGUUAUGCAUAUGUGGUGUAGGUUCAUCUCUCUUGACUAAUUUAGUUAAAACAAAAGGAUUCCUCAGAAUCCGAACGACCGUUUCUAUUCUCAUGAAGCUUUCAUCUUGAGUGUGUUGAAGAAGGAGGCUAGAGAAGGAGUACUGACACCUCUAUUCAUCUUUAAUUCCUAACCAAUAUGUGUUGGAUUUGGGGUUUAUUAUUCAGUACCUUUAUAAUGUGGUUGAGCCAAUUAUUCACCUUGUAAACUUGUUGAGAUUAUUAACAAAAAAGAAAAAAAAAAAGAAGAAGAAGAAAAUAACUGCAAGCAAAAUAUUUAUUAAACUAAACAUAUACAUAUAUAUGCAUAUGCAUGUACACAAAUGAGUUGUUUUGAAUCUUGUUUCUUUUUUUUCAAUUCAAUAGUCACUUUCUUAUUUAUUUUUAUGGUUCAGAUGUGUAUAUAAAUGUGAGAAAGGUUUCGAUUUAUUUUAAAUUAUGACAUUUUAGAAGACGUGGAAAAGAGGAGAAUUGAGAAAAGUUUUAUACAGACUUUAGAGAAAAAAAAAGGGAGAUUAAAGUGUACCAGAAGAAGAGAAUAUAUCAAGAUAGUACAAAAAAGGUGAAGGAAAAAAAAUAGAUGAGAAAUGAGAAAAAUAUUAAAGAGAUUUUUUAAACUUCUAACACAAAUUUAUAAAAAAAACUAACAUGUAAAAGAAUCGACACAUCUAAGUUAAAAGGGUAUUAAUGAAAAUUUUGAAAAUCUAGAGAUAAUUUUAAAAUAAAAUACAAAAUUUCAAAAGAAUAUUUUCUAUAGUUUAACGUAAAAAAUAAUAACAUACCAAUACAGUAGCUAGAAAAAAAAAAGAUUAAAAUGUAUUCAUGAAGUUAGUGGUCACCAUGGAUCAAAUCCAUGACCUCUUAGUUAAUUUUUUAACUUUUACUGCUAGGCAAAUUUAUGAUAUAUAGUUAAAAUACUAUUUUUGUUUAAUAAAAACUAUAUGUUGACACUUGUUUGGUGUUGUUAUUUUUCAAGUCACAACACAUAUUUUUGACAUAUAAAUGAUGGAUAUAAAUAAAUUAAAUACACGAUUCAACUUAUACCCACAUAUGUUCAGAAAUAUUUUUUUUAUUGAUAAUAAAAAAUGUAAGUUACAUUCUCGGUAAAGGUUUUACAAUAAUCCAAAAGAUAAAUUAGUUGUAAUACAUGUAUGUGUGAUCUAAUCUAAUAAAACUAACUCAUAAAUGGACUUGAUCGAUCUCAUUGUCCACAGAUUCUUCACCUACCUGCAAAUUCGGUGUGCUCCUUCAAACAGCGGACACAGAGCUUUUAAGAGAUAGGGAAAAUCCUGACAAGCAUUUGCAAGAGAGGGAGAAACGUCGUCGGAGAGCGUUUGCGAGAGAGAAAGACAGCGGCGACAUGGGAUAAAGUAAGGGCUUUUUUUCUGUCGUGGUUCGCAAGAGGAAUGAAAGUUUUGAAUUAUUAUUGUUUAAUCAGAAAGCAUACGAAUGAAGAAAAACAUUGAUUUUUUAUUAGAGUAAUUUUUAAUGACACAUAAUUUAUGUCGUUAAUUUACGACACGAAAAUUUUGUCAAGUACACUCAGUUUGUGUCAAGAAAACUCAGUUUGUGUCAAGAAAACUCAGUUUGUUUCAAGAAAACUCAGUUUGUUUCAAGAAAACUUAGUUUGUGUCACGAAAAAUUUCACAUUUUAUUUUUAACAACAUAUUUUAUUCCCUCCCGUCCAUUUUUUCUUGAUUUCAAGUGUCAUUAAAACUCAUAUUUCUAAAUAAAUUUAUUUGACAGCAGUGGCUAGAUUGGUGGGUUCGACAACGAAGGCUUGUUGUGGCGUUAACAAUGACAGUGAUUGAAGUGUGUAAUUGACGGUGGCGGUUGGCAGAAAAUUGAAAGGUAAGGUUCUUCACAACGACGUGGUAGUCCAUUUGGUUCGACGAUAACUUUUUUUUUGCUUUUUUGGUGGAGAGAGAAAAAAAAUUGCGUUAAGGCUUCCUUCAACAACGUUUUUUCUUGAGAGAAAAUUUGAAGUUUUUAUUUAGUUUUAAUUGUGUGAGGGAGAGAAAUUAAAAAAUUUUGAAAUUUGGGAUUUUUUCAUUUGAAUUUUUUUUUAAUGACAUGAAAAAUUUGUCGUUACUUAACAUUCAAAAAUUGUGUCAAAAUAAAUUAAAUUGUGUCAAGAAAUAAUCCGUAUUUUUAUUUUCAACGAUACGAUUUACCUCACUCCACCAUUUUUUUAAAAUUUUCAAAGACACAAUAUCUUGAUUAGUAGUGCCAUUAAAACCCAUUUUUCUAGCUAGUAAUGUAAAGAAACUCUUUCAAUAAAAUUUCUCGGUCUCUCUGUUGAGUGCGUCACUGAGAUAAUGUGUUUUUUUAUUAUAAAUUUGAAAAUAAAGUGAUGUAGCAAAUGAUCGAAAGGCCCUUGAAAUACCAACUGUUUGAUAUUCUCACAAAAUGCGCUAAACCCUCAAAACUUUUUUCAUUUCGACCGAGAACUAAGCGAGAACACUCCAAAAAUCUUUCAAAUUUACCUGAUUCUUCCUUUCCCAAAUUUGAAGAAGUCAUCCUCAAACUCAAACUGGUCAAGUUGAGUUACUUUGUUUUUAGUUUUUUAGUUUAUGUUUUUAGAUUUUUAGUUUGAUCAAAUUUGAGGCGGAUGAGAAAUUUGAUGUAGUUAUUAUUGAGAUUUUAAGUUAAUAUUGGUUUAUGUUAUUGUUUAUCGUGGGCUCCUUUUAAGAAUCUCGGCUUUUUCAUGAAUCUUGGUAAGUGGAGAUGAUGAAUCUCGAUUGAGAUGCAUGAAUUGUGCUCUAGAUUUGUUGAAGAAGUCCCGAGAUUAGAUGAGUUUCAUAUGCAUUAUGUAGGGUACUCUCGUGGUCGAUUAUGCCUCAGUUUGGGAUCGAGAUUAUCACAUAGAAUGCAUGCAAAACCCUAACCUCGUGGCAUCCUAGUGUAAUGUAGCCAAAGUUAAUGUACUCUCCUAGUGUAAUGUAAUCUCGAUUGAGAAUGCUCAGAGAUUAACCCAUAGAAUACUUAUUUUGAUCAAUUUUUUGUGUUUUACAGAUGCCUCUUGUGACCAAAAUCAAUUCAAAGGACUUUUUCCUUGCAAACUUGACAUGUUGUUCACAUCUAUUGAAAACCGUGUCGAGUAUAAAAAAUAAGUUAACACCCAAGUAACUUCACAUGUUUAGGAAAACCAUCUUUGGAUACUUCUGGAAAGUGAAGUUGGUGUUCAAUGAACCUGAUCUCUACCAUUAUAUUUUGUUAAGAGAGAUCGAGGAGGGAUGAGAGAACACAAUUAGUUUCAAGUUAUUAGGUGAGAAGGUCUCUUUGAGAAGGAGGACUUCGACAUAAUAAUGGGGUUAAGGCCUAGACGUGAUAGGACUUCAUUAAAUAUUUGAAAACUGGAUCGAAUUGACAAACAGAACCGAAUCGAAAUCGAAUCAAAACUGAUUGCAGUUCAAAGUUAAUAUUGGUUUAUGCAGUUCGGUUUGGUUUAAUGUUUUAAACCGAUUAUAAAUCGAACUAAAUUGCUUCAUUUAUAAUAAAUUAAAUAAACUAAAAAAAUAUGCAUAAAGGUUUUGUUUCUAAAACUCGGUUAAAUAUGUUGAUUUGAGAUCCACUGAGAUUCAAAAUAGAAAGGGGUCUUUUUAUAGAACUCGGUGCUUUGGUGGCCUAAGAUUCUUUGGAAUUUAAAUCGAAACCAAACCGCAUAUGCGGUUCAAUUUUAAUUUGGUUUGACACAAACAUGCGAUUCGGUUCCGUUUCAUAUUAGAUUUUUUUUUUUACAUUUCGUGGUUCGGUGCGGUUUCAAUUUGAAACCAAACCGAAUCGAAUUGUGAACACCUCUAUCAGCUAUGACUAGGGUGAGUUGGUAUGGACCAAGACCUUUGCAAGUUUGAAUGGGACACUUCAUGGAAAAGUAGCCUUACACAAGAAGAAACCUGCCAAUAACACACAAGUCCCCAGAGUCGUAUAACCUCUACGAUUUUCCUUUGUUUUUUAGAUUUGCGAUUAUAUGCUUACUUUGUUUUAUUGAUUUUAUUAGUUACAUGCUCACUGUGUUUUAUUUAUUUUAUUAGUUAUAUGCUUAUGUUAACAAUAUCACUGUAUAUGUAGAUCUGGGCCUACGAGACAGUGUCAUCGAUCAGUAGGCGGAUUGCUCAUAGGGACUCAUCAUUUGCGAUACCGAGCAUCAGUGUAGUUGCUCACACUCAUCUGGGUUGAAGGUGAUUAAGUCCUAGGUUUUCGAGUUGCAAAUGGUAAUCAUCUGUGAUACCGAUCUGUUGAGAUUUAUGUCUUAAAACUCGUAUAUUGUAAAUAUAAUUCAUUGACCUUUAUUAAUAAAGUGUUAUUAUUGUAAUAAUUAUUAUUGAUUAUAAUAUUAGUUUUGUCUUAAUAAUCCAAAUCUAAUAAACUAACAUCCUAAGCUGUUUAAUGAGUCUUGAACAGUAUGUAGAGACAUACAUAUAUCAAUGUUUGAGAUCAACUUAAAGAGUCUAUAGUAUAGGGAUAAGACUAGGCACCUUAUCCUAGUAACACUAUGAAUACGACUCACUUUAUAUUUGAUACAAAUGUAAUGAUCCAAAGCGUAUGUGUAGUUGACAUGCGAGUGAGGGUAUCCUAUGCAAUCAGAUUGCAUAAGAUCGGAUUGCGAAAUAGUAACCACUAGAUGUAACUCCGUUAACUAGUUAGGUUUCUAUUUCACUAGGAUGAUCUAGGUAACUUAGUCUUAAUCUUGAGUGUAUUAUGAACUCCUGCUUGCGAGGGAUUGUCCUUUGAUUUGUACGGGUGAGAGUGACUAGAUCACUUACUCAAGAAGCUUAUCAUUUUGGGGACAAGACCGAGUGAGGAGUUGAGAACAUAAUUACACAAGAUGAAAUUCACUCAUUUCUUACUUUAGGGUAAGUAGAUGAGUGUUCCCUUACAUGGUGACUUCAGGUAUUGAACAAAGGGCCCUACCCUCUCUGUGGCACGAGAGGGGUUUCUGUUUAUUGGUAAGACCAUAAACAAGUUGUUCAUUAGAGGAACACUGAUAUUUAAGGAUUAAAGGUAACUUAGGCGUAAAACGGUAAAUUGACCAAACUGGUGUUACAAACACUCGUGAAAUACUAACUUACUAUUAUUGGUCUAUAUCCGUAGACACAUAAAUAUAUCUACAAUAAGAAGAGUUUAACUGUAAGUCUUUAGUGGAGUGUACACACAGUUAACAAAUAUUCAUUAAUGUGGUUAAUGAGUUUAGUCAAUUAAUCGCAGAUCAUUGUAGCUUCUGAUCUGUAGGUCCAUUAGCCCCAUUCCUAGUUCGUAAAGGAUAAUGAGAUUUAUUUAUAUUGGUUGUAAUUUGAAAUGUUCAAAUUUACUUUGGAAAUUAAUUUAAUAUAUAGUGAUACAUUAUACUAUAAAGCUUAUCAAACUUUAUUAUAAAAUUUAAUUUUGGAUAUGAUUCAAAAUUAAUUUAUGAGAGAUAAAAUAUUUGAACAAGUUCAAAUAUUAAUUUAAUGUGAAUUAGAUUCAUAUUAAAAUUAUUGGUUAUGAGAUAAACUUAUAUUUGAAUAUGAUUUAAAUUUAAUUUAAGUUAAAUAUAAGAUUUUUAAUUUAGAUAUUAAUUAAUUGAAGAAAUAAUUAAUAGUUUAAUUUUAUUUAAUUAAAUUUGAUUUAAUUAAAUCUAUAAAAUAUUUUAGAGAUAUUCAUUCAAAUCUUAAAUAAAUAUUUGAGUGAAAUUUUAAUUAAUUAUAUUAAUAUAAAUAUAUAAGAUAUUAGAAAUAUAUUUAUUCAAAUAAGAUUUGAAUAAAAUAUUAAUGAAAUAUGAUUUAAUUAAUUAUAUUAAUAUUAAGAAACAGUUAUAAAUACCUCUAAACUUUUUCCAUCCCAAUUGGUUUCCGCAAAUCAAUCUCAUCUCAAAGAAUAGAAAAGUUUCUAACAGGUGGUGUCCCAGUUCGGUGGUUUGCAGAUUCAGAGACAUCAAUAAAGUAAGUUCUUUGUAUCUUUUAAAUAAAAAGAUUGCUUAGUUUUUAUUUAGAAUUUUGAUUCUAAAUUUUUGUCAAUGUACUCGUAUUUUGGGAUUCCGAAAUUAAAUUGAGUAAUGGUUCUGUAAAAUCUUCCGCUACCAUAGGGCUUUUACCCUUUCAUGAGCAUCAUGCAGUAGAGUUGCUCACACUCAUCUGGGUUGAAGGUGAUUGAGUCCCAGGUCUUCGAGUCGCAAAUUGUAUGUUAUGAUUCAUCUUAUUCCUCCACAUUCACUAUAGUAUUCUAGGGUUUAGUCUCUUAAUUAGUACCGGUUGAUGUUCCAUUUUUAAGCCUGAAUACAUGAGAUUGAAUGUACGAAUGAGGAGUGUGCUUAUCUCAAUCAACAUCUUAAAAUUCCGAUGAUGGAAGGUUACUAGAAAGACCCUCAUGUCUCUCCUCCUAAGCAGUUCGAGGAUGCCUUGCCACACACUCACGUCGACAAUCCCCUUCACGUGGACCAUCCCUCUCCUUCUCCCCAUCACAUGGACCAUCCCUCUCCUUCUUCUAUCCAGCCUGAUCCCUAGACGACGUGUGAUUGCAGCCAAUAUGUAUGUCACAUGGAAGGUGGAUUAGAUCAGAUGGAGGACUCCUCACAACAAAUAGAGUCAUCUGUGUCAGCUGAGUUGUUGUCCAUUUUAGCUAAGUUAUAGACCCUAAAAAAGCUUCUGAUGCCAUUGGUUAAGGUAUUAUUGUCAAUUACUUGGAACACUUUAUUAUUUUGCCUUAGUUAAGUAUUAGUUGUCACUUAUGCAAGGCUACUGCUUCUUUAAUAGGAUAAGGCAGUUGACUCCCAACCAUGCUACGACGGUGGUAAAGGUACGUCGUUCAAUGCACCAGAGUCUUAGACUUUUGUUGGCGAUGCAUUUGUGGAUGUUCCUGCUCUGGACAUUGAUGACCAGCUUGCUGACGAGGAGAAGGGGACAUCCAUCAGUGGCGACCUCGAGGAUGGUAUCAUACCCAUCUACAUACCAUCAGGGGGCCAGGAUGUGCUAGUACUGCUUCCUUAACCCAUGCUAAAGUCGAAGGAUGAGGUAAAUGGUUUCAAACUCUGCAUUCCUUUAUAUGGUUAGUUUAGUAAUAAUAAAACUAACUAAUAAACUGAAUUAUGAAUUGUACAGCCCAUUGAGUUUGACAUGAAGGUCAUCUCGCCUUCUGGUUUUUUCAAAUGUCGUACCUAAGGAUAAGACGACAAGGAAGAGAGGUAUACCGUGAAAAUUGCAUUCCUUAAUUUUCGAACAAGGACAAGGGGCUAAGAGAAGAAAAAGGGGUGCGCCCCUACAAAUUAUAAUUACCAUCUGCAAGAUCCUCGUGAAGUUCAAUAAGUAAUUCUUGGCAUACCUCGUGGACCCUCGAAGAGCUACGAAGUUGCGAAAGAUAGUUAGAUUCUCAAGGGUGCUUCUGUGGUUUAUGAACCUCCUAACCCUGCAUACAUUCACAGACGACAACGUAUGUACUUCAAAUUUGGUAUGUUUUUCAUUACGUAUUUCAUCAUCUGAUACUAAUUAGUUGUUUCUCACCAUUUGCAGACAAUUGAAACAUUGUUCUUGUUCACCUAUAAGAAGUUACAGGUUAAUUCGAUCCCUCACACGUCAAGAAAUGAUUCACUACGGCUGGCCAUGCCAUCACGGUAUGUUUAAACAACUUUCGGUUCAAUUAUUAUUCUUAACUUGUUAAUAAUUUGUGUUUUGGUUCACCCAACGUUUUAGAAUUUUCUAAGGCGUAACUCAGGUCUGUACGAGGAAAUUAAAAGGGACACUCGCCUAGUUGACGUUCAGUACACUUGGGUUAAAGACGCUAUCGUAUUGAAAUACGUGAUGGGCGAGUUAUCGGAUUGUGACAAGGCAUGAAUGGAUAUGGACUUCAUAUACAUGCCUUACAACAUCAGGGGAUGCCAUUGGAUUUUGAUCGUGCUUGGCAUGAUCAAGAGACAAAUCAACGUUUGGGAUUCAUUUAUUGAUUUGACGUUAGCGAACCUUGAUAACAAACUCGACAACAUGAGGUGCGUUGUCCCUACUUUGAUGUAGCACGUUGAUGUGUUCACAGUGAAGCCGAAUUUACCUUCGACAUCAUGGAAGGUAUAUCGUGUGAUUGAUGCACCCCAACAAAUGACAACGAGUGAUUUUGAGAUUUAUUGUUGUAAAUUUUUUUAACACGAUGUAACCACUUCUUCUUUAAAACCCUAAACUAAAAAAUAUCCCUCUAUUUCAUCAACAAUUGACCUUUUUUUAUUGAUGCCUAUCUAUGCUUAGAGAAAUUGUAAUACGAUUCACAAAUUACUUUUAUAUAUUGAAAUCGUGUGAGCUGGAUGAUUUAGAAAUUGACUUCGUUUAGGUUAAAGAACUUCUAGUAAGGUUGACAAAUAUCAUUUACAUAUUGAAAUUUCGUUUUUCUUAAAUUUAUUAUUGCAAUUGCUACCUAAUAUUAAAUUCAUUCUUCCAAUCAAUGACCUGAUUUAUGGGCUAGCACAUAAUAAAUGUCUUGUAAUUAGUCUCAGUUCUAUCACAUAAUGUUUUGAAAUGCAUGUUUCUCGAUGCAAUGGUCGCCCGAGAUACAUUGAGAUCCAUUACCAAUUGCUUUAGAGUACAUAACUAGGGGCAUCAUCAACUCAAGAUACCCCAAAUUUUAAAUAAGGAUUUUACAGAAGUGAUAUCUUGAGGCAUCGUUUGCUUGAGAUGCAUUGAGUUCUAAAUAAGAGAUUAACUCAGGACAUUGUUGUUAUGAGAUACCCCAAGUUUAAAAUAAGGAAUUCAUAUAAUACAUAAUCGGUGCACAUUUGGCCCAAGAGGCACCAAGUUCUAAAACAUACUUCUAAAUAUUUUAUGAAUUUCAGUUUAAUCUUGCCCGAAGUCGUGCCCAAGAAACUUAGGACUCGAGCAUUUUCUGUCUUGCUCGGUGGAUUCCAUAACGAGAUUUACACUGAAUUGACGAAAAUAACCUCAAUCGACCUAGUUUAACUCAACAAUAACUAAAUUAGAGCACCGAAACUACAGAGUUGUCCAUGCACUCAAGAUUUCAAACGAAAAACCUAAAAACAUAAACUAAAAACUAAGAUAAAAUCUAUGGAAUCGUUUAAAGUAAUUCACCUUGACCAAUUUCAGUUCGAGGAUAACUUCUUCAAAUUUUGGGAUGCAAGAAUCAGAGGGAAAUUGAUUUGUUUUAGAAAUUCUAGGGAAAAAUGAUAAAAGUGUUUACGGUUCAUGAUUCUGUGAGGAUAUCAAACAAUUUGGAAUUCCAGGAGUGUUUCGGUCAUUUGCUAUAUCUCUUUAUUUUUAAAUUUUUAAUAAUAAACGUAUUAUCUCAUUGACGCAUUCGACUGAGAGAGAUCGAGAAAUUUCAUCGAAAGAGAUUUUUAAAAUUUGAAAAAAAUCUCGAAGCCGGUAUGAGAUUGAUUGAGAAAAACAAAAUUACAAAUUUUAUAAAACAAUGUUACUUUUUAAAUAU
rnacentral:lncRNA from 1 species